rnacentral:lncRNA from 1 species
CAGUUAUCAUAUCAAUGCAAACAACAAGUGACGAGGCUAUGCCCAAUUUUUUUCAAUACACACAGAAAAGGUCAAGUACACAGCAAAUACCAUUCAUCUGACAUCAUUCUUUGCUUUAUUUAAUUAUUUCUCCAUUAUGAAAAUGGUCUUACACUUAAGGCCUAGGUACUUGACGCGGGUGGAGGUGGUAGCUUUAUUUCCGGAACACGAUAACCUGCAAAAUUUCAUUCUUCACAUCAUAAUGAUGAACAUGAGAAAUUAUAUAAAGUGUAUAUAUAUAUAUUUGUGUGUGUUUGUGUGUUUGUGUGUGCACGCGCAAAUAUGACAAUAUACCAACCUGCACAGUGAGUGUCUGUGUGCAACCCAUUGCCGCAUACAUGUGUAGCCAUGGCAAACUUGGCUAGACUGAGCAAAGUCAGUUCGUGAGCGGUGAACCGAUCACAGACGCAGUGGAUGUCUUUUGCAUCCCUUAUUGUAUUGCAACAUGCGCUAUGGAGUGGCGGGUACUGGUCACCAAGUUUCUUUUCGAUGUGAUGCCAACAGUCUCGCAUCACCUUUUUUUUAUCAAGGAGGCAGUGAUCUAUAUUGUUGGCUUCUUGUGCAUGGAGCGAACAAGAAGAAAGAGCCACAAUGACUAGGAAGCAUAACACUCCAGCUACUUUUGCGUUGUUCAUGUUCUAUGUUGUGUAGCACUAUUGGUAUGUGUUUAUGCAGGACUUCUGUGCCACUCAAUCUCUAUAUAUAGUGGUCAUAGUGAAGUUUUUAGACUCCAUUCGCUCAUCAAUCGCUUAAUUGGACUCUUUUAACUAGGUGAGAGAUAUAUGACUUAGAUAUGUUAUAAUUUAAUGUUUGCACAUCUAGAUCUUGUAUAAAGUUGUUGGCAAUGGAUGUGGAUGCAAGCCAUUAAUUAUUGGCAAUGGAGUAGUUGAUUUGGAACUCUUAACAGAUAUAUGUACAUAACUUGGGUAUGUUGAUAAUUAAUGUAGGGACAUGUGUGGUCCUUGUAGUAUCACAUCGAUGGUAAAGGAUACUUCUAAUUAAAUAUAGCUAGGUGCAUCCAUUUCUUGUAUCAAAUUGAUGGUAGCGGAUAUGUAGAUAAGCCUAUUUAUUUGUCUGUCUAUCUAUAUCUCUAUCUCUAUCACUAUCUCUAUCUCCAUCUCUCUCUCUCUCUCUCUCUCUCUCUCUAUCUCUAUCUCUAUCUCUAUCUCCAUCUAUCCAUCUAUCUAUCUAUAUAUCUAUCUAUGUAUGUAUGUAUGUAUGUAUGUAUGUAUGUAUGUAUGUAUGUAUCUAUAUCUAUAUCUAUAUCUAUAUCUAUAUCUAUAUCCAUCUCUAUCUCUAUCUAUCUAUCUACCUAUCUCUAUCUCUAUCUCUAUCUCCAUCUAUCUAUCUAUCUAUCUAUCUACCUAUCCAUAUCUAUAUCUAUCUCUAUCUCUAUCUCUAUCUCUAUCUAUCUAUCUACCUAUCUAUCUAUCUAUGUCUAUAUCUAUCUGAUACUAAUAACGGACUCCCAACAUAUUAAAACUUCAAUCAGUGAAAACAAGAAAUAGAAACCACUGAUUUUAGCGGGCCUGAAUUACUAUGAUUACGAUCUAUUAAUAAAUCCCUUGGAUAUUUCAAAUGAAAAAUGGAACUUGGAUCUCUCAACCAGGGAAAAAAAGUAAAAGAUAUGAUGCAAUGUAAACAACCGUUCAGAUUUGACACGGUAGCUGAGACGUCAUGCAAUUGUCAAAAUCAUGACUAUGUUUCUUUGUGACUAACCUAGAUACGACCUGAUUCGUAUAUCUCCAGCCAAUUUGAAGUCCAUCGAUAAUUCCAUUGCCAUCUCAUGGCCUUGGCUUGGAGGAACUAUGCCACAUGGUAAAGCAGUCCCGAUAUAAUCUCUCUGACCUUCUCAACAUUCGUCAUGCCUGUUCCUAGCCAUGGAUAUCUGCCGGCACCAACCAGCACACAAACUAUAAGUAGAAAAAGACGAUCGGGGGUUAUGAUUAUAGGGAUUUAGACAUAGUUUUCUUAUCUUUUAGAUCCGCUGAGGAUGUUGUUACAGUGAUGGAACAUACAUCUGGUUACCUAUAUGCUCAACAUAGGGUGGUGCAUAUUUGAUUCCAUCAAUAAUUUAACGCACUAACCGACAUGGAAUCUUUCUUUGUCUUUUUGUUAUUUUUUACAUCCUCCGCUAGUUCUUGCAAUCUUCUAAAUAAGUCACGUUCAGUUGGUCACUGUUGGUUCAUAGAGUUCUUUCAUGACCAGUAGAAAGUUUAUGUGUGUUGACAUUGGGAUUGGCGGCCCAAAAUAAGGAUAUGAAUAUGUUGCAUUAGACUUCUCUCCUUGCCAUCGAUCCUCAUAUUUGCGCCUUGGGGGUGAUCUUGAUUUCUUUGCAUGAUUUGGCCGAUAAGUAUUCUUGUCUUCACUCUUUUGAUAUUUACCCAAUAGUUCAGCGAAGAUUAUUUUAAAUCUCUUACACUUGCGCUUAUUUCGGCCUUUGUUUUCUUUUUGUUUGCUUUCAUCAAUCAUUGGAGUUUCUUGUUGCCCCACAGUCCUUAGCGUCUUCAUUGUAGCUUCGAUAGAAUUUUCACCCUCAAGAAUAUUAUCAUUGUGAUCUUAAAAGAUUUUCUUACCUGAAAGCUUAAUCCCAUUUUCUGCAGUUUUUCUUUCUCAUGUUUAAAUAGACCAGCAUGAAGCAGCCGAUGCAAAAACUGUUUACCAUCAGAACCAAUCGGAAUAGACUGGUCAUCUCUUGGUGUCUCAACAAAUUUGAACCGUCCUUACACUAGUAGAAAAAGGACCUAAUAUGGGACACAUUGUGCUCUUGGUGUUUGCACUUUAGCGCCGGUUCGUGAUGAACCNNNNNNNNNNNNNNNNNNNNNNNNNNNNNNNNNNNNNNNNNNNNNNNNNNNNNNNNNNNNNNNNNNNNNNNNNNNNNNNNNNNNNNNNNNNNNNNNNNNNNNNNNNNNNNNNNNNNNNNNNNNNNNNNNNNNNNNNNNNNNNNCAACCGGCACUAAAGGCCAUCACGAACCGGCACUAAAGCCCGGUUCUGCACUAGUGUUAUCAAUGUCCGAUUUAACUAUUUGACGAAACAUAUUGCAAUCCUCGAAAUUAUGUUUCAACGAAUGAUGCAUUCUAAAUCACAUUCAUCCUUGGUUUGAUGACUUGACAUGGUGAUCAAGAAUUCCAAUGUAAUUAUUUUUCAGCGACAAGUCAAAUAUUUGAUCACACAUACCUGAAUUGAAGGUAAACCUUUUAUUUUCUAGACGAGCUUGUUGUGAGAAUGGCUUUAGAGGUAAGCACACGAAUGGUUCAGAUUUGGAAUCUCCCCAUUCGGCUAUGAAUUUUCUUUUGCAUUAUUUUUCUGGUGUCAUUGGAUAACAUAUUAUACUAGCAUCAAUUUUUCUCAAAAGAAUCUAAACUUGACAUUAUGUUUCUGAAACAAAAAUAGUUAGAACACACAUGUCUCAAUUGAGACGAAAAGCAUGCCAAGUAAGAAAUAAGGAAAGCUACCCAACUAGAUAUGAACUUUACAUAAAGCAAUGGGGAAAGCCUUGGCUGUAACAAUAAGUCACUCUCGGUCUCUAUAAAUGGCGCAAUGGGUUGACCGAUAUGCUCUAUAACAAUUUUAUCGCUUACAAGUAAAUUACCCUUCUUCACUGGUCUUUAAAAAUUACUUAUUAGGAUUUUUUCUAACAGAUGCAUCAACAGUAAAGUUGUCACCAAAUAUGAGAGCAAGUAAAUUACUUGAUAGACAUACCUCUUCAAAUUUGUUGGGAGAGCAUGAUGGUGGUGUGACUUGAACAAUAUCUUGCUAUGUCUUUGGAUGGCUCCCCAACGCCUUUUCAUCAUAUUCUUUAUUCUUGAUUUUGUGCAUUAUUAUAUCGAAGAUCUUUGUCAACCGAGCUUUUUCGGCUACUUGUUCUUGUCCUCGAGGCUUGUCAAUUUCUACGGCACAGAACUCAUAGGGCACGAAGUAGGUUCCAUUAACUUUUAAAAAAAUCAGGCACGACUGUUUUCCUAUGCUUGCCAUGACCUUUCUCAAUAAUGCUUGCCUAUUUGGAUUUGAUGGAUUCAGAAUAUACACUACUUGAUUCGGGGUUUUCAACCGAAGCAUUUUCAUGUUAUGAAUCAUCCUUCUUUUCAUUGACUCUACCAAUUGGCGAUGCUUCUUUUAUCUGAGUCAAUUCUUUUUCUGUUUGUUUCUGGCGGUGUGCGGAAAAAUUGGCUUUAAGAUGUUUCUCAAUUUCAGCCCACUCCGGAUAUGAUUGCUUCCCAAUGCUUUUAGAUUCCUUUGGCAAUCACACAUGAGUGUUGCCAAAACUUCGCAAUUGCAUAGGGGGUGUUUAAUAUUUGGGCAGUAUAACUGCACCUAAUCCCUGCUCUCUCACGCCAUUAGGCUUUGUGGCUGUUCGUUUUGCUGAUUUAACCAUUCUUGGCUGUCAAAUCUACGUGAUGUAGCGUCAUUGCCCAAUUCCUACAGCAUCCAGGCCCAACUGUCCUAAGGGGAUGCUACUCUGGAAGAAAAAACCGAGGCCUCUUGUUAAUUGGGCCACUUGAGGCAGCCCAUUUAACAAUCCCGACUCCAAUCUGUCGAUGGCUCGCUGCAGCUGUCCCUUGUACCGAAAAAACAAAUGUGCCGUCAAUAGGAUGUGUUGGACUCGAAUAGAGGAGGCGCUCAAGGGAGCCAGUCGCGCGAGGGGCUCGAGCGGUGGCGAAACAAGAUGAGUUGAGCGACAGGAGCCGAGGCGCGCUAGUGGAUCCACCCUCACGCGGUUCAGCCGAUGCGUGUGAGGGGAACCGAUCCAACCUAAGAGGGGAUCCAGCGGAUGCGCGGGAUGCGGAUGAAUCAGGAGCAAGUGAGGCAGUCAUCAGAGAUGAAUUGGGUUAUUUCAUAGCUGCUGCAACAUGUUCUGCCACAUGUUUCUAAUGCGGCUACUGCUGAAGCAAUUGCUCUCAGGAAUGGUAUUAAUUUGGCAGCUCAUUUGGGAUGCUUGAGGAUAGAUGCUGAGUCAGAUUAUGAACUUGUGAUUGAUGCAGUAAAAGAUACUUAUAGAUUCAAUGGUUCCCAAGCAACAACAAUUAUUGAAUCCGUUCAACUCUCUUGUGACUUCGGACAGGUGAAAUGUUCUUUACGCAACCGAGAAGCAAACAGUGUAGCAGAUGGUUUGGCUAAGCAAGCAUAUAUGCUGAAGAAUUCUUCUGUUUGGAAAGAUGACCCACCUAAUUUUAUUUCUUCUUUGAUUGUAAAUGACAUUGCUAUUGUCUGAGAAACGAAAUCUUCACCCUGUCAAAAAAAUUAUUUCUCCCCAAUUAUUUGCUCAUCAUUGGAAUUGUUCUCAAAAUUGAUAAAAUUUACCCCAUGCAAAAAAUAUUGAUCUGCUUGCACUUUCAGUCAGUAAUUUGGACCAGAGUGUCUGGUCUGAACCAAAGUGCCUCUUUCUAGAUGCUUAAGAAAUGACACUUCAAAAUAUGACUCACCGUUUCAUAAAGAAAAUAUGAUCGAUCAUGAUCUAGAAGCCUCUAAACAAAACCAAGUUUGCCAAUUGAAACUGGAAAAAUGAUGCAAAAGAAUGAACGCACCAGAAGGGGAACUCAAAUCCAAGUUGUAUUUUGCGCCCAUCUUAUACUAUUUACUAAUUGGAGGCACCAUGCGAGGUUCCAUGUUAAUCCCGGUAGUUAGAAAAUUUGGACCAUUAGAUUUACUAAUGAUACGUCGAUGACCGUCAGAUAAUGUCUUGAUGCGCCUCUUCACGUGCGGGAGACAAACUCUUCUAUUUGCACCUCCUUACGUGAUAAAAAAAUUGAAAUAAAAAUCAGCGGGGAAGCACCUCUUCACGUGGAGGAGACAGACUCCUCUCUUUCCACGUCCUUACGCAUCAUAAAAAAACUGAAAUAGAAACCAGCACAAAAACACGAUUAUGUAAUCCUCGCCUCCUACCCUCCUGCCUCCCAUCGCCGCUUCUUCUCCGCAAGCAGGACUGAUCCCUCGAUCUGCUGACCACCAAUCUCCCUCAUCUGGUCUUCAAGGCAGCUCCCGCACCAUCUAUCUCCUUCCUCGGGCUACCUUAGAGAUUGCCUCCCCAAUUUAUUGAGGUAUUAGCCCCCCUCCAUGCUCGCCACGUACUUAAGUAGGUCAAAAAAAUUGGCCACAUGUACAGUAGAAUUCAGCAGCAUGUGUUGCAUUGGAGAUGCAUGAGGAGAAUCAAGCUCCCUGCCCCUUUUUGCUGCAGGUAGGUAUAUGGUUUCUAUCUAAUCAACUAUUUGGUAUCUAUAUAACAUGGGACACUAGCAACCAAGUAGAGGUAAAUCAUAUAGUUUUUACAAAUUCAACUAUUAUCCAUACAAUUGUCCAUCCUUAGAUUUGAGUGGAACCCAAAAUUAAUACCAACCUGGCUGCUAGAGUAUGCAAUUUACUAAGGUUAGAUGGCAGUGGAAUUAAUUAGGUUUUUAUUCAAUCUGAUUUCUACUAUGUAUAGCCAGUUUGGUUUCAAUGUCAAUGGAAUAAAAUACUGGACAAAUGAAUGUCAGAAUAAUUUUAUACGAAGACUAAAAAUUAUUCUCUCCUUGAUUUUAUUAUUUUGUUUCCAUAUCACACUGCACUGAAGAAAAAGAGCGGUGUGGGGACAUUUUAAUAACUCGGGGGGUUCUGGCUGAGGGCGAGAGAUCUUGAUGGAGAAUGUGUGCUAGAGCUCAAAAAUAGAGGGGUCUGCAUCAAUGAACACUUGCAACAUACAAUAUACAGCCGUGUGGAGUUUGUUCCAGACGAAGUAGCAUUUACACACGUAAAUGUUGCUCUGUUGUAUAAGCAGUAGAAAAAGUGCUGCGACCGCCAUGUAUGGCUGUUUAAGGUAGACUGCUAGAUUAUGCAAUGAUUGGAAAUUGUUAAGCCUGAAUGACUGGAAGAGGGAUUCUAAUCCUACGGGAAACCAUUAGGAAUAAUAACAAAUAUCCAGUAACAGAUGUUGAUUUUCAUUAUAACAUACCUAAAAUUCAUUAAAAAAGGAUGUGUAAUUUCUACCUAAUCACUAAGUGCAUAGUUUUAUCACCAAGUUAUCCUAGACAUACAUCCUCGCGAACAACAUCACCAAGUUGCUUGCAUACUGCACUGCAAGUUUAGAACAUUUGAAUGCUUAUGAUACAAACCAAUGCUCAAAUUUGAAGAAUUAUACUUUUUGGAUUAUGGUUCAAUUUAUUAUUUGACAAUCGAGGACACGUUGCUUCACUUCAAUUUCACAUGUGUAGGAUACGAGAAUGCCUUGGCCCAGGAUUCCUGGGCGGGGAGGUUGAGGUACAAAACCUUUCACUGAGUGGAGAUAUCAAACGUUGCCAUGGAAGGAGCACGAUCCAAGAUCUCAUAGGCAGGUAGCAGAAUCGCAUGGAGUGAAGCUCGCUUCCCCAAUGUCCUCUUGGCUGACUUAAAAACAAAUCGGAAAUCUCGUACGUGAGCACGUCCUCAAGAACGCAUCCGUCACCUGUAGCGUUCAACUGGGCUUCGUCAACACAUCAGCAGUCUCGGAGUUCAAACUUGCUCAUGCAUGCAGCCUUGUAGCAAGAAGCAAAGUAUAUACGAUCGUAUUGAAGACUUGGCUCAUAGUAGCAAUGUCUAAUCCACGGAACCCAGAGCUAUGCACUACUUCACUAGCACAUGAUAGCUAGGUAUAUACAUUUUUCACUACUCCAUCUGUAUAAUACAACACACCCUCUACAUUUUAUCAGUAUCGACUGCAACUUAUGGACUAUGGGUGAAAAUUGUACUACAACAUAGUUUUGGAGUGUACAUUUGUGAAUUUAGGAUAUUUUUUUGUAACAAAACAGAUCCAAAUGGUAUACAUAUUUUAGAUGACCAAUUUAUUUGCUCGAUGUUCACACAGAGGGAUGCCUAUGUGGAUAAAUUAGUUUUAUUUGUCACCCAAACAUUGCUACACAAUUUGACAUUUGCUUGCAGUUACGGGUUCGAUCCUUCAAGCCAUUUCUUCAUGGGAUGUGGCAUUAAUUGUGCGAGUGACUAGAAAUAAGUUCUUCGCGAAUUAGGCACUGAAUAUGCAUCUGUACAGGCUACGUUGCUACAUAAAUAAAAGAGGCGGCCAUGCACAAUACGAUAGUUCAAACAACAGAUAGUUGAAAAGAUAAAAUAAUUGAUAGGGUGUGCUAAUGGAGGGGUAGAUAUUAAUAGUAUAUGUGGACUAUCCAGUUACCCAUGACACUCAGAAUUACAAAUUGACAUGUGGGUUGUUACUCAACUUACUGCACAUAUGUAUUAUUAAAUUUCAUAUAACCUUGGGAAUAUAAAAAAGUUCUUUUGCAACUAGCCAUCAAAUUGGAUAUUUGUAUCAAGAUUAUGUUUUCCAUCUAUGGGAACUUGCAGCUUUUAUUCUAUUUCUUUAUUGAAACCAAAAUAUACAAUUGAAAAACAUGAACAAGUAUAUUAUAGCAUGUGCCCUUUAAACAUGCUACCAUUAUUUACACAAAACAAAACAAUAUGAUGUCAUUACUAAAUUGUCUAAAGAUCUAGCCAGCGCAUCGAGCGGGCCACUUUGCUAGUUCAAGAAAAGGUCAUGUCUUUACAGAAAUGUUCAAUUCCCCCUCAGUUUGAACUUGUAAGGUGUACUGAUUUUGAACAAGUUUAUAGAAUAAAACAUAAAUAUCUACUAUAGAAAAUCAGUAUCAUUAGAUUCAUGAUGAAGUAUAUUUCCAUAUUUGAUUUAUUUAGGGGCUGUUCGGAAAGCCUCCACGCCCUCGCCACGGAGCAGAGCGGACGGAGCGACCUUCUGGCCACUCCGUAGAUUAUAGUUGCAUGCCACUCCGCUCCGGAGCGGAGCCGCGGAGUGGGAGUGAGUCCGAGCAGGCCUUUAGUAUCGUAGGUGUUAGAUGUAUUUUGCUACAGAUUUGAUCAAACAUAGGAAACUUUGACUUUUGGAAAUUUAAUUCACCUUAUAUUUUGACAGACAUGGAGUAGUAUGAUGGGACCAGAUCCAUGAACCAUCAUCUCAAACCCAUGUAUUCAUGAGGUGUGAUGUUAAUUUUAACAAAUCUGCCCAUGGACAGAACCUCGAUACCAUGAUUCACAGACCAACCCACACAUAAUUUCUGUAGACUGACAUAUACGCCGAUUUCAUCUUGUGGUAUAUCCCUGAACUUUUCUGAUGAAAAUGCUCUUAGUUGGGAUGCCAUCAGGCUCCAAACCAAACCCAAGAAAACCUGGGAGCACUUUACUUACCAAUAAAUUAAGAUUACUUUUGCAUAAGGUUUUGUCGUAAUUCGUUACCAAGAUGGGUUGCACUGUAUAGUUUCCUAGCAGCAACAUUUGGCCAGCUUCUUAGAUUUUAUCUAUAUGAAUAGUAGAUUUGUUCAUUUCGAUUUAUAACAUUGUAAAUGUUUACCUCAGCUGCCAGAUUAACAUAAUGGAACGUUGUCAGGUGUGUUUGAAGGUUGCCAGUUUAGGUGGGCCAAACAACUAGUGCGCUGAGGUCAAAAUAAGCAUAACACCAGUUUGAUUCUUUUAGGGGUCACCUACAUGAUGAAAGAUGCUCAGGCACACAUCAUUGUUCUGUUUUCCCAUGUCAGGUCAUACUUGGUCUGUAACUGAAUCUUGAGAAUUCAUUUGUAUGACUUGAUGUACAAACGUGUUAUUCAUAAUGAAAAUAAUAUCAUUGUAUGUGCUUAAAAUAGUAUGUCAUAAUUCUGUAAAAAAAUGGCAUCUUCUACUAGGUAAAGAAGUAAUAACGGUAACAAAAAUCUUUGGGCAGUCUCCAUGUGUAGAAGGUUGGAACGUUUAGAUAUUAGGAAGUGUGCAUUAAUUCUCCCGAUGGAAAAUCGCCCAGCUAGGGAAUGAGAAUAGCGACACGAAAUAAAGAUUUUUGAUGUGUUUGUAUUUAAAACAAGAUAAUAAAAAUUGAUGUAUGUUUUGAUAAAUCUUUAAAGAACUACAGAUAACAAUGCCUGCACACCAUCGAUACACACUUGCACUCACAUACAUGGAUGGGUAUCAUCACUAUCCUAACCAUUCAACUAUUGGCUGGUUUCAAUAACAUUUGGUUUAUCAGCCAAUAACAUAUUAUUGCGUUCAAUAGUAUGAUUUAUGUUAGUUGAUUGUAAAAAAAGAGACGCGUGUUUUUUUAGACGACAUUGUUCUCGGCUAUUUUAGCUUUAUGAAUUGCAUCUUAAAUUUUUGUAAAAGCACGUGGCAACGCACGGGCGUUAUACUAGUCAAUGCAAUGACAUACAAAUUUACUAUUUAUCUCUGUUACUCAAGUGAAGUCCUCUUGGUGUUAAUAAUUUUACGUAAUGCAUGAUGUGCUUCUAUGUUAUUGGUUUCCACAAUAUAUCGGUGUCAGUUUUCUUUCUCUAAUAUGUUGAAAAGUAUAUAAUUAUUUAUAAUAUUACGUUGUACUAUAGUCACUAGUAUAAAAAGCCUCAUUCUUCCCGGUUCGUCAGGGCCAUUUGUCCCGGUUGCCAAACCGGGACCAAAGGGUCGGUACUAAAGCCCUAUACCUUUAGUCCCGGUUCGCCCAGAAACCGGAAUAGAUGUGGCUCCACAUGGCCGUUGUCGCUUGCCAGGAAGGAGGACCGUACCUUUUGUCCCGGUUCGUUCCACUAACCAGGACCAAAAGGCUUCCACGCAUCAGCAAUUUUUGAUUUUUUUNNNNNNNNNNNNNNNNNNNNNNNNNNNNNNNNNNNNNNNNNNNNNNNNNNNNNNNNNNNNNNNNNNNNNNNNNNNNNNNNNNNNNNNNNNNNNNNNNNNNNNNNNNNNNNNNNNNNNNNNNNNNNNNNNNNNNNNNNNNNNNNNNNNNNNNNNNNNNNNNNNNNNNNNNNNNNNNNNNNNNNNNNNNNNNNNNNNNNNNNNNNNNNNNNNNNNNNNNNNNNNNNNNNNNNNNNNNNNNNNNNNNNNNNNNNNNNGUAGGGUUAAUUUAGGGAUUUCAUAUAUUGUGUUAGCUAGCUAAUAGAGAGAAUUGUCCUCUCUUAUCUCCACGCUUGGUCGACGCUACGUAUAGAGAGGACUCGACACGCUAGCUAGCUAGUAAGCAAAUGAAGGAAACCAUUAAGUACAAAAGACCGUCAUGAACAUAUAUACACAGAGAGAAGUGAUUAACCUCUCCUUCUCCGAUAAAUUUGUUGAACAACAAGUUUUCGUAUAUCUAUCCGAUGCUACUGGCUACAUAUACAUAUAUAUAUAUAUAUACAAUGGUCUCAACUUCCACAUGGUAUUCUCCGUGUUUGUCGAUGACGUGGUCAAGAAAGAAUCCCGCCAAUUCCUCUAUGCGAUCUUGUGGUAGGAGUUCAUCCCGCAUCUGCCAAUUUCAAGAAGAGGGUCAAUACAUAUAUAUGAAUGAAACUGAAGACAAAUGAUGGUAAUAGAAUAAAAUUGUGAAUAUUAUUGCUUACACACUUCAUAUUGUUGUUUAGAGUAGCCCCGCUCACAGGUGGUGUGGUGGAUGAACUCGCAAAUGUAGUAUCCACAGAAAUCCUUCCCGGGUUCUUGCCACAACCACUUUCCAAGAAAUAGAGGUCAAUCAAACUGAUAAGAAAGCAUUCUAAAUGGUAUUGAUGAAACUAGCUAGAAUCAAUGGGAGAUGCGCGGAACUAGCUAGUAGCUAGUUACUUUUGGGUGGUCAAAUCAUAGUUGCGCCGGCAGUCCCGGAGCUUGUGCAGUGAAAUUUUUCCAAACCCUGCCAGACAAAGAAAACAAUUACUUGAUAUCAAGAAAUGAACAAAGUUGUCGAUAUGGUGCGAUAAUGAUCGAUUGAACUUACUUCUCGAGCAUUUUAGUCAUGGUCGCAUACUCCUCUGGAUUUUUUCAUUUGGAGUCUAUGACGGUUACUAGUCCCUGCUCAAGCUUAAUCUCUAGCAGAAUAAAGUGGAAGCUGUGCGCGCAUGCAUAACUCAUCAAUUACAUUACUAUAACCACGAGUAAUAAGGGAAACCGAAUAUGCACAAGACAGUAACACUCACUUGUAUUCGUAAGGAAAGAGUAUUGUAGCUUUGUUUUGAUUUCGAAGUAACGAUGCGAGCAAGUUGGCCUCGGUUUGUCUGGCAUCAUGUUUAACACUCAAUUCAUCCAUGGGAUUUAUGUUAAUGAACCCAAUAUCACCUACAUGUCUUUUCUUCAAUUCGGCGAUCUUCAAUCUGCAUAAUAUAGUGAGGAUAACUAUAUAUACAUGCAAUGAAAGAGCUGAGCUAUAUAUAGACACUUAAUUAAUUACAGAGAAGUAGUACUUAUAGACAGUAGCUGUUGGGGAACAUAGUAAUUUCAAAAAAAAUCCUACGCACAUGCAAGAUCAUGGUGAUGCAUAGCAACAAGAUGGGAGAGUGUUGUCCACGUACCCUCGUAGACCGAAAGUGGAAGCGUUAGCACAACGCGGUUGAUGUAGUCGUACGUCUUCACGAUCCGACCGAUCAAGUACCGAAAGCACGACACCUCCGAGUUCAGCACACAUUCAGCUCGACGACGUUCCUCGAACUCCGAUCCAACCGAGCUUUGAGGGAGAGUUCCGUCAGCAUGACGGCGUGGUGACGAUGAUGAUGUUCUACCGUCACAGGGCUUCGCCUAAGCACUGCUGCGAUAUUAUCGAGGUGGAUUAUGGUGGAGGAGGGCACCGCACAUGGCUAUAGAUCUCAAGCAUCAAUUGUUGUGUCUAGAGGUGCCCCCCUGCCCCCGUAUAUAAAGGAGCAAGGGGGAGGGGGCGGCCGGCAAGGAGGGGCGCGCCAGGAGGAGUUACUCCCACCGGGAAUAGGACUCCCUCCUUUCCUUGUCCAAGUAGGAGAGAGGGAAGGAAGGGGAGAGAGGAGAGGAAGGAAAGGGGGGCGCCGCCCCCCUCCUUGUCCUAUUCGAACUACAGGGAAAUGGGGCGCGCGGCCUGCCCGGGCCGCCCCUCCUCUGCUCCACUUUGGGCCCAUGAGGCCCAUUAACCCCCCGGGGGGUUCCGGUAACCCCCGGUACUCCGGUAUACAUCCGAUAACCUCUGGAACCAUUCUGGUGUCCGAAUAUAGUCGUCCAAUAUAUCAAUCUUCAUGUCUCGACCAUUUCGAGACGCCUCGUCAUCUCCGUGAUCACAUCUGGGACUCCGAACUAUCUUCGGUACAUCAAAACAUAUAAAGUCAUAAUAUAACCAUCAUCUAACUUUAAGCAUGCGGAAGCUACGGGUUCGAGAACUAUGUAGACAUGACCGAGACACGUCUCCGGUCAAAAACCAAUAGCGGAACCUGGAUGCUCAUAUUGCCUCCCACAUAUUCUAUGAAGAUAUUUAUCGGUCAAACCGCAUAACAACAUACAUUGUUCCCUUUGUCAUCGGUAUGUUACUUGCCCGAGAUUCGAUCGUCGGUAUCUCAAUACCUAGUUCAAUCUCGUUACCGGCAAGUCUCUUUACUCGUUACAUAAUGCAUCAUCUCGUAAUUAACUCAUUAGCUACAUUUCUUGCAAGGCUUAUAUGAUGUGCAUUACCGAGAGGGCCAAGAGAUACCUCUCCGAUUAUCGGAGUGACAAAUCCUAAUCUCAAAAUACGCCAACUCAACAUGUACCAUCGGAGACACCUGUAGAGCUCCUUUAUGAUCACCCAGUUACGUUGUGACAUUUGGUAGCACACAAAGUGUUCCUCUGGUAAACGGGAGUUGCAUAAUCUCAUUGUUGUAGGAACAUGUAUAAGUCAUGAAGAAAGCAAUAGCAACAUACUAAACAAUCAAGUGCUAAGCUAACGGAAUGGGUCAAGUCAAUCACAUCAUUUUUCUAAUGAUGUGAUCCCGUUAAUCAAAUGACAACUCAUGUCUAUGGUGAGGAAACAUAACCAUCUUUGAUUAACGAGCUUGUCAAGUAGAGGCAUACUAGUGAUAUUGUGUUUGUCUAUGUAUUCACACAUGUAUUAUGUUUCCGGUCAAUACAAUUCUAGCAUGAAUAAUAAACAUUUAUCAUGAUAUAAGGAAAUAAAUAAUAACUUUAUUAUUGCCUGUAGGGCAUAUUUCCUUCAUUUUCCCACUUGCACUAGAGUCAAUAAUCAAGAUUACAUAGUAAUGAUUCUAACAUCCAUGGAUCCUUGGUGCUGAUCAUGUUUUUGCUCGUGGAAGAGGCUUAGUCAAUGGGUCUGCAACAUUCAGAUCCGUAUGUAUGUCGCUAAUCUCUAUGUCUCCCACCUGGACUUGGUCCUGGAUGGAAUUGAAGCGUCUCUUGAUGUGCUUGGUCCUCUUGUGAAAUCUGGAUUCCUUUGCCAAGGCAAUUGCACCAGUAUUGUCACAGAAGAAUUUCAUCGGUCCCGAAGCAUUAUGUAUGCCACCUAGAUUGGAUAUGAACUCCUUCAUCCAGACUCCUUCAUUUGCUGCUUCUGAAGCAGCUAUGUACUCCGCUUCGCAUGUAGAUCCCGCCAUGACGCUUUGUUUAGAACUGCACCAUUUGACAACUACACCGUUUAAUAUAAACACGUAUCCGGUUUGCGAUUUAGAAUCGUCUGGAUCAGUGUUAAAGCUUGCAUCAACGUAACCAUUUACGACUAGCUCUUUGCACCUCCAUAAAAGAGAAACAUAUCCUUAGUCCUUUUCAGGUAUUUCAGGAUAUUCUUAACCGCUAUCCAGUGAUCCACUCCUGGAUUACUUUGGUACCUCCCUGCUAAACUUAUUGCUAAGCAUGCAUCAGGUCUGGCACACAGCAUUGCAUACAUGAUAGAGCCUAUGGCUGAAGCAUAGGGAACAUCUUUCAUUUUCUCUCUAUCUUCUGCUGUGGUCCGGCAUUGAGUCUGACUCAACUUCACAGGCAAGAACCCUUUAUUUGCUUGAUCCAUUUUGAACUUUUUCAAAACUUUAUCAAGGUAUGUGCUUUGUGAAAGUCCAAUUAAGCGUCUUGAUCUAUCUCUAUAGAUCUUGAUGCCUAAUAUAUAAGCAGCUUCACCAAGGUCUUUCAUUGAAAAACUUUUAUUCAAGUAUCCUUUUAUGCUAUCCAGAAAUUUUAUAUCAUUUCCAAUUAACAAUAUGUCGUCUACAUAUAAUAUCAGAAUUGCUAUAGAGCUUCCACUCACUUUCUUGUAAAUACAGACUUCUCCAGAAGUAUGUAUAAAACCAUAUGCUUUGAUCACACUAUCAAAGCAUUUAUUCCAACUCCGAGAGGCUUGCACCAGUCCAUAAAUGGAUCGCUCGAGCUUUCACACUUUGUUAGCACCUUUUGGAUCGACAAAACCUUCUGGUUGCAUCAUAUAAAACUCUUCUUCUAGAGAUCCAUUCAGGAAUGCAGUUUUGACAUCCAGUUGCCAUAUUUCAUAAUCAUAAAAUGCGGCAAUUGCUAACAUGAUUCGGACAGACUUAAGCAUCACUACGGGUGAGAAAGUCUCAUCGUAGUCAACCCCUUGAACUUGUCAAAAACCUUUCGCAACAAGUAGACAGUAACAUUACCAUUAGUGUGAGUCUUCUUCUUGAAGAUCUAUUUAUUCUUGAUGGCUUGCCGAUCAUCGGGCAAGUCAACCAAACUCCAUACUUUGUUCUCAUACAUGGAUCCCAUCUCAGAUUUCAUGGCCUCAAGCUAUUUUGCAAAAUCUGGGCUCAUCAUCGCUUCCUCAUAGUUCAUAGGUUCGCCAUGGUCAAGUAACAUGACUUCCAGAAUAGGAUUACCGUACCACUUUGGUGCGGAUCUUACUCUCACUACUAGGAAAAGGUCUAUAGAUAGGAUUGAUACUAAUGGCGCACCAGGUAAGUAGUGCGCCACUACUAUAUACUAAUGGCGCACCGGUUGGAGGUGCGCCAUUAGUGUGGAAGACACUAAUGGCGCACCAGACACAUGGUGCGCCACUAGUAUUGAAUUUUUUUUCCGUUUUUCCAUACAUACUAAUGGCGCAUGAUGUCAAAGUGCGCCAUUACUAGUUCUAACUAGUAAUGGCGCACCGUGCAGACAGUGCGCCAUUAGUAUUUUUUUUUACUUUUUUGCAAAACUACUAAUGGCGCACCGUGUCAAAGUGCGCCAUUACUAGUUUAAACUACUAAUGGUGCACUUUUCCACAGUGCGCCAUUAGUAUAUAUUUUUUUACUUUUCUGCAAAAACUACUAAUGGAGCACCACCUGCAGGUGCGCCAUUAGUAACCAGGGUUACUAAUGGCGCAUUUGCUGGUGGUGUGCCAUUAGUAACCCGGGACCAACAAGAUAUUUUGGACAGCCCACCUACCCACUCACUUUCCCCACUUCAUUCUCUCCACCUCCUCCUCCAAGCUUGUCUCGGAUGCCUCCUCGUCCUCACCUCAUUUCCACCAUAGAUUCAUCAAAAUUAAGUGGUGAAAUUACCUUUUUUUGAUAGGUAAGUAAGGGGAAAGCUAUCUUCAUGAUGUAGAUCUACUUUUUUCUCCCUAGCUCGCUCCAACAACGUGCACAUGCACUUUUUGUGGCCUAGCUAGAUCUAUGUAUGUUUGUGGUGUUGCUUGUGUUUUUGGUGUUGCAUAUAUGUUUGUGUUUGCAGGUACCGGUAUUUGGAAUGCGAUAGUUGCCAAUAUUUUGCCGGAAUGUUGAUUCAUUUCCGUUUCGGCGAGAAUUUUGGCACUAUGCAUUCUUUUUGGUCCUAUUUUUAGGGAAGGUCAUGCCAAAAAUUUUCUUGGUUCUAAAAUAUGGUUUUGCUCUACCCCGCAGGCGACCAUGGUCCGCACGACGACCGAAGGCAUCGUUAAUAGGUUUUUGUGCUCCGCGAAGGCCGAGAUACUUCAAAAGAACGAGAAGGAGAUAAGAUGUCCGUGUCAAAGAUGCAAGCUGAAGAGCCUUAUUGUGGACGCGGAUUCCGGGCAGGUGCGGGACCACUUGCUCUUGCGUGGUUUCAUGGAUGUCUAUCGGUGGCAAGGUGAUGAAGAUGACUAUGAAGUCGUCCAUGGGGGCCGGGCAAGAAAUGAGGAAGGGCAACAAGACAAGUACCACCGCGGUGAGGGCGGACGAGAAGACGAAGAAUCUCCAGGACAUGAUCACGGCGGUGAUGUUGUACACAGUCAUCAUGUAGAAGAUGUCGUACAUGAUGAUGAGGAAGAUCAAGACGAAGGGCAUGAUCAUGAAGAUGAAGAUGCCGGAGUAGACAAUGAUGGAGGCUGGGUGCAGGACCCUCAUAUUCAAGAGCCGCUACUCAAGCAGAUGGAUAAUGCAAGAGCUGCCGCCCGAGAGAAAGCCAAGCUGGAUCAACUGGAGAUAGACGCGGUUACUCCAUUGUAUGAAGGAUGCAUGCCCGAGGAUACCCGCCUGAAAGUAACGCUCAUGGCUCUGGAGAUGAAGGUAAAACACAAAAUGACCGACGCAUGCUUCGAUGAGAACAUGUCAUUCUGGCACGAACGUCUUCCCAAGGGGAACAAGUGCCCAGCCAGUUUCGAGGAGGCGAAGAAAAUCGUGUGUCCUCUGGAUUUACCGCACGUGAAAUACCAUGUGUCCAUGAACAAUUGCAUCAUUUAUCGGGACGAGCACGCGGAGUCUACCAUAUGUCCGGUGUGCGGCGUCACUCGAUACAAGAAGAGGAAGAAAGCUCCUCGAAAAUCGGUGUGGUACUUUCCGAUCACUCCUCGUCUGCAGCGGUAUUUUGCGGACCCUAAGGUAGCCAAGCUCCUGCGUUGGCACACAGAUAGGGAGGAGAAGAAGCAGGAAAAUGAUGGAAAUGAUCCGGAGAUAAAUAAAAAAGACAAGAUGCUGAGUCACCCUAAGGAUGCGAGCCAGUGGCAAGCAUUGAACUUCGAAUACCCAGAAUUUAGAAAGGAUCCAAGGAACAUCGUGCUGGGUGCGAGCACCGAUGGAGUCAAUCCGUUUGGCAGCCAGAGAAGCACACAUAGCACCUGGCCUGUGUUUGUGUGGAUGUACAACCUUCCCCCCUGGUUGUGCAUAAAGAGGAAGUACAUUCACAUGAGUAUGCUAAUUGAAGGGCCGAAACAACCAGGGAACAACAUCAAUCUAUAUCUGGGGCUGCUGAAGGAGGAGCUAGACACGCUGUGGAAAACGCCAGCCAAUACGUGGGACGCCGCAGAGAAAGAAUAUUUCCCUAUGAGAGCCGCACUGCUCACGACAGUGCACGACUAUCUCGGUUACGGAUAUCUCGCGGGGCAGGUAGUCCACGGAUUUCCUGGAUGCGUAAGGUGCAUGGAUGACACAACGUAUCGCCAGCUAGAUAGAGAUCCCGGGUCUUCGAAAACUGUGUUCAUGGGACAUCGAAGUUGGCUUCGCGAUGAUGACCCGUGGAGGAAACGCAAGGAUCUGUUCGAUGGUGAAACCGAACCCCGAAAACGCCCCUGUACGAGGAGCGGCGAGGAAAUAGACGAGCUGUUGAAAAAUUGGAAAGACUGCCCACUACCGGGAAAGAAGAAAAAGGCGCCAGAGCCGGGAAAGAAGCUAAAGGCGCCAGAGCUGCUGCUGAAGGUAUGGAAAACGAGGUCUGUUUUCUGGGACUUGCCGUACUGGAAGAUCCACCGUGUGCCUCACAGCCUUGAUGUCAUGCAUAUCACGAAGAACGUGUGCGAGAGUCUGCUUGGUACCCUGCUCAACAUGUCAGAGAGGACCAAAGAUGGGCCGAAAGCAAGGGCAGACUUUACAUCAAUGGGCAUCAGGCAGGAGCUUCACGCUAAUGAUGAUGAUGAGGCAAAGCAGGACACAAAAAGUCGUCGCAAAGGCAAAAAGGCCAAGAAGACCGGAAAUGACUACCCUCCCGCGUGCUUCACUCUAAGUCAGGAGGAGAUCAAGCAGUUUUUCACCUGCCUCCUAGGAGGAAAACUUCCUUACGGUUACGCGGGGGAGAUAAGCAAAUACCUAGACCUAGCGAGGCAGAAGUUCAGCGGGAUGAAGUCUCACGACUGUCACAUAAUGAUUACGCAGAUACUUCCAGUUGCAAUCCGUGGGAUCAUGGACGCGCACGUCCGUGAAACGCUAUUUGGCAUAUGCAACUUUUUCGACGUCAUCUCUCAGAAGUCGAUUGGCGUGAGGCAACUCAGAAGGCUACAGGAAGAUAUCUGGUGAUACUAUGCGAGCUUGAGAUGUACUUCCUGCCCGCAUUCUUCGACGUUAUGGUGCAUCUACUGGUCCAUAUCAUGGAGGAUAUCAUCCAACUCGGGCCGACGUUCCUGCACAGCAUGAUGUUGUUCGAAAGGAUGAAUGGUGUCAUCAAAGGAUACGUUUGCAACUUGUCACGUCCAGAGGGAAGUAUAGCCAGGGGCUUUCUGACCGAAGAGUGCAUCUCCUACUGCACGAAUUAUCUAGGCAUCGAGAACCCCGUUGGUCUGCCCGUCAACAGGCACCUCGGCAGGCUCGCUGGAUGGGGUCACCGUGAGGGUCGCCGAAAUGCAUGUCAACAUCGAGGGUCGACUCGCCGACUUUGAAAGAGCAAACCUAGUCACGCUACAACGCAUAGACGUGGUCGAUCCUUGGGUGGUAGAGAACAAAACCUUUAUUGAGAAGACGUACAAUGACCGAGGCCAACAGAGGACGGACGGAGAUAUAAUCAAAGAGCACAACUCAUGUUUCACGCGUUGGUUCAAGCAGAAGCUUCUGUCGUACCCUUUACAUGAGGAUUCUAUCGCGGAAGAACAACUCAUAUUCGCCUUGUCACAGGGUGCCGAGCACAACUUGAUGACCUAUGAGGCGUACGAUAUCAACGGAUACACAUUCUACAUCGAGAACAAGGACAUGAAGAGCGAUGGUUAUCAGAACUCCGGGGUAACGAUGGAAUCCUACACCGGCAACGACAAGGACAGAUACUACGGAAGGAUCGAGGAGAUCUGGGAGCUGAGCUACGCUGGAGAGAAGGUCCCGAUGUUCCGUGUCAGAUGGGCCAAGAGCGUCCUAAAAGAAGACCGGUAUUUCACCACCAUGGUUAUACCCGAAGCCAAAUCCAAGACCACGGGCACAAACGUCACCGCGAAAAAUGAGCCAUGGGUACUAGCUUCCCAAGUGGACCAAUGCUUCUUCAUUACCGACCCGUCAAAGCCCAGUCGUGUUGUCGUGAGGGGAGGCAAAAGGAAGAUCAUCGGAAUGGAUGGAGUAGCCAAUGAGCAAGACUUCGACAAGUACGGCGACCCGAAGAUCGAACAUGACGACGACGAUGAAGUAGCAGCACACACCACAAGAAGAAGCAGGACCACACUACCUAAAGGACGUCCAUUCCACAGAAGAACUCCAUUUGUGAAAAAGAAGGGAAAGAAGAUUGUGAACAGAUAGCUAGCUAAGAUCGAUUGUAUUUAAAUUGUAGUCUUCAUUUCUCGAUUGUAUUUCAUGGGCACUUUUUGAUAUCAUGAAUAUUUUUAAAUUUCAUGGACUCUUUUUGAAUUCAUGAGGACACUUGAUCUCGAUCCCCCUCCAUCUCGAUCUCGAUUCCCCCUCCAUCUCGAUCUCGAUUCCCCCUCCAUCUCGAUCUCGAUCCCACCCGCACCCUCCCCCGCUAGCUCCACCGNNNNNNNNNNNNNNNNNNNNNNNNNNNNNNNNNNNNNNNNNNNNNNNNNNNNNNNNNNNNNNNNNNNNNNNNNNNNNNNNNNNNNNNNNNNNNNNNNNNNNNNNNNNNNNNNNNNNNNNNNNNNNNNNNNNNNNNNNNNNNNNNNNNNNNNNNNNNNNNNNNNNNNNNNNNNNNNNNNNNNNNNNNNNNNNNNNNNNNNNNNNNNNNNNNNNNNNNNNNNNNNNNNNNNNNNNNNNNNNNNNNNNNNNNNNNNNNNNNNNNNNNNNNNNNNNNNNNNNNNNNNNNNNNNNNNNNNNNNNNNNNNNNNNNNNNNNNNNNNNNNNNNNNNNNNNNNNNNNNNNNNNNNNNNNNNCUCCACCGCCGCCAACGGGCAGCCCCCGCACCCUCCCCCGCUCCACCGCCGCCGCGAUGAUAUUUUCAAGUAACAAAUUGGAACAUAUUUUUUAAAAAAUUAUUAUUGUUUUUCUAAAAAAAUAUUACUGUUAUGAUUUAAACAAGUUUGAACAUAUUUAAACACAAAUAAAUAUCAAACAUGAUUUAAAAUGCAUAAAAAACAAUAUUGGGGAGCCUGGGAAUCAAACCCAGGACCUCCUGGUGUGUGUGCUGCGUACUGACCAGUCGGGCUAGUGGGCGGGUUCUGUUGUAGAUAGGGUUAGGUGGUAUAUAACCUGACAAGUCGGGCUAGAUUAAAUUACUUAUGGUGCACCCCUCGGUGGUGCGCCAUUGCUAUGGAUGUACUUAUGGCGCAUCCCUGGGUGGUGCGCAAUUGCUAAGCCUCCCCCAAACUAAAAUCCUUAAUCUCUCAAAUUUCUCUCUAAUCCCUCCCCUGCCUCAUCUCACCCGCCGACCACCACUUCCCCCGUGCUCGCCGUCCCCGGCCGUGCACCCGACCACCCUCCGCCGCCGACCACCUCCCUCACCGUCCCCCCUCCGCCCGCGCCCACGCCCUCGCCGUCGCCUGCGUCAACCUCCCUCCCGAGCACGAUAGCUAGGGUUCCUAGCCGCCGCCACCGCUGCCAGCCCGCCGCCGCCGCGUGCCCAGCCGGCCGAACCCUCCGCUGCCCCGCCUCCGAUACAGGACCCUAGCAGCGCCUCCCCCCAUCAAGCAUGUAGCCACCACUCCUUCGUCCUUCCUCCCUCUUUCCUCAUCCCCCUCCCUCCUUCCUCUUGCUUGCGGCGUGAUUUUUCCAGAGCAUGCUCAUGUUUACAUGUGAAAGGAUUGUGCUUGAUAGGUGUUUGUGAUAAUGCCUCUAAGGGCAAAUGUUUACAAAUUGUAGGUUGAAUAUUUUUCAUGAGCAAUUUUUUUGGUUUAAACAUGUUAGCUGUGGUAAUUGUAGGUUUCAUGAUCAGUGCUGAAGUUGGCACUCUUUAAAUUCAGAAAGAAAAAGCACCACAUAAUAUUGAUGGACAGGGGAAAGCUUUGCAAUUGCACUCACAAGUGUCAAGCACCAACUAAAUAGCCACUCCUAAUAAAUCCCUUCCAUGACAGUACGAUGCUCACCUUCGUUCGACACAUGAUAUCCCCCCGCAUUAGCUAAAAUGACGAAAACCGAAUGCGAUAAUCCUAGUGUUCUCUUGUGGUAGUGGUGGUGAGAUGCCCAUAUCAUGCAUAUGGUGGGCAAUGAUGAUGAUUAGAUCCCUGUUUUAGGAUCUGAGCUCUCUCUUCUCUGAAUUCAACUAAGGCAUGAGGAACAAUGGGGGAGAUAGCUAUUAGAUCCAUGUCUUAGUAGUGGUAAACAAUCGUGUAGGUCAAUUGUUGCUUACUUGUUUGGUUUGUGCUAACAAUCUCUAAGUGAAAUCAACUAGUGAAAGCAACUAGUUAUGUUUGUUAGCAGCAAGAUAUGUAAAUGAAGCUUGUUCUUUUUCAACUGUUCAACUGAUGCGAUGAAACUAAAUAUAGUAGUUGAAAACCCUGUUUUUCUUCCUGAUCGUGAAAAUUUGAAGUCCUGUUUGUGUUUUGGUUUUGUUGGUUGACAAUUAUGUUUAGUUUUUCAUUUCAUGGGUGCUGUAAAAUGUGCUGGUGGUGAGUUGAGUCUCAGCAUACAGCUUGUUUGGACUAACCAAGAGGACAAGGUAUGUUGCUUGCCCAAGCUAAGUGACACGUAUGCGCCAAGUUUUCUGUUAUAUAAUUACCUGUUAGUGCUUAGUUAAACUGCAUGAUACGGCCAUAGCAGAUGGAUGGUACUAGGUGUUGUUUUGUUUCUUGCUAAUGUAUUCAGAGAGCAGAUGUGCCACUGCAGAUUUCUUUUCUUGAAGGCAGCUCACAUAAAUUGAGCUACAAGUGAACAACUUGCUACUAUUAGAUCUGGAAUGGAAGCUCACAUAAGUUGAGCUGAUUUUUGUCCAUAUGAAAGCAGAGGACCAUAUGGUCUGUGGCCUUUUCUUCCAUAUGAAAGUAGAGGCACAUUGUGGUGCUAGUUUGCUGGGUUUUGUCUCCGACCAUCGUGUCGUGAUGAAUUUGCAGGUACCCCGAGAGGCCCUUGAGUUUGCCGAAAUGUUGAUUAACUUCCGUUCUGGCAAAUUCGGGUACUCCAUAUGUCCUAUUUUCAGUAAAGGUCAUGCUGAAAUUUUCUGUGAAUUUUAGCAUGACUUUGCUAAAAAUAGGACAUAUGGGGUACUUGCGACUAAUGCAUGGGCCGGGGUAUCUUAGUACUUAAUUAAGUAGGAUCAACUACCCCUUUAUUCUUGCUGCAUUAAACCAUAGGUGGCAAUAGAACCAAGUGAUUAGGCCCAACUUAGAAUUCUCGUUAGCAUCGAUAAACCCUAGAUGAUAACCCAACAUAGGUGGCAAUAGAGCCAAGUGAUUAGUGCCAAGUGAUUAGGCCCAACCUAGGGUGCCUUGGCAUCGAUAAACCCUAAAUGAUGAUAACUUAACUUGGCUGCCCCGGAUGCCUCGGUGUCGAUGAGAACCUAAAUGAUGUACGCUUAGGCUUUUAGGGUGCCUCGGCGUCGACAAACCAUAAAUGAUGAAAGCUUAGGCUUUUAGGGUGCCUCAGCAUCGACAAACCCUAAAUGAUGAGACCAUGAUCCUGUUCCUUGACAAUAACCAACUUUUCGACCAAACUUUUUUCCUAUUUAGAGUGAAACAUGGCCCACAACGAUGAGGCCGGUGGUUCGGGCGGCAAGCAAUUCUGGGAGCUGUCCCAGGAGAUGGAGGAACAACAUCAUCGCUAUGAGGACGCCGCGGAAGACACGGAUCCUGACUACACAACCCCUAGUGGCAUCGGGGAUGACACCACUGAUGGUGCCUCCGAGGAUGCCACCACUGAUGAUGGCGGCGCACACACAGAUGGCAGCCAACCUAAGAAGCAAAGGAAGCACUGGCGCCCGAAUGCGCUCCGCACCCUCAAGGAGGAAUUCGCUCAAUUGGACUCCGAUGGGAAUCCAACGGAGCCCAAACAUAUAGUCAAGGGGUACUCACUUCAGCUCGGGUGCAUUCUCCGGAGCAACGUCUCGAUCAACACCGAUAACCUUAGGAAUAAGGACCACGGGAAUUUGCGCAACCUCCUCUUCACGAAGCUGCACGAACGAUACAAGUUCCCCGCCGAAUUUGAAAACACACGCCUCUCAGGGAAUAAAGUGAACAGUGCCGCUCUCACGAAGAUGAGCAUGGCCCUGUCUACUUGGAGAAGCGCGGUGAAGAGAAUGAUUGAUAAAGGUGAUAGUUAUGAGAAGAUAAAGGCGAAAUAUCCUUUGAUGAGCGAAGAUGAGUACAAGGAGUUCAAGAUCAAGUGCGAGAGCAGCGCAACCUCCGAAUCAAGUCAGUGGGGGAAAGAAAUGCGGGAGUUGAACUUAGGGGAACACAAACUCGGUCCCGACGGUUACAGAGUGGCGGAGACUAUAUGGGACAAGGAGGACGCGGAGCAUGCCGAGCAAGGCCUACCACCCCGCUUCGAGAAAUACAGCGGUGACAAGCAGACCAGGAACUAUGUCAGGGCCCGGUACAAGGAGGACCCGAUAACAAAGGAGCUUAGCACGGAUCCGAAGACCAGGGCGCUUGAGCUUGUUCUGGUAAGGAAUACACCCCCGCGUAAUUAGCUCCAUAUGGUUGCACUCUAAUUAAUCCCCAAUAUAUCUAAAUGGUUCACAUUCCUUUCGCAGGACACUGCGGGGUCAUCUCAGAGCUCCCCUUUUGACACCCCUUUAAAUAGGGCGUUGAACAUAAUGAAAAGCAAGGAUAAUCUCACUAAGCCGACGUCAGCUGGUUGUGUGGCCGGCAAAGGCUUGUCCACAAAAUGGGGGUCAUACUAUACCACUGGUGUGCGGAAGGAGAAGAAGGCCAGCUCGGAAAGCCAGACGCGCGAGGUUGAAGCACUCAAGGCACAAGUGGCGCGGAUUCCGGAGCUUGUCCAAGAGCAAGUGGAACUACAACUGGGAAUGAAGCUCAACGCCAUGGUGUCUACGUUGAUUCAUGGGCUGACGACGUGGAUUGCAGGCGGCCAAUAGGGGCCUCCCUCGGUUCCCAGCUUCAUAGCCAGCAACUCGCACAGCGCGCAGGCGGCGCCAUUGGUGUCUCCGGUGGCGCCAUUGAUGUCUCCGGCGGCGGCGCCAUUGGUGUCUCCGGCGGUGGCGCCAUUAGUGUCUCCGGCGGAGGCGGUAUUCGUGUCUCCGGCGCCGGCACGGGCAUUGGAGCUUAAUGCACCCGGGUGUACGCCGUCCGGCACCUCGCAAGCAAGCGCCCCCUCCGUCAGUUUCACGCCUGCCGUUGGCGGUGCCUCGACAUUAGCCGAGCUCGACGGCAUAACGGUAACUAAGCCUCUCAGCCGAUGACUUCAUCUCCUUGCCUUUGACUGGGCAUCCCUGACGCCCUGUACAUGUUUUUGCAGGGCACCGCCGACAUUCCUUGCACUCUUCUACACUUCGUGGGCGCCGAGUUGGUCGAUGUCGCCAAGGGCAGAAUCGUUCAACUGUGCAACCCCAUGUUCCACGGUAAUCCGAUGCCACCCAUAGUGUAUAGGGUUGAAGUGGUUCGGGUGCUGCCAGGCUGCGACGAGCUGUUACCUCCGGUUCGACCCGUUGGGGCCGACGAAGAAGAUGAGAUGACCCUCAGCGCUUGCGUAAACUGGCCCCUGCUUUGGCCGAACAUCCAGAUUCGUUUGGGGGAGGGGGACACCACCCCACAGACAAGACCGCCAGUCGUGUCGGCGCCAAGCCAUGGCAGGAACGCCGCAACGCUACCAGACCUACCGGACAUCCCUAUGGCACAAGAUCCGGAACGCCCUAUGGCACAGGAUCCGGAUGACGACAACAACGACGAUGGUACAUUUACCAAAGUCGAUAAGUACUUUGCCGAACAUGGGUAUGCUGACGAGUUCUGCGAGCCUCGUUCUCAAGAACCCAACCAAGACGACCGCAAUCUAGCUGGUACGGCGGAGAAAUCCAAUUGCAAAAGGAGUCGUCUGGCGUUCAGUUCUCAGGAGACGCCUCCAGCUCCCGCCUUCACCAAGCCUCAGAUAGCUGAGGUGCAAAAUAUUAUCAGCCCCAACACGCUCAAGAAGGCGGUCUGUGAGCAGAACUCGGUCCCAUUACAGGAGAUCAAGAAGAAGGGACGGAAACGGAAGACUAACAAGGGCGCCGGUGCGAGCCAGCCGGCACCAAGUUCGAUCCGUGCUCAGGACGGGCCACCUUCACCUAAGGAUAUCUCGAGGAGGGUGCAUGUGGCGGGUAGGGCGAUGCUACCGCCAAAUAUGCUGAAUGCUACAACCAGUGCUAUACGGAGUCUGCACGACAGUGUUCUUUCUUUGGAGAAGUGGCGUCUCAGAGAGAAUGAUGUGGCAUACCCGGUUUUCGUGGCCAAAGUGCCAGAGGGAAAGGGCUUUGUGGAUGGCGACAUCGGGGGUACGAUCGUCCUGCGGUUUGAUGACAUCUUUGCUAUGUUUAACCUUCAUCCGUUGCACUACACCUUCGUUCGGCUGUUUUCGCUGAGUAUGGAGAUGCGGAUCAUUAGAGACAAGGCCCCGGACAUCAUGAUAGUCGACCCCUUCUACAUGCGUGCCAAGCACUUGAGCAGCGCUGGGGACCGCCAAGUUGCGAGUUCACACCUCGAAGGCGUCAUUCUGGCAAACCCAGAUAAGGAUAACUUCCUUGUGGCUUACUUUCCCGAGUAAGUCAUCCCUUAACCGCCCCGUAACAUAUGGUUUCUUAGAUUUCGAUCAUUUUUUUUCUAACAUUCCGUGUUCUGUGCAGUGACACACAUUGUACACUCAUCCUCUUAAGCCCGAAAUAUUCCAUGGCCACGUAUUUCGACCCGAACCGUAACUCCAAGAUAGACUACACAAAUGUCAAGAAAGUUCUUGAUGAUGUUCUCCCCGACUACGCCAAAUCUGGAGGCACCUUCACCAGGGCGUCUCGUAAUUACGGCAAGCACAUGUUCUCACACAAUACGAAUUUCUUCUGCGUCAAGCAGCCGCCUGGCGGUCAGAAGGAUGCCUACUACGCCCUCCAUCACAUGCGGGCGAUCGUAAGGGACCAUCAUCAACUUCUGCUACUAGAUAAUCUCAAAGGUUGGGCCGCGAACUUGUCGGCAAUCCAGGACGCGGACCUCAGACAAGAAUUCUUUCGCAUCCAGUCAGAGUUUGCGGACAUCAUCCAUCAAGAUGACCUUCAUACCUCGGGGCAGUUCUACCUCAGAUAUCAACCAUCCAACAAUGAGAUAGAUGGAACGCUACAAAUGCAGGGUGACAACGACUGCGAUUUCAUGACCAUCACGACAGACGGCGGCUUCAUCCACGCUCAUGUCCGAUGAGUCGAGUCGAAAGUAGUGAUGUGUAGUUCUGAAACAUUGAUUGGCUCAUGUUGUAAUUAAACUUUAAUGAAUUCGUAUGUCUCUUUGGUUUGUACAGUCGUUCAACUUAGAUGUAAUCAAUGCUAUUUAUUAGUAGGACCAUGAAUCGUGCGAUUAAUGUCUUGCUUUUCUCUUCCGAUCCUUUUGUUGCAUACUUACAUAUUGCUUAUGUAUUGUCUGUUGUUUGGCUUGUGCAUAGAGAUGCCGUCGUAUGUCGUAUACAAGGGUAAGGUUCCCGGAGUCUACGACUACUGGGAGGAGUGUCGGAGACAGGUUCACCGUUUGAGCGGUAACAGUUACAAAGGGUACACCACUAGGGCGGAGGCCGAAUCUAGAUACGCCCGCUAUCUAGCGGGAGAGAGGAGGGAGCGUUGGAGGAACCGGAUGAAGACCAGUUUGAUCGCGAUGAUGCUCAUCGUGAUGACCACAACUCUCUUUUAUGUGAUGGUAGUUUAGAUGAUCGAUAUCGACUUGUAAUGUGAAGACAAACUCGAUACUCGCGGUCUUGAGACUUGUAAUGUUUUAUCUUUGUUCGGUCUUUUGAAUUCGGAGACUAAUAUGAUGAAUUGUAUUCGGAGACUAAUCUUCUAUUGUAUUCGAUGAAUCUGAUGUUGCUGUGUGCUGUUGUGUAUAUUCUGUCCAAUAAUAUAUUUUGUAACCUGUGCAAAAAUCAGAAAAGCAAAAAAAAACCAAAUAUUCAUACUAAUGGCACAUCACCACAAGGUGCACCAUUAGUAUGCCAAAAGGAUACUAAUGGCGCAUCAAGGCAGGGUGCGCCAUUAGUAUGACAAAGCACAUGGUUACAUAUGGGCCCCCGUGAGGCAUACUAAUGGCGCACGGUGUUACAUACUAAUGGCGCACUGCCUGGUGCGCCAUUUGUACACCAGAUACUAAUGGCGCUCCAGAGGUGCGCCAUUAGUAAAAAAUACUAGUGGCGUGCUACUAAUGGCGCACCGGUAGUGCGCCAUUAGUAGGCAAAACCGGUGCGCCAUUAGUAGGCCUUUUCCUAAUAGUGUCCUCUUGACCUACGAGGUUUGGUAGUAACUUGAUCUAAAGUUUCAUGAUCAAUAUCAUUAGCUUCCUCACUAAUUGGUGUAGUCGUCACAGGAACCGGUUUCUGUGAUGAACUAUUUUUCUAUAACAGAGCAGGUACAGUUACCUCAUCAAGUUCUACUUCCCUCCCACUCACUUCGAGAGAAACUCCUUCUCUAGAAAGGAUCCAAAUUUAGCAACAAAAGUCUUGCCUUUAGAUCUGUGAUAGAAGGUGUACCCAAUAGUCUCUUUUGGGUAUCCUAUGAAGACACAUUUCUUCGAUUUGGGUUCAAGCUUAUCUAGUUGAAGUUUCUUCACAUAAGCAUCGCCGCCCCAAACUUUAAGAAACGACAACUUUGGUUUCUUGCCAAACCACAGUUCAUAAGGCGUCGUCUCAAUGGAUUUUAAUAGUGCCCUAUUUAACGUGAAUGCGACCGUCUCUAAAGCAUAACCCCAAAACGAUAGCGGUAAAUCAAUAAGAGACAUCAUAGAUCACACCAUAUCUAGUAAAGUACGAUUACGACGUUCGGACACACCAUUACGUUGUGGUGUUCCAGGUGGCGUGAGUUGCGAAACUAUUCUGCAUUGUUUCAAAUGUAAACCAAACUCGUAACUCAAAUAUUCUCCUCCACGAUCAGAUCGUAGGAAUUUUAUUUUCUUGUUACGAUGAUUUUCCACUUAACUCUAAAAUUCUUUGAACUUUUCAAAUGUUUCAGACUUAUGUUUCAUUAAACAGAUAUACCCAUAUCUUCUUAAAUCAUCUGUGAAGGUGAGAAAAUAAUGAUACCCGCCGCGAGCCUCAAUGUUCACUGGACCACAUACAUCAGUAUGGAUGAUUUCCAACAAAUCUGUUGCUCGCUCCAUAGUUCCGGAGAACUGCAUUUUAGUCAUCUUGCCCAUGAGGCAUGGUUCGCAAGUACCAAGUGAUUCAUAACCAAGUGAUUCCAGAAGUCCAUCAGUAUGGAGUUUCUUCAUGCGUUUUACACCAAUAUGACCCAAAAGGCAGUGCCACAAAUAAGUAGCACUAUCAUUAUCAACUCUACAUCUUUUAACUUCAACAUUAUGAAUAUGUGUAUCACUACUAUCGAGAUUCAAUAAAAAUAGACCAUUCUUCAAGGGUGCAUGACCAUAAAAGAUAUUACUCAUAUAAAUAGUACAACCAUUAUUCUCUAAUUUAAAUGAAUAACCGUCUCGCAUCAAACAAGAUCCAGAUAUAGUGUUCAUGCUUAACGCUGGCACCAAAUAACAAUUAUUCAGGUCUAAAACUAAUCCCGAAGGUAGAUGUAGAGGUAGCGUGCCGACCGUGAUCACAUCACUUUGGAACCAUUUCCCACGCACAUGGUCACCUCGUACUUAGCCAAUCUUCGCUUAAUUUGUAGUCCCUGUUUCGAGUUGCAAAUAUUAGCAACAGAACCAGUAUCAAAUACCCAGGUGCUACUGCGAGCAUUAGUAAGGUAAACAUCAAUAACAUGUAUAUCACAUAUACCUUUGUUCACCUUGCCAUCCUUCUUAUCCGCCAAAUACUUGGGGCAGUUCCGCUUCCAGUGACGAGUUUGCUUGCAGUAGAAGCACUCAGUCUCAGGCUUAGGUCCAGAUUUGGGUUUCUUCUCUUGAGCAGCAACUUUUUUGCCAUUCUUCUUGAAGUUCCCCUUCUUCUUCCCUUUACCCUUUUUCUUGAAACUUGGUGGUCUUAUUGACCAUCAACACUUGAUGCUCCUUUUUGAUUUCUACCUCCACAACUUUUAGCAUUGCGAAGAGCUCGGGAAUAGUCUUAUUCAUCCCUUGCAUAUUAUAGUUCGUCACGAAGCUCUUCUAGCUUGGUGGCAGUGAUUGAAGAAUUUUGUCAAUGAAACUAUCAUCAGGAAGAUUAACUCCCAGUUGAAUCAAGUGAUUAUUAUACCCAGACAUUUUGAGUAUAUGUUCACUGCCAAAACUAUUCUCUUCCAUCUUGUAGCUAUAGAACUUAUUGGAGACUUCAUAUCUCUCAAUCUGGGCAUUUGCUUGAAAUAUUAACUUCAACUCCUGGAACAUCUCAUAUGCUCCAUGACGUUCAAAACAUCGUUGAAGUCCUGGUUCUAAGCCGUAAAGCAUGGCACACUAAACUAUCGAGUACUCAUCAGCUUUGCUCUGCCAGACGUUCUUAACGUCGCCAGUUGCAUCUGCAGUAGGCCUGGCACCCAGUGGUGCUUCCAGGACGUAAUUCUUCUGUGUAGCAAUGAGGAUGAUCCUCAAGUUAUGGACCCAGUCCGUGUAAUUGCUACCAUCAUCUUUCAACUUAGCUUUCUCAAGGAACGCAUUAAAAUUCAACGGAACAACAGCAUGAGCCAUCUAUCUACAACAAACAUAGACAAGCAAAAUACUAUCAGGUACUAAGUUCAUGAUAAAUUUAAGUUCAAUUUAAUCAUAUUACUAAGAACUCCCACUUAGAUAGACACCCGUCUAAUUAUCUAAGCGAUCACGUGAUCCAAAUCAACUAAACCAUGUCCGAUCAUCACGUGAGAUGGAGUAGUUUUCAAUGGUGAACAUCACUAUGUUGAUCAUAUCUACUAUAUGAUUCACACUCGAACUUUCAGUCUCAGUGUUCUGAGGCCAUAUCUGUAUAUGCUAGGCUCGUCAAGUUUAACCUGAGUAUUCCGCGUGUGCAACUAUUUUGCACCCGUUGUAUUUGAACGUAGAUCCUAUCACACCCGAUCAUCACGUGGUGUCUCAGCACGAAGAACUUUCGCAACGGUGCAUACUCAGGGAGAACACUUAUACCUUGAAAUUUAGUGAGAGAUCAUCUUAUAAUGCUACCGUCAAUCAAAGCAAAAUAAAAUGCAUAAAGGAUAAACAUCACAUGCAAUCAAUAUAAGUGAUAUGAUAUGGCCAUCAUCAUCUUGUGCUUGUGAUCUCCAUCUUCGAAGCACCGUCAUGAUCACCAUCGUCACCGGCGCGACACCUUGAUCUCCAUCAUAGCAUCGUUGUCGUUUCGCCACCUAUUUCUUCUACGACUAUCGCUACCACUUAGUGAUAAAGUAAAGCAAUUACAGGGUGAUUGCAUUGCAUACAAUAAAGCGACAACCAUAUGGCUCCUGCCAGUUGCCGACAACUCGGUUACAAAACAUGAUCAUCUUAUACAAUAAAAUAUAGCAUCACGUCUAGACCAUAUCACAUCACAACAUACCCUGCAAAAACAACUUAGGCAUCCUCUACUUUGUUGUUGUAAGUUUUACGUGGCUGCUACGGGCUGAGCAAGAAUCGUUCUUACCUACGCAUCAAAACCACAACGAUAGUUCAUCAAGUUAGUGUUGUUUUAACCUUCUCAAGGACCGGGCGUAGCCACACUCGUUUCAACUAAAGUUGGAGAAACUAACACCCGCCAGCAACCUAUGUGCAAAGCCCCUCGGUAGAACCAGUCUCGCGUAAGCGUACGUAUAAUGUCGGUCCGGGCCGCUUCAUCCAACAAUACCGCCAAACCAAAGUAUGACAUGCUGGUAAGCAGUAUGACUUGUAUCGCCCACAACUCACUUGUGUUCUACUCGUUCAUAUAACAUCCAUAAAACCAGGCUCUGGUACCACUGUUGGGGAACAUAGUAAUUUCAAAAAAAUUCCUACGCACACGCAAGAUCAUGGUGAUGCAUAGCAACGAGAGGGAAGAGUGUUGUCCACGUACCCUCGUAGACCGAAAGCGGAAGCGUUAGCACAACACGGUUGAUGUAGUCGUACGUCUUCACGAUCUGACUGAUCAAGUACCAAACGCACGGCACCUCUGAGUUCAGCACAUGUUCAGCUCGAUGACGUCCCUUGAACUCCGAUCCAACCAAGCUUUGAGGGAGAGUUCCGUCAGCACGACGGCGUGGUGACGAUGAUGAAGUUCUACCGUUGCAGGGCUUCGCAUAAGCACCGUUAUGAUAUUAUCGAGGUGGAUUAUGGUGGAGGGGGCACCUUACACGGCUAAUAGAUCUCAAGGAUCAAUUGUUGUGUCUAGAGGUGCCCCCUGAUAUGUCUCCAAUGUAUCUAUAGUUUUUGAUUGUUCCAUGCUAUUAUAUUACCCCUUUUGGAUGUUUAUGGGCUUUAUUUUACACAUUUAUAUCAUUUUUGGGACUAACCUACUAACCGGAGGCCCAGCCCGUAUUGCUGUUUUUUUGCCUAUUUCAGUAUUUCGAAGAAAAGGAAUAUCAAACGGAGUCCAAACGGAAUGAAACCUUCGGGAGCGUAAUUUUUGGAAUGAAUGUGAUCCAGAGGACUUGGAGUGCAUGUCAAGAAGCAAUCGAGGCGGCCAGGAGAUAGGAGGGCGUGCCCACCCCUCCUGGGCGCGCCCCUAUCUCCUGGGCCCCUCGGGCGGCCACCCACCUACUUCUUCCUCCUAUAUAUACCCACGUACCCCGAAAACAUCCAGGGAGCCAACGAAAAACAAUUUCCACCACCGUAACCUUCUGUAUACGCGAGAUCCCAUCUUGGAGCCUUCGUUGACGCUCCGCUGGAGGGGCGAAUCGACCAUGGAGGGCUUCUACAUCAACACCAAAGCCCUUCUGAUGAGUUGUGAGUAGUUUACCAUAGACCUUCGGGUCCAUAGUUAUUUGCUAGAUGGCUUCUUCUCUCUUUUUGGAUCUCAAUACAAUGUUCUCCCCCUCUCUUCUGGAAUUCUAUUCGAUGUAACUCUUUGCGGUGUGUUUGUCGAGAUCCGAUGAAUUGUGGGUUUAUGAUCAAGUUUAUCUAUGAGAUAUAUUUGAAUCUCCUCUGAAUUCUUUUAUGUAUGAUUGAGUUAUCUUUGCAAGUCUCUUCGAAUUACCAGUUUGGUUUGGCCUACUAGAUUGUUCUUUCUUGCCAUGGGAGAAGUGCUUAGCUUUGGGUUCAAUCUUGCGGUGUCCUUACCCAGUGACAAAAAGAGUUGCAAGGCACGUAUUUUAUUGUUGCCAUCGAGGAUAAAAAGAUGGGGGUUAUAUCAUAUUUCUUGAGUUUAUCCCUCUACAUCAUGUCAUCUUUCUUAAUGCGUUACUCUGUUCUUAUGAACUUAAUACUCUAGAUGCAUGCUGGAUAGCGGUCGAUGUGUGGAGUAAGAGUAGUAGAUGCAGGCAGGAGUCGGUCUACUUGUCAUGGACGUGAUGCCUAUAUACAUGAUCAUGCCUAGAUAAUCUCAUAAUUAUUCGCCUUUCUAUCAAUUGCUCGACAGUAAUUUGUUCACCCACCGUAAUACUUAUGCUAUCUUGAGAGAAGCCACCAGUUAAACCUAUGGCCCCCGGGUCUAUCUUUUAUCAUAUAAGCUUUCAAUCUACUUUUAUUUGCAUCUUUACUUUUUGCAUCUAUAUUAUAAAAUACCAAAAAUAUAUUUAUCUUAUCAUACUAUCUCUAUCAUAUCUCACUUUCGCAAGUGGUCGUAAAGGUUUUGACAACCCCUUUAUUGCGUUGGUUGCGAGUUCUUUGUUUGUUUGUGUAGGUGCGUGGGACUUUUGAGGAGCCUCCUACUGGAUUGAUAACUUGGUUCUCAAAAACUGAGGGAAAUAAUUACGCUACUAUUGCUGCAUCACCCUUUCCUCUUCAAGGAAAACCAACGCAAGCUCAAGACGUAGCAAGAAGGAUUUCUGGCGCCGUUGUCAGGGAGGUCUUCGCUCAAGUCAAGACAUACCAAGUACCCAUCAAAAACUCAUCUCCCUCACAUUUACAUUAUUUGCCAUUUGCCUCUCGUUUUCCUCUCCCCCACUUUACCCUUGCCGUUUUAUUCGCCCUCUCUUUCCCAAGCUUCUCCUCUCUUUUUCGCUUGCCUUUUUCUGUUUGCUUGUGUGCCUGUUUGACCUUGUGGCUUUGCCUAAGAGUACAUACCACCUUCUUAGAAGGUUGGAAGAGAUUGAAUCAAAUAUUAGAAGCUUUAUGACUUUGAAAUUUGAGCAUAAUAGUUUCUUCAGAAAAGAGCUUAAAGAACAAAAAGGUUUUUUUGGUUUAUGAAUAAGGAGCUUGAUGAUAUGAAUAAAGAAUUUUAUGGUGUGAACUCUCAAAUUAACCAGCUUGAGAAUGCUAUAGCCCAAAUUUUUGAUAAGCAAGCUACCUUAGUCAAUAAGAUGGCUUCCAAACCAGAAAAGUUAGAUGAAAAUAAUGAUGAAGAUCUUAAAGUUAUUGAUGUGUCUCCUAUUAGAUCUUUGUUUUGCAAUAUGAAUCUUGAUAAUAAUGGGACUGGAGAUGAGUAACCUUUAGUUAGAAGGCGUCCCAAUAAUUCGGAGUUUUUAGAUCUUGAUACUAAAUUUGGUAAAAGUGGGAUUGGAGAGGUCAUGACUUUAAAUAGCAUUGAACCCACUAUCUCGGAUUUCAAGGAAUUUGAUUAUGAUAAUUGUUCUUUAGAAGGUUGUAUUUCCUUGUUACAAUCCAUUGUUAAUUCUCCUCAUGCUUAUAGUCAAAAUAAAGCUUUUACCAAACAUAUCGUUGAUGCCUUGAUGCAAUCUUAUGAUGAAAAAAUUAAUUUGGAAGUUUCUAUACCUAGAAAACUUAAUAAUGAGUGGGAACCCACUAUAAAGAUUAAAAUUAAAGAUCAUGAGUGUUUUGCUUUGUGUGAUUUGGGUGCUAGUGUUUCCACGAUUUCGAAAACUUUAUGUGAUAUUCUAGGUUUACAUGAUCUUGAUGAUUGCUCUUUAAAUUUGCACCUUGCGGAUUCCACCAUUAAAAAGCCAAUGGGAAGGAUCAAUGAUGUUCUCAUUGUUGAAAAUAGAAAUUUGGUGCCCGUAGAUUUUAUCGUUCUUGAUAUUGAUUGCAAUCUUUCUUGCCCUAUUAUUCUUGGUAGACCUUUCCUUAGAACGAUUGGCGCGAUUAUUGAUAUGAAGGGAAUAUUAGAUUACAAUUUCCAUUAAGGAAAGGCAUGGAGCACUUUCCAAGAAAGAAAGUCAAAUUACCUUAUGAAUCUAUUAUGCGGGCUACUUAUGUAUUGAGUGCCAAAGAUGGCACUACUUAGAUCUAUCUUCGCUUUUAUGCCUAGCUAGGGGCGUUAAACGACAGUGCUAGUUGGGAGGCAACCCAAUUUUAUUUGUGUUUUUUGUUUUUGUUUCUGUUGAGUAAUAAAUUUUGCAUCUACCUUCUGUUUAGAUGUGUUUUUAUGUUUUAGUUAGUGUUUGUGCCAAGUAGAACCUAUAGGAUAACCUAUGAUGAUAGUUAAUUUGAUUCUACUGAAAAACAGAAACUUUGCACGCAUGAAACUAGUUUUGUUAAAUCACAGAAACGUGAUUUUGCGUUGAUUCUUUUUGCUGAUGAUCAAUAUACAAAUUGUCCAGGACUUCCUAUUUUUGUAGGAUGUUUAGAGUUCCAGAAGUUUGCGUUAGUUACAUAUUUCUACAGACUGUUCUGUUUUUGACAGAUUGUGUUUUUUGUGUGUUGUUUGCUUAUUUUGAUGGAACUACAGCUAGUAAAAUAGUUUAUAAACCAUAGAGAAGUUGGAAUACAGUAUGUUUAACACCAAAAUAAAUAAAGAAUGAGUUCAUUACAGUACCUUAUGUGGUGGUUUUGUUUUCUUUCACUAACGGAGCUUAUAAAAUUUCCUGUUGAGUUUUGUGUGUGAAGUUUUCAAGUUUUGGGUAAAGAUUUGAUGGACUAUGGAAUAAGGAGUGGCAAAAGCCUAAGCUUGGGGAUGCCCAUGGCACACCAAGAUAUUAAAGAGUAGCCAAAAGCCUAAGCUUGGGGAUGCCCCCGGAAGGCAUCCCCUGUUUCGUCUUUGUUCAUUGGUAACUUUACUUGGAGCUAUAUUUAAAUAAAUAAAGAAUGAGUUCAUUACAGUACCUUAUGUGGUGGUUUUGUUUUCUUUCAUUAACGGAGCUUAUAAAAUUUCCUGUUGAGUUUUGUGUUGUGAAGUUUUCAAGUUUUGGGUAAAGAUUUGAUGGACUAUGGUAUAAGGAGUGGCAAAAGCCUAAGCUUGGGGAUGCCCAUAGCACCCCAAGAUAUUGAAGAGUAGCCAAAAGCCUAAGCUUGGGGAUGCCCCCGGAAGGCAUCCCCUCUUUCGUCUUCGUUCAUUGGUAACUUUACUUGAAGCUAUAUUUUUAUUCUCCACAUGAUAUGUGUUUUGCUUGGAGCGUCGUGUAUGAUAUUAGUAUUUGCUUUUUAGUUUAACACAAUCAUCCUUGCAGUACACACCUUUUGGGAGAAGCCUACCUUAUUAGAAUUUGCUAGAAUUCUCUAUGUGCUUCACUUAUAUCUUUUCAGCUAGAUAGUUUUUGCUCUAGUGCUUCACUUAUAUCUUUUAGAGCACGACGGUGGCUUAAUUUUGUAGAAAUUGCUAGUCUCUCAUGCCUCACUUAUUUUAUUUUGAGAGUCUUUUAGAGCAGCAUGGUAUUUGCUAUGGUUAUAAAAUUGGUCCUAGAAUGGUAGGCAUCCAAGUUGGGUAUAAUAAAAACUAUCAUAGGAAGUGAAUUGGAUGCUAUUAUUAAUUUGAUACUUGAUAAUUGUUUUGAGAUAUGGAGGUAGUGAUAUUAAAGUCAUGCUAGUUGGGUUAUUAUGAAUUUAAAAAUGCUUGUGUUGAAGUUAGCAAGUCCCGUUGCAUGCACGUACGGUUAAAGUUGUGUAACAAAUUUGAAACAUGAAGUGUACUUGGAUUGUGCAUCCUUAUGAGUGGCGGUCGGGGACGAGCGAUGGUCUUUUCCUACCAAUCUAUCCCUCUAGGAGUAUGCACGUAGUGCUUCAUUUUUGAUGACUUCUAAAUUUUUGCAAUAAGUAUAUGAGUUCUUUUGACUAAUGUUGAGUCCAUGGAUUAUGCGCACUUUUACCUUUCCACCAUUGCUAGCCUCUUUGGUACCGUGCAUUGCCCUUUCUCACCUUGAGAGUUGGUGCAAACUUUGCCGAUGCAUCCAAACCCCGUGAUACGAUACGCUCUAUCACACAUAAACCUCCUUAUAUCUUCCUAAAAACAACCACCAUACCUACCAAUUAUGGCAUUUCCAUAGCCAUUCCGAGAUAUAUUGCCAUGCAACUUUCCACCGUUCCGUUCAUCAUCAUGACAUACAUUACUUUUGUCAUAUUGCCAUUGCAUGAUCAUGUACUUGACAUCGUAUUUGUGGCAAAGCCACCAUGCAUAAUUUUUCAUACAUGUCACUCUUGAUUCAUUGAACCAUCCCGGUACACCGCCGGAGGCAUUCAUAUAGAGUCAUACCUUGUUCUAGUUUCGAGUUGUAAUUCCUGUGUUGUAAUCAAUAAAAGUGUGAUGAUCAUCAUUAUUAGAGCAUUGUCCCAAAGAACAAAAAUGGAGGCCAAAAAAAGAAAGGCCAAAGUAAAAAAAGAGAAAAAAAAGAAAAAGAAAAAGAAAAAAAGAAAAGAAAAGAAAAGGGGCAAUGUUACUAUCUCUUUUCCACACUAGUGCUUCAAAGUAGCACCAUGUUCUUCAUAUAGUGAGUCUCAUAUCUUGUGCUUCAAAGUAGCACCAUGUUUUUCAUAUAGUGAGUCUCAUAUGUUGUCACUUUCAUAUACUAGUGGGAAUUUUUCAUUAUAGAACUUGGCUUGUAUGUUCCUACGACGGGCUUCCUCAAAUGCCCUAGGUCUUCGUGAGCAAGCAAGUUGGAUGCACACCACUAGUUUUCUUUUGUUGAGCAUUCAUUUAUUGCUCUAGUGCAUCCGUUGCAUGGCAAUCCCUACUCCUCAUGUUGACAUCAAUUGAUGGGCAUCUCCAUAGCCCGUUGAUUAUCCGCGUCAAUGUGAGACUUCCUCCUUUUUUUGUCUUCUCCACACAAUCCCCAUCAUCAUAUUCUAUUCCACCCAUACUGUUGUAUCCAUGGCUCACGCUCAUGUAUUGCGUGAAGGUUGAAAAAGUUUGAGAUUAUUUAAGUACGAAACAAUUGCUUGGCUUGUCAUAGGGGGUGUAGAAUUUGGGAACAUCUUUGUGUGACAAAAAUGAAGCAUAUCCUAACUAUAUGAUUUUGUAGGGACGAACUUUCUUUAGCCAUGUUAUUUUGUGAAUACAUGAUUGCUUUGAUUAGUAUGCUUGAAGUAUUACUAUUUCUUUUAUCAAUAUGAACUUUUAUUUUGAAUCAUUUGGAUCUGAACAUUCAUGCCACAAUAAAGAAAAUUACGUUAAGAAUUAUGCUAGGUAGCAUUCCACAUCAAAAAUUCUGUUUUUAUCAUUUACCUACUCGAGGACGAGCAAGAAUUAAACUUGGGGAUGCUUGAUACGUCUACAACGUAUCUAUCAUUUUUGAUUGCUCCAUGCUAUUAUAUUACCCUUUUUGGAUGUUUAUGGGCUGUAUUUUACACAUUUAUAUCAUUUUCGGGACUAACCUACUAACUAGAGGCCCAGCCCGUACUGCUGUGUUUUUGCCUAUUUUUGUAUUUCGAAGAAAAGGAAUAUCAAACGGAAUGAAACCUUCGGGAGAGUGAUUUUUGGAAUGAACGUGAUCCAGAGGACUUGGAGUGCAAUUCAAGAAGCAAUCGAGGUAGACAGGAGAUAGGAGGGCGCGCCCACCCCUCCUGGGCGCGCCCCCUGUCUCCUGGUCCCCUCGGGCGGCCACCGACCUACUUCUUCCUCCUAUAUAUACCCACGUACCCCGAAAACAUCCAGGGAGCCAACGAAAAACAAUUUCCACCACCGUAACCUUCUGUAUCCGCGAGAUCCCAUCUUGGAGCCUUCGUCGGUGCUCCGCCGAAGGGGGAAUCGACCACGGAGGGCUUCUACAUCAACACCAAAGCCCUUCCGAUGAGUUGUGAGUAGUUUACCACAGACCAUCGGGUCCAUAGUUAUUAGCUAGAUGGCUUCUUCUCUCUUUUUGGAUCUCAUUACAAUGUUCUCCCCCUCUCUUGUGGAGAUCUAUUCGAUGUAACACUUUUUGCGGUGUGUUUGUCGAGAUCCGAUGAAUUGUGGGUUUAUGAUCAAGUUUAUCUAUGAGAAAUAUUUGAAUCUCCUCUGAAUUCUUUUAUGUAUGAUUGAGUUAUGUUUGCAAGUCUCUUCGAAUUAUCAUUUUGGUUUGGCCUACUAGAUUGAUCUUUCUUGCCAUGGGAGAAGUGCUUAGCUUUGGGUUCAAUCUUGCGGCGUCCUUACCCCGUGAUAUAAAGGGUUGCAAGGCACGUAUUGUAUUGUUGCCAUCGAAAAUAAAAAGAUGGGGUUUAUAUCAUAUUGUUUGAGUUUAUCCCUCUACAUCAUGUCAUCUUUCUUAAUGCGUUACUCUGUUCUUAUGAACUUAAUACUCUAGAUGCAUGCUGCAUAGCGGUCGAUGUGUGGAGUAAUAGUAGUAGAUGCAAGCAGGAGUCGGUCUACUUGUCACGGACGUGAUGCCUAUAUACAUGAUCAUGCCUAGAUAAUCUCAUAAUUAUUCGCUUUUCUAUCAAUUGCUCAACAGUAAUUUGUUCACCCACCGUAAUACUUAUGCUAUCAUGAGAGAAGCCACUAGUGAAACCUAUGGCCCACGUGGCUAUCUUUUAUCAUAUAAGCUUUCAAUCUACUUUUAUUUGCAUCUUUACUUUUUGCAUCUAUAUUAUAAAUACCAAAAAUAUAUUUAUCUUAUCAUACUAUCUCUAUCAGAUCUCACUUUCGCAAGUGGCUGUGAAGGGAUUGACAACCCCUUCAUUGCGUUGGUUGCGAGUUCUUUGUUUGUUUGUGUAGGUGCGUGGGACUUUUGAGGAGCCUCCUACUGGAUUGAUACCUUGGUUCUCAAAAACUGAGGGAAAUACUUACGCUACUAUUGCUGCAUCACCCUUUCCUCUUCAAGGAAAACCAACGCAAGCUCAAGACGUAGCACCCCCUUCCCCCGUAUGUAAAGGAGCAAGGGGGAGGGGGCGGCCAGCCAGGAGGGGGCGCACCAGGAGGAGUCCUACUCCCACCGGGAGUAGGACUCCCUCCUUUCCUUGUCCAAGUAGGAGAGGGGGAAGGAAGGGGAGAGAGGAGAGGAAGGAAAUGGGGGCGCUGCCCACCCCCCUCCUUGUCCUAUUCAGACUAGAGGGGGAGGGGGCGCGCGACCUGCCCUGGCCGCCCCUCCUCUGCUGCUCUUUGGGCCCAUGAGGCCCAUUAACCGCCGGGGAGUUCCGGUAACCCCACGGCACUCUGGUAUACAUCCGAUAACCUCCGGAACCAUUGCGGUGUCCGUAUAUAGUCGUCCAAUAUAUCAAUCUUCAUGUCUCGACCAUUUCGAGACUCCUCGUCAUGUCCGUGAUCACAUCCGGGACUCCGAACUAUCUUCAGUACAUCAAAACAUAUAAACUCAUAAUAUAACCGUCAUCUAACUUUAAGCGUGCGGACCCUACAGGUUCGAGAACUAUAUAGACAUGACCGAGACACGUCUCCAGUCAAUAACCAAUAGCGGAACCAGGAUGAUCAUAUUGGAUCCCACAUAUUCUAUGAAGAUCUUUAUCGGUCAAACCACAUAACAACAUACGUUGUUCCCUUUGUCAUCGGUAUGUUACUUACCCGAGAUUCGAUCAUCGGUAUGUUACUUACCCGAGAUUCAAUCUCGUUAUUGGCAAGUCUCUUUACUCGUUACAUAAUGCAUCAUGUCAUAACUAACUCAUUAGCUACAUUGCUUGCACGGCUUAUAGUGAUGUGCAUUACCGAGAGGGCCCAGAGAUACCUCUCCGAUAAUCGGAGUGACAAAUCCUAAUCUCGAAAUACACCAACUCAACAUGUACCUUCGGAGACACCUGUAGAGCUCCUUUAUAAUCACCUAGUUACGUUGUGACAUUUGGUAGAAAACAAAGUGUUCCUUCGGUAAACGGGAGUUGCAUAAUCUCAUAGUUGUAGGAACAUGUAUAAGUCAUGAAGAAAGCAAUAGCAACAUACUAAACGAUCAAGUGCUAAGCUAACAGAAUGGGUCAAGUCAAUCACAUGAUUCUCCUAAUGAUGUGAUCCCGUUAAUCAAAUGACAACUCAUGUUUAUGGUCAGGAAACAUAACCAUCUUUUAUUAACGAGCUAGACAAGUAGAGGCAUACUAGUGACAUUGUGUUUGUCUAUGUAUUCACACAUGUAUUAUGUUUCUGGUCAAUACAAUUCUAGCAUGAAUAAUAAAAAUUUAUCAUGAUAUAAGGAAAUAAAUAAUAACUUUAUUAUUGCCUCUAGGGCAUAUUUCCUUUAGUAGCAAGUGAUGAUUGUUUUAUCGAGCGUCUUUUGAUUGAAAAACUGGAAGAACUCCUCGUAUGGAACUAACAACAUCAAUUCCAACGAGGUCGUGCUCCUCUUUAACUCUCAGCGACAAAAUACUUUUCCCAGACUUCCUCCAGAUGUCCAUGUACCAAUCAUGGAAUCUUCGCAUCAUCGUUGUUAGGGAAGUACCAGGUCUGACGAGAGGCUUCCCGUGCUCGAAUCUUAAUGUGUCCACCUCCAUUAUUUCAAAAAUUGUUGCAUCAUCGUCGGUUAUGUAAUCUCCAAGAUUGGUAGCGGGCAGCAUCCCCGGAAGAUUAGCGACGAUAUCGCUAGACACAUUGAGCGGGGGGCACGAUUGCUUCGCUUGUUCACCGAGCUAGGGAUUUUCCCCCAUUUUGUUCAUUCUGCUAGCCUUUGAUCAAUGCAAGUACUUCCCGACCGCUCCGCUUCCUUAUAUGUCCUUUCAAUGAUGCGGUCAUAGUUGGAUUGCGGGGGAGGCAGUGAUGGUCGUUGUAGGGCAUCGAAAGUGUGCUUCGCUUUCAUCGGAUCUAUCUCCAGCGGAGGUGGAUGUUUCUUAGCUUUUACCGGUUGAAAGAAUUCUCUGGUCGUGUUUCUUCAGUCUGUGAUCUUCCUGCUCCAGCCGCCCAAACCAGUGUCGGUGGAACCGCCUGCUCCCGCCUCCCGUUGCCGACUGUUCUGUCGGGAAGGCCUCACGGCCCCACCGUACUCGCAUACCUAGCCUGUCUAUCCAUCUACUCACCCACACCUCAUGUUAUUUUCCGGCGACGGCAGCCGAACCAGUCAACCUUCGUACUCCCCACCGCGUGAGCAGCCACUGCCGUGUCUUCUAUGGCUCCGUGUUGUUCCCUUUGUAUGCCUCGCCGUCGUCCACUGCCCUGGUGCUCUCGGUGCGGCGUGGUCAAUGUGGUCAACGAACGACUUCCAUCGGAAGUGGACUGUACAUGGAGAUGCUGGCAGCUGGGUCCAUGGCCGCACAAAAGGAAAUGCCUCCUUAUUACGCGCAAAAUAAUGAUUCCUUCCCAUGACAUCUGAGACCCACCAGAAGGGCCUCCGUAUUUUUCGCAAAAAAAACGACCCCCCCAUGCUGACAGGUCGGACCCACCAGCUAUAUCUUCGCAUGCAAGGAAUGUUGGAAAUAUGCCCUAGAGGCAAUAAUGAAAUGGUUAUUAUUAUAUUUCCUUGUUCAUGAUAAUUGUCUAUUGUUCAUGCUAUAAUUGUAUUAACUGGAAACCGUAAUACAUGUGUGAUUACAUAGACCACAACAUGUCCCUAGUGAGCCUCUAGUUGGCUAGCUCGUUGAUCAACAGAUGUUCAUGGUUUCCAGACCAUGGACAUUAGAUGUCAUUGAUAGCGGGAUCACAUCAUUAGGAGAAUGAUGUGAUGGACAAGACCCAAUCCUAAGCAUACCACAAGAUCGUGUAGUUCGUUUGCUAAGAGCUUUUCUAAUGUCAAGUAUCAUUUCCUUAGUCCAUGAGAUUGUGCAACUCACGGAUACCAUAGGAAUGCUUUGGGUGUACCAAACGUCACAAUUUAACUGGGUGGCUAUAAAGGUGCAGUACAGGUAUCUCCGAAAGUGUCUGUUGGCUUGGCACGAAACGUGACUUGGAUUUGUCACUCCAUAUGAUGGAGUGGUAUCUGUGGGCCCACUCGGUAAUGCAUCAUCAUAAUGAGCUCAAUGUGACUAAGUAGUUAGUCACGGAUCAUGCAUUGUGGAACGAGUAAAGUGACUUGCCGGUAACGAGAUUGAACGAGGUAUUGUGAUACCAACGAUCGAUUCUCGGGCAAAUAACAUACCAAUUGACAAAGGGAAUUGUAUACGGGAUUGAUUGAAUCCCCGACAUCGUGGUUCAUCUGAUGAGAUCGUCGUGGAACAUGUGGGAGCCAACAUGGGUAUCCAGAUCCCGUUGUUGGUUAUUAGCCGGAGAACGUCUCGGUCAUGUCUGGAUGGUUCCCAAACCCGUAGGGUCUACACACUUAAGGUUCGGUGACGCUAGAGUUGUUAUGGGAAAUAGUAUGCGGUUACCUAAGGUUGUUCGGAAGCCGGGAUGAGAUCCCAGACAUGACAAGGAACUCCGGAAUGGUCCGGAGGUGAAGAUCGAUAUAUUGGACGAAGAGUAUUCGAGUCCGGAAUUGUUCUGGGAGUACCGGUUGACGACCAGCGUGACCGAAAGGUGUUUCGAACGCCCCGGAAAGCGUUGGGGGCCUUAUGGGCCAAGGGGAGGGGGCACACCAGACCACUAAGGGGCUGUGCGCCCCUCCCAACCCCUCUCACGUAACCUGGGGAGGUGGGGCCGCCUCCCCUAGGGCAGCCGCCCCUCCCAGCUUGGGGGGCAAGUUUCAUAGGGGUGGCGGCGCCCAAACCCAUCUAGGGUUUCCACUGUGGCCACCACCCCUCCACUAGGGAACCCUAGGGCGCCUCCUCCACCCCCUUCCCCCUAUAUAUAGUGAGGGAGAGAGAGGGCAACCUCACCCCUUGCCCCUGGCACAGCCCUCCCCCUCUCCAACUCCACCUCCUCCUCAGUAGUGCUUGGCGAAGCCCUGCCAGAGAACUGCAAGCUCCACCACCACGCCGUCGUGCUGCCGGAGAUCUCCGUCAACUUCUCCUCUCCCCUUGCUGGAUCAAGAAGGAGGAGACGUCCCCGGGCUGUACGUGUGUUGAACGAGGAGGCGCCGUUCGUUCGGUGCUUAGACCGGAAUCGACCGCGAUCUGAAUCGCUGCGUGUACGACUCCACCAACCUCGUUCUUGUAAUGCUUCCGCAUCGUGAUCUUCAAGGGUAUGAAUAUACACUCAUACUCUCCCUCUCUUGUUCCUAGAAUCUCCAUAGAUUGAUCUUUGUGACACGUAGGAAAAUUUUGAAUUAUUGCUACGUUCCCCAACAAUGGCAUCAUGAGCUAGGUCUAUGCGUAGUUUCUAUGCACGAGUAAAACACAAGUUGUUGUGGGCAUCGAUUUUGUCAAUUUACUUCCUGUUACUAGUCUUAUCUUGAUUCGGCGGCAUCGUGGGGUGAAGCGGCCCGGACCGACCUUACAUGUACGCUUACGUGAGACAGGUUCCACCGACUGACAUGCACUAGUUGCAUAAGGUGGCUAGCGGGUGUCUGUCUCUCCCACUUUAGUCGGAUCAGAUUCGAUGAAAAUGGUCCUUAUGAAGGGUAAAUAGAAAUUGGCAUAUCACGUUCUAGUUUUGGCGUAGGUAAGAAACGUUCUUGCUAGAAACCUAUAGUAGCCACAUAAAAACUUGUAACAACAAUUAGAGGACGUCUAACUUGUUCUUGCAGCAUAUGCCGUGUGAUGUGAUAUGGCCAAAAGGAUGUGAUGAAUGAUAUAUAUGUGAUGUAUGAGAUUGAUCAUGUUCUUGUAAUAUGAAUCACGACUUGCAUGUCGAUGAGUAUGACAACCGGUAGGAGCCAUAGGAGUUGUCUUAAUUUAUUGUAUGACCCGCGUGUCAUUGAAUAACACCAUGUAAUUACUUUACUUUAUUGCAAAACUGUUAGCCAUAGUAGUAGAAGUAAUAGUUGGCGUGACAACUUCAUGCAGACACGAUGAUGGAGAUCAUGGUGUCAUGCCGGUGACGAUGAUGAUCAUGGCACCCCGAAGAUGGAGAUCAAAAGGAGAAAAAUGAUAUUGGCCACAUCAUGUCACUAUUUGAUUGCAUGUGAUGUUUAUCAUGUUUUUACAUCCUAUUUGCUUAGAACGACGGUAGCAUCAAUAAGAUGAUCCAUCGCUAAAAUUUCAAGAAAGUGUUCCCCUAACUGUGCACCAUUGAGAACGUUCAUUGUUUCGAAGCACCACGUGAUGAUCGGGUGUGAUAGAUUCUAAUGUUCGAAUACAACGGGUGUAAGCCAGAUUUACACAAGCAGAACACUUAGGUUGACUUGACGAGCCUAGCAUGUACAGACAUUGCCUCAGAACACAAUAUACUGAAAGGUCGAACACUAGUCCGUCUCAUGUGAUGAUCGGACACGGCCUAGUUGACUCGGAUCAUGUAUCACUUAGAUGACUAGAGGGAUGUCCAUCUGAGUGGGAGUUCAUUAAAUUAGAUGAACUUAAUUAUCAUGAACAUAUUCAAAAGGUCUUUGCAAAUUAUGUCGUAACUUGCGCUUCAGUUCUACUGUUUUAGAUAUGUUCCUAGAGAAAAUUUAGUUGAAAGUUGAUAGUAGCAAUUAUGCGGACUAGGUCUGUAAACUGAGGAAUGUCCUCAUUGCUACGCAGAAGGCUUAUGUCCUUAAUGCACCGCUCGGUGUGCUAAACCUCGAACAUCGUCUGUGGAUGUUGUGAACAUCUGACAUACACGUUUUGAUGACUACAUGAUAGUUCAGUAAUGUCAAACGGUUUAGAAUUGAGGCGGCGAAGACGAUUUUGAAACAUCGCGGAACAUAUGAGAUGUUCAAAGGGCUGAAAUUGGGAUUUCAGGCUCGUGCCCAUGUCAAGAGGUAUGAGACCUCUGACGAGUUUCUUAAGCCUGCAAUCUAAGGGAGAAAAGCUCAAUUGUUGAGCAUGUGCUCAGAUUGUCUGAGUACUACAAUCACUUGAAUUGAGUGGGAGUCACUAGUAGAAAAGGGGGCAAUGGUCCAGGCCGGGUCAGCCAUUAGUCCAGGUUCAGUCCAGAACCGGGACUCAUGGUGGCAUUGGACCCGGUUCGUGAGCCCCGGGGGCCGGCCGGGCCACGUGGGCCAUUGGUCCCAGUUCGUCUGGACCUUUUGGUCCCGGUUGGUCGGACGAACCGGGACCAAUGGGCCUCGCUCCUGGCCCACCACCAUUGGUCCCGGUUGGUGGCUUGAACCGGGACCAAAGGCUGCCUUUAGUCCCGGUUCAUGCCACAAACCGGGACCAAUGAAUUGCCUAUAUAUUCCCCUCGCCCGCGAGCAGAGCACUCCCACUGCUCUGUUUUUCCUGGCCGGCGAGGGGAGAGCUUUGUGGUGCUCUAGCUCACCUCCUAUGCACACGAGGUGUUCGAUGGAAUGCACGGGCUACACUACUUAUGCUUUCUCCUCUCCAAACUCGACCUCCAAGCUCCAUUUUACUCAAUAUUUGUCUAGGUCUAGCGGUCCGUCACGUCCCGUCCCCGUCUUCACCGCCUUCGAUCGCCCGUGCUGAUCUCAUCGCCGGCACCACCGUGGUGAGCCUCUUGUUCUUAUCUUCUUUCUGAAAGGAAAAAUAUUCUUACUUGUAUGUUUAGAUAGAUACUUGUAUUAUUUUCUUACUUUUAUUAUUGCAUCGUAUAUAGUGCGAUGGUUUUGGUAUCCGCCCCUGUCGGCCCGCGUCCUGUCUAUGAUUCGGAUGUGGUAUAUAUUAUCUUUUCAUAACUAUUGGUUCAUUUAUUGUUUAUGAAAAUUAUGCUGACCAACGUGACAUAGAUUUUAUUUAUCUAUGAGGUUGUUGAACCGGAAAUUCCAACCGACCCUAUUGUCGAGAGGUUAAAUUUAGUUGAAGAAGAAAACAAUUUCUUGAAGGAAAAAAUAAGAAAAAUUGAGGAGGAGAAGAUGAUAUUGGAGUUGCAUGUUGCGGAUGUCGUCGAUGAUCACAAGAUCAAGAUGGAUGCAAUGCGCUUGAAGAUGAGAAAGAUUAGAAAAUAUGCCAUUCAUAUCGAGGCUUGCUAUCAUUAUGCCGUUGGAUCAGUUGUUACCUUGGUUGCGAUUAUGAUCACAUUUGUUUUCGCAUUGAAAUGUUUGACAUAGUUUCAAUGUAGGGUUUAAUUAAUUUAGAUGCUCUGCAGAGCUUUAUGUUGUUAGAUGAGAACUAUGUAUGUACUUUGGUUUUAAUGUGAUGAUGAACUUCUAUUAAUUUGGUCACUUAAUUAUCUAUUCAUGAUGUUCUGUAAUGAUUUUUGACACACUUAAUUAUAUAUAAUGCAUGCAGAUGAACCGGCAAUGGUUGUACGGUGAAAGACACACCUCCGAGUACAUUAAGGGCGUGCAUGAUUUUCUCAAAGUGGCUGAGGCAAACAAGCAGAAUGGUUUUAUGUGUUGUCCAUGCCCUAUAUGUGGGAAUACGAAGUCUUAAUCUGACUGGAAAAUCCUUCACACCCACCUGCUUUACAAGGGUUUCAUGCCACACUAUAAUGUUUGGACGAGGCAUGGAGAAAUAGGGGUUAUGAUGGAAGACGGCGAGGAAGAAGAGUACGAUGACAACUAUGUGCCCCCUGAAUAUGGUGAUGCUAUUGAAGAUCAAGAGGUACCAGACGAUGUGCACAAUGAUGCUGCAACGGGCGAAGCUGCUGAAGAUCAAGAGGAACCAGACGAUGUGCCCGAUGAUGAUGAUCUCCGACGGAUCAUUGUCGAUGCAAGGACGCAAUGCGAAAGUCAAAAGGAGAAGCUGAAGUUCGAUCGCAUGUUAGAGGAUCACAAAAAAGGGUUGUACCCCAAUUGCGAAGAUGGCAACACAAAGCUCGGUACCAUACUGGAAUUGCUGCAGUGGAAGGCAGAGAAUGUUGUUCCUGACAAAGGAUUUGAGAAGCUACUGAAAAUAUUGAAAAAGAAGCUUCCAAAGGAUAAGGAAUUGCCCGACAGUACAUACGCAGCAAAGAAGGUCGUAUGCCCUCUAGGAUUGGAGGUUCAGAAGAUACAUGCAUGCCCUAAUGACUGCAUCCUCUACGGAGGUGCGUACAAGGAUCUGAACACAUGCCCGGUAUGCGGUGCAUUACGGUAUAAGAUCAGACGAGAUGACCCUGGUGAUGUUGACGGCGAGCCCCCCAGGAAGAGGGUUCCUGCUAAGGUGAUGUGGUAUGCUCCUAUAAUACCACGGUUGAAAUGUCUGUUCAGAAACGGAGAGCAUGCCAAGUUGAUGCGAUGGCACAGUGAGGACCGUAAGAAAGACGGGAAGUUGAGAGCACCCGCUGAUGGGUCGCAGUGGGGAAAAAUCGAGAGAAAGUACUGGGCUGAGUUUGCAGGUGACCCAAGGAACGUAUGGUUUUCUUUAAGCGCGGAUGGCAUUAAUCCUUUCAGGGAGCAGAGCAGCAAUCACAGCACCUGGCCCGUGACUCUAUGUAUGUAUAACCUUCCUCCUUGGAUGUGCAUGAAGCGGAAGUUCAUUAUGAUGCCAGUUCUCAUCCAAGGCCCUAAGCAACCCGGCAAUGACAUUUAUGUGUACCUAAGGCCAUUAGUUGAAGAACUUUUACGGCUGUGGAAUGGAAACGGUGUACAUACAUGGGAUGAGCACAAACACGAGGAAUUUAACCUAAAGGCGUUGCUGUUCGUGACCAUCAACGAUUGGCCCGCUCUCAGUAACCUUUCAGGACAGACAAACACGGGAUACCACGCAUGCACGCACUGUUUACUUGACACCGAUAGUAUAUACCUGGGAAGCUGCAGGAAGAAUGUGUACCUAGGCCAUCGUUGAUUUCUUCCGACCAACCAUCAAUGUCGAAAGAAAGGCAAGAAUUUCAAAGGCAAGGCAGAUCACCAGAAGAAGCCCGCCAUGCGUAUCGGUGAUCACGUACUUGCUAUGGUCAAUGAUUUACACGUAAUCUUUGGAAAGGGUCCCGACGCACUAGCUGUUCCGAAUGACGCUGAGGAACACGCACCCAUGUGGAAGAAGAAUUCUAUAUUUUGGGACCUACCCUACUGGAAAGACCUAGAGGUCCGCUCUUCAAUUGACGUGCACCUUUGCGUGAACCUGCUAGGCUUCUUGGGUGUGUAUGGAAAGACAAAAGAUACAGCUGAGGCACGGGAGGACCUGCAACGUUUGCACGAAAAAGACGGCAUGCCUCCAAAGUAGUAUGAAGGUCCUGCCAGCUAUGCUCUUACCAAAGAAGAGAAGGAAAUCUUCUUUGAAUGCCUGCUUAGUAUGAAGGUCCCGACUGGCUUCUCGUCGAAUAUAAAGGGAAUAAUAAAUAUGGCAGAGAAAAAGUUUCAGAACCUAAAGUCUCAUGACUGCCACGUGAUUAUGACGCAACUGCUUCUGGUUGCAUUGAGGGGGCUUCUACCGGAAAACGUCCGAUUAGCCAUUGUGAAGCUAUGUGCAUUCCUCAAUGCAAUCUCUCAGAAGGCGAUCGAUCCAGAAAUCAUACCAAGGCUAAGGAGUGAUGUGGUGCAAUGUCUUGUCAGUUUCGAGCUGGUGUUCCCACCAUCCUUCUUCAAUAUCAUGACGCACGUCCUAGUUCAUCUAGUUGACGAGAUUGUCAUUCUGGGCCCCGUAUUUCUACACAAUACGUACCCCUUUGAGAGGUUCAUGGGAGUCCUAAAGAAAUAUGUCUGUAACCAUGCUAGGCCAGAAGGAAGCAUCUCCAUGGGCCAUCAAACAGAGGAUGUCAUCGGGUUUUGUGUAGACUUCAUUCCUGGCCUUAAGAAGAUAGGUCUCCCUAAAUCGCGGUAUGAGGGGAGACUGACUGGAAAAGGCACGCUUGGAAGGGACUCAAUAAUAUGCAGGGACGGAUAUUCUUGGUCUCAAGCACACUACACAGUUCUACAGAACUCUACCUUGGUGACCCCUAUGUCGAUGAACACAAGAACAGUCUGCGCUCCAAACACCCGGAGCAGUGCGACGACUGGAUUACAUGUGAACACAUCAGGACUUUCAGCAGUUGGUUGGAAACACGUCUCAGAGGUGACAACACAUCAGGACCAUCUUUGACUAUAUUGAUUUACAAAGGAUACGGGAUAAAUGGGAAUACAUUUUACAUGAUUGACCAAGAUCAAAAGAGCACCAACCAAAACAGCGGUGUCCGCUUUGAUGCAACAACCGAGAGGGGAAAGGACACAUAUUAUGGUUACAUAGUGGACAUAUGGGAAUUUGACUACGGACAUGAUUUUAAGGUCCCUUUAAUUAAGUGCAAAUGGGUCAAUCUGCCAGGAGGCGGGGUACAGGUAGACCCACAGUACGGAAUGACAACAGUGGAUCUGAAAAGUCUUGGGUACACUGACGAACCGUUCGUCCUAGCCAAUGAUGUGGCACAUGUUAUCUAUGUGAAGGACAUGUCUACCAAGCCGAGAAAAAGAAAAGAUAAGGAAGCGAAUACAUCAUACGAUGAGCCAAAGCGCCACAUAGUUCUUUCAGGAAAAAGGGACAUCGUGGGAGUGGACGGCAAGACAGAAAUGUCUGAAGAUUAUGAAAAGUUUCAUGAAAUUCCUCCCUUCAAAGUCAAGGCUGACCCUAGCAUCCUGAUAAACGAUGAAGAUUAUCCAUGGUUACGGCGCAAUAAGCAAAUGACACAAGCGAAGGAAAAGUGAAGACUUUCUCCCGCAACUAUUAUGAUGAUACCAUGCCAACUUUGUAACAGACGAGUAUGAUACCAUGCCAACUGUUAUGAAUUUAGGUUGAAUUUUCUCUAUAGGCGCAUCUAUGUUCAUUUUUUUAGUAAAGUUAAUCACAAACUUGUGAUCCACACAAAUUUCAAAGAAUUCAAGUUUUAACUAUUCAAAUUUGAAAACUAAUGGCACUAACAGAAAGUUUAUAAUUUCUCUAAAACUAAUGGCACUAACAGAAAGUUUAUAAUUUUGCUGACCUAAAAGCAAAAAGAAUUAAAAAAUAAAGCAAAAAACAAAAGAAAAUAAAUAAUGCAGAAAACAAAACAAAAAAACUGGAAACAAAAUAAAAAUAGUAACAAUAAGUAUUUUGUUGUAAGUAGAAACAAAACAAAAUAAAUAAAGCAGCAAAGAAAACAAAAAAACAAAAAAAAGUGUUUUCAAAUUUGAAAACUAAUGGCACUAACAAAAAGUUUAUAAUUUUUCUAAAACUAAAAGCAANNNNNNNNNNNNNNNNNNNNNNNNNNNNNNNNNNNNNNNNNNNNNNNNNNNNNNNNNNNNNNNNNNNNNNNNNNNNNNNNNNNNNNNNNNNNNNNNNNNNNNNNNNNNNNNNNNNNNNNNNNNNNNNNNNNNNNNNNNNNNNNNNNNNNNNNNNNNNNNNNNNNNNNNNNNNNNNNNNNNNNNNNNNNNNNNNNNNNNNNNNNNNNNNNNNNNNNNNNNNNNNNNNNNNNNNNNNNNNNNNNNNNNNNNNNNNNNNNNNNNNNNNNNNNNNNNNNNNNNNNNNNNNNNNNNNNNNNNNNNNNNNNNNNNNNNGCUGUAAGUAGAAACAAAAUAAAAUAAAUAAAGCAAGAAAGAAAACAAAAAAAAACAAAAAAAAGUGUUUUCAAAUUUGAAAACUAAUGGCACUAAUAGAAAGUUUAUAAUUUUUCUAAAACUAAAAGCAAAAGGAAAAAAUAAAGCAAAAAACUAAAGAAAAUAAAUAAUGCAAAAAACAAAACAAAAAACUGGAAAAAAACUAAAAAAAACUGCCACCUAUUGGGCUAGCACGGCCUGAAUACGACUAGAAACCCAACCUGGGCCAGGAUUCGGGUCCGUAGAAGGCCCAAUAGGCCUACAGCAGCAUACUGUGAAAUUAGGCCCGAUAGCCUGCAGUUGAGAGGAGCUCGAGAGGGUGGGCGCAUUAGCGCUUAUAAACCACUCUCGAGCCCUCUCAACUAGCGAGGUGGGACUAAACUUUGGCUGCGACGCGGGCAGCAUACGGGCCUUUGGUCCCGGUUGGUGGCACCAACCAGGACUAAAGGGGGACANNNNNNNNNNNNNNNNNNNNNNNNNNNNNNNNNNNNNNNNNNNNNNNNNNNNNNNNNNNNNNNNNNNNNNNNNNNNNNNNNNNNNNNNNNNNNNNNNNNNNNNNNNNNNNNNNNNNNNNNNNNNNNNNNNNNNNNNNNNNNNNNNNNNNNNNNNNNNNNNNNNNNNNNNNNNNNNNNNNNNNNNNNNNNNNNNNNNNNNNNNNNNNNNNNNNNNNNNNNNNNNNNNNNNNNNNNNNNNNNNNNNNNNNNNNNNNNNNNNNNNNNNNNNNNNNNNNNNNNNNNNNNNNNNNNNNNNNNNNNNNNNNNNNNNNNNNNNNNNNNNNNNNNNNNNNNNNNNNNNNNNNNNNNNNNNNNNNNNNNNNNNNNNNNNNNNNNNNNNNNNNNNNNNNNNNNNNNNNNNNNNNNNNNNNNNNNNNNNNNNNNNNNNNNNNNNNNNNNNNNNNNNNNNNNNNNNNNNNNNNNNNNNNNNNNNNNNNNNNNNNNNNNNNNNNNNNNNNNNNNNNNNNNNNNNNNNNNNNNNNNNNNNNNNNNNNNNNNNNNNNNNNNNNNNNNNNNNNNNNNNNNNNNNNNNNNNNNNNNNNNNNNNNNNNNNNNNNNNNNNNNNNNNNNNNNNNNNNNNNNNNNNNNNNNNNNNNNNNNNNNNNNNNNNNNNNNNNNNNNNNNNNNNNNNNNNNNNNNNNNNNNNNNNNNNNNNNNNNNNNNNNNNNNNNNNNNNNNNNNNNNNNNNNNNNNNNNNNNNNNNNNNNNNNNNNNNNNNNNNNNNNNNNNNNNNNNNNNNNNNNNNNNNNNNNNNNNNNNNNNNNNNNNNNNNNNNNNNNNNNNNNNNNNNNNNNNNNNNNNNNNNNNNNNNNNNNNNNNNNNNNNNNNNNNNNNNNNNNNNNNNNNNNNNNNNNNNNNNNNNNNNNNNNNNNNNNNNNNNNNNNNNNNNNNNNNNNNNNNNNNNNNNNNNNNNNNNNNNNNNNNNNNNNNNNNNNNNNNNNNNNNNNNNNNNNNNNNNNNNNNNNNNNNNNNNNNNNNNNNNNNNNNNNNNNNNNNNNNNNNNNNNNNNNNNNNNNNNNNNNNNNNNNNNNNNNNNNNNNNNNNNNNNNNNNNNNNNNNNNNNNNNNNNNNNNNNNNNNNNNNNNNNNNNNNNNNNNNNNNNNNGAAAUAGUUUUAUAUAUGCAAAAGUUGCAUUUUUAGAGAAGUUUUUUAUAUGUAGCUAGAAAGAAGGAAGAAGAAGAAAAAGAAGGAGAGGAAAAAGGAAAAUAAGAAGAGGAAGAAAGGAGAAGAAGAGGAGAAAUAAAUAAGAAGAGGAAAAAAGAAGAAAAAGAAGAGGAGAAGAAGAAGAAAAGAAUAGAGGAGAAAGAAGUUCUAUUUUUUUCUUCUUUCUCCUCUAUUCCUUUCUUCUUCUCCUUUUUUUUCUUUUUUUUCUUCGAUUGCUUCUCUUCUAUUCCUUUCUUCUUCUCCUCUUUUUAUUUCUUCUUUUGUCUUGUUAUUUUUUAUCGGGUAUGUCGUUGUCAAUUUACCCCCUCCCGUAAAACUUCAACACGAGGGGGGGUACCGAUACCCCCUCCCCGAUAACAUUAUUUUCCCAUGUAUAUGUAUGUCACGUCGUUGUCCAUAUAACCCCCUCCCGGAUAACUUCGACAUGAGGGGCAGUCGAUAUAUAUACCCCCUCUCGACUGUGAUAACUUAUACAACAGCAGCACCCCCCUUGGCCCUCUCGCUCGACCAAAACUCUCGAGGACACCCAAACCCUAGAGAAAAAACGAUGUUGGUCUCCUACCCCCUCCCGUCGCGCCCCUACCCGACAAACUCUCUCGAGGCCACCCAAAUUUACCAAGUUAAAAGAGCGUUGUCGUUGAGGCCACCCCAAACCCUUGAAGCGUUGUGUCGAGGCCUCCCCAAACCCUUGAAGCGUUGUCUAGGCCACCCCAAACCCUAGAGAAGCAGCAUCGAGGCCACUAACAUGAUUCCUUAUUGUGAUUAGCUAGCUAGUUCUAUGUUUGCCACUAAUAUAUAUCCAUCUAUACCAUGUUUGAAUAAUAAUUGACAUGUUGUAAAUAUUUGCAGAAACUAUGGAGCACUCCCGAGACGGAGCAACAGAAGCGAUGUUGGGGGACAUAAUCGCACCAGGAAGUGAUGUCGUUGCGUCAUUUCUCAAUGACACCGAUGGUCAGGAAGGACUGGGUGAAGAAGAGGGCUAUGUUCAUGAUGGCUCUGGCCCAUUAAUGCCGGUACAAGAAGAGGGCUAUGUUCAUGAUGGCUCCGGUGACCCAAUGGAGGUACAAGAAGGAGACCAUGCUGACUGCUCCAGUGACCGAACCGAGUCCGGCCAGGUAUAUAUAUAUUAGUUAAGCCUAUGCUGACUAGUUAAUUGAUGCAUUCAUUGUUUUGGUAUAUGUACACAUAUUAAUUAACUCUCAUCUUUCUUCCUUUUUAUAGCCCUCCGGAUCGAGCACAACUUCGGUAAGGAGACGAGGCCCGAAGAAAAAGUUGAGCUCGGAUGAAAGGUUUGGGAUCACAGCAAUUGCGCCCAACGGCGAACCGGUUGAACCCAUCCAGACAAAGAAUGCAUUUUCUGCUCAGUGCGGGGUUCUUAUUAGGAACAAGAUCCCGAUCAGCAUCCACCAAUGGUAUAAGCCUAAGGAGGAAGACCCUGAGGUGUCUUAUGUCAAUGAUAUGCAGAAAGAUGAUCUUUGGACUCAGCUGAAGGCAAAUUUCACCCUACCGCCAUUGGAGGAUCCGGGGAAGCCAGUUAAAGAGAAAUUAAACAAGUCUUGUGCUCUUAAGAAGAUGGCAAGCCUAUUCAGGAGGUGGAGGAAAGAGCUGAAGAGGUUUGUUGACAAAAAAGAGACACCAAAAUUCAUCGUCAAAUAUGAGAAGAUCAAAGAUCACUUGCCCGCAUUUGUGGCCCACAAGACAUCGGAAAAGAGUAAGAAGAUGUCGGUGACAAACAAGAAAAAUGCUGUGAAGAAGCAGUUUCACCAUCGCACGGGGUCAGGUGGCUACCUCAAAGCCCGGCCUAAGUGGUCCAACGCUGAGAAUGAUCUGCUUGAUAAAGGGAUCAAACCAGAGACAAUGAACUGGCCAGACCGUUGCCGGACUUGGUUCUUAGGGGCUGGCGGAACCUUGGACCCUGCAUCAGGGAAGUGCCGUUGGACUGACGAGCAACUGUAAAUACCAGUCAAGAGGCUUCGGCACUAUAUCGAUGCAGCGCAGCAAGGGACGUUUGUUCCAGACAGGGAGAAGGACGAGCUCACAAUGGCCCUCGGGAAUCCUGAGCACCCUGGACGGACACGAGGCACGCCAGGCUCCAUUCCAUGGAAGGUUGGUUUUCCGGACGUAGGGGGUUACAAAACCCAGGAGAGGAGGAAGAAACUGGAGUAGGGCCAACUGCAUGCACUGCACAAAAGGGUAAUGGGGCUAGAGGAACGAGAAGCAGAUCGCAGCAAACGACCUGCCGAAGCUUCCCCCGAAGCUACCCCGCCAUCUCAACAGAGAAGCAGGGUGGCUUCCACCGAGCUGCUUCAGCCGGAGCAUUUCUUGACGGCUCCUGCUAGCUAUCCCGUGGAUGCUAUCACGGAGUCUCAAAAUUGCCACAUUAUGACGCGAUGGAUGAAUUUGAAGGUCAAGGCGGCUGUUGGCUCUGGUUAUCCUACUGAACCCGGCGCAAAUUUUCACUGCCGGCCGAUUCCAGAAGGAUAUGCUAGGGUGAUGGUGGAUGAAAUAACUGAGGGAUUUGAGGACGUCCAGCUUGACCACCCUACAGGUGAAGGGGAGACUAGGCUGGGUUCCGCUCUGAAGACUCCAUGCCUAUGGCGGAAGGAGCUCAUCAACCUUCCAAACUGGACGCCUCCGCCUCCUCCUCCUCCUCCGACGAGUCAGGGCACUCCUCCUCCUCCACCGCCUCCUCCUCCGGUGAGUGAUGAUCAGGGCACUGGGCCUCCUUCUCCGGCGUGUGGCGGCACUCCGCCUCCUUCUCCGCGUGUGCCGGCCCACCCGAGCAGCCAACAGCCUCCUCCUUCUCCGCCUCGCCAGCACAGGCGGAAGAGACCCGCCGCCGCCCCGGCUGCUCCAGCGCGUCGUAGUCCUUCUCCUCUGCCUCGUAAGCAAGCACGAAAGAAGAUAGACGCCGCAGCCGCUCUGUCUGCUCCGGCGUCUAGUAGUACAGCCAGAGGAGGGAGGCAUACAGAUAUGGUCCUCCUCUCAAGCCUCUAGAGAAGUUACCAUACGAGAGGACCGUGGAGGAAAACGCGAAGAUCGUGCGGGCCGAAGUGGACGACUUCUUUGAAGGUUGAAAGCAAAGAGACAUCCACCUCCGGAGGAGAAGGUAGAUCUGGUGAAUGCAAAGCGCACUCUCGAUGCCCUGAGGAAACCAGCAAAGUCUCCGCCGAGAACCAACUAUGAGCGCAUUACUGAACAGACAUAUCUCCAAGCGGAGCGGUCGGGAAGUACUGUUAGACAUCAAAGGUCAAGAGAACAAGCAGCUGCGAAAAAAAUUCACCAGCUCGGCGAACAAGCAAAUCAAUCGUGCCCCCCGCUCAAUGUGUCUAGCGGCGACAUCGUCGCUAAUGCUCCAGGGACGGUGGCCGGUUAUUGCAAUCUUGCAGCUUACCUGCCUGACGAUCAACUUCCUGAUUUCAUGGAGGUGGACGAACAUAGAUACGAGUACGGGAAGCCUCUCGUCAAAGAUGAAAAAUCUCUACCAACGAUGAUGCGAAGAUUCCAUAAUUGGUACAUGAAAAGCUGCAGAGAGUCUGGGGGGAUGAAUAGUUUGUAUCUGAACAUUAAAGAGGAGAAUGACCUCGUUGGAACUGAUCUGUUGCCUAUUCCAUUUGAGGAGUUCUUUGCAUUCUUCUAUCAAAAGUCCCGCGAUAAAUUAACGGUCUUUUGCUACUAUCUGUAAGUUCUAUUUCUGUCAUUAAGUCUCUAUAUACAGCUCGGCUCUUUCAUUCCAUGUAUUUAUAAUUAAUUAUCCUCACUAUAUUAUGCAGAUUGAAGAUCAUCGAAUGCAGAAAACAAGAAAUGUAUGAUAUUGGGUUCAUUAACACAAAUAUCAUAGAUGAAAUUGAGGUUAAAAAGCACGCCGAAGAGGCCGAGGCCAACUUGCUACAAUCGUUGAUCAAAAAUCAAAGCAAAGAUACCAUGCUCUUUCCUCACAACUUCAAGUGAGUGUUACUGUCGUGUGCAUAUUCGGUUUCCCUUAUUACUCGAGCAAGGUUAUAGUAAUGUAAUUGAUGAGUUAUGCAUGCGUGCGCAGCUUCCACUAUGUUCUUCUGGAGAUUAAGCUUGAGCGUGGACUAGUAACCGUCUUAGACUCGAGACGAAAAGAUCGUGAAACCUAUGCGGACAUGACUAAAUUUCUCAACAAGUAAGUUCAAUCGAUCAUUAUCGCACCAUAUCAGCAACUUUUUGUUCAUUUCUUGAUAUCUCAUGUAAUAAUAAUUAUUUUCUUUGUCUUGCAGGGUUUGGAAAUAGUUCACCGAAGAAGCUCCAGGACUGCCGAAGGAGCUGCGAUAUACAUACCCGAAAGUAAGUACUACUGGCUAGCUAGUUGCGCGCAUCUCCCGUUGAUUCUAUAGCUAUACUUUCAUCAAUGCCAUUUAUAAUGCUUCAUUAUCAGUUUGUUGACCUCUAUUUCUCGUAAAGUGCUUGUGGCGGGAACAAGGGAAUGAUUUCUGUGGAUACUACGUGUGCGAGUUCAUCUACAACGCGACUUUGAAGAAUAAGCGGGGUACUCUAAAAGAUAAUAUGAAGUGCGUAAGCAAUAAUAUUCACAAUUUCAUUUUAUUACACCAUCAUUUCUUUUGAGUUUCAUUCAUAUAUAUGUAUUAAUUAACCCCCUUCUUCAAAUUAGACGUGGCAGAUGCGGAAUGAACUCCUAGAACAAGAUCGCAUGAAAGCAACUCAAGAGGAAUUGGCGGGAUUCUUUCUUGACCACGUCAUCAAUAAAGCCGGAGAAUACCAUGUGGAAGUUGAUUUCAAUUGCUAGGGGAUUGUAAUUAAGAGAUCUUACAUAUUGGAUAUGUAUGUAGCCAGUAGCGUCGGAUAGAUAAUACGAAAACUUGUUGUUCGACCAAUCUCUCGGAGAAGGAGAGGUCGAUCGAUCACUUCUCUUGGUAUGCAUGACGAACUUCUGUACUUAAUGGUUCCCUUCAUUUUAUUACUAGCUAGCAUGUCGAGGGCCUCUCUAUGUAUAGUACAUAGCGUCGACCAAGCAUGGACAUAAGAUAGGACACUUCUCUCUAUUAAUUAGCUAGCUAACACAAUAUAUGAAACACCUAAAUUAACCCCCCAAAACNNNNNNNNNNNNNNNNNNNNNNNNNNNNNNNNNNNNNNNNNNNNNNNNNNNNNNNNNNNNNNNNNNNNNNNNNNNNNNNNNNNNNNNNNNNNNNNNNNNNNNNNNNNNNNNNNNNNNNNNNNNNNNNNNNNNNNNNNNNNNNNNNNNNNNNNNNNNNNNNNNNNNNNNNNNNNNNNNNNNNNNNNNNNNNNNNNNNNNNNNNNNNNNNNNNNNNNNNNNNNNNNNNNNNNNNNNNNNNNNNNNNNNNNNNNNNNNNNNNNNNNNNNNNNNNNNNNNNNNNNNNNNNNNNNNNNNNNNNNNNNNNNNNNNNNNNNNNNNNNNNNNNNNNNNNNNNNNNNNNNNNNNNNNNNNNNNNNNNNNNNNNNNNNNNNNNNNNNNNNNNNNNNNNNNNNNNNNNNNNNNNNNNNNNNNNNNNNNNNNNNNNNNNNNNNNNNNNNNNNNNNNNNNNNNNNNNNNNNNNNNNNNNNNNAAAACCCCAACCACUGAAAUGCUGACGCGUGGAUGCCUUUUGGUCCCGGUUGGUGCCACCAACUGGGACCAAAGGCCCUCUUGCCUGGGCCCGGCUCACCGGCCACGUGGAGGCCCAUCUGUCCCAGUUCGUGUUAGAACCGGGACUAAAGGUCUAGGGAAUUAGUAACGGCCCUUUAGUCCUGGUUAAUGAACCAGGACAAAAGGCCCUCACCAACCGGGACUAAUAGGUGUUUUUCUACUAGUGAGUUAAUCUUCCUUAAGAGAUAGUGAUGGUUCUCCAAAGUCAUUGCCACCAAGCUACCAGAUCUUCGUGAUGAACUAUAACCUAUCAGGGAUAGAUAUGAUGAUCCUUGAGCUAUUCGCGAUGUUUGACACCGCGGAAGUAGAAAUCAAGAAGGAGCAUCAAUUUUUGAUGGUUAGUGAAACCACUAGUUUCAAGAAGGGCAAGGACAAGAAGGGAUACUUCACGAAAUGGCAAAUCAGUUGCUGCUGUAGUGAAGAAACCCAAAGUUUGAACCCAAACCUGAGACUAAGUGCUUCUGUAAUGAGGGGAACGGUCACUGAAGCAGAACUACCCUAGAUACUUGGUAGAUGAGAAGGCCGGCAAGGUCGACAGAAGUAUAUUGGAUAUACAUUAUAUUACUGUGUACUUUACUAGUACUCCUAGUAGCACCAGGGUAAUAGAUACAGGUUCGGUUGCUAAGUGUUAGUAACUCGAAAUAAAAGGCUACGGAAUAAACAGAGACUAACCGAAGGUGAGAUGACGAUAUGUGUUGGAAAUGUUUCCAAGGUUGAUGUGAUCAAACAUCGUACGCUCCCUCUACCAUCGAGAUUGGUGUUAAACCUAAAUAAUUAUUUGGUGUUUGCGUUGAGCAUAGACAUGAUUGGAUUAUGUUUAUCACAAUACGGUUGUUCAUUUAAGGAGAAUAAUGGUUACUCUGUUUAUUUGAAUAAUACCUUCAAUGGUCUUGCACCUAAAAUGAAUGGUUUAUUGAAUCUCGAUCGUAGUGAUACACAUGUUCAUGCCAAAAGAUAUAAGAUAGUAAUGAUAGUACCACCUACUUGUGGCACUGCCAUUUGAGUCAUAUUGGUAUAAAAUGAAUGAAGAAGCUCCAUGUUGAUGGAUCUUUUGGACUCACUCAUUUUUUGAAAAGUUUGAGACAUGCGAACCAUGUCUAUUAGUAUGUACGCAUGAAGAAACUCCAUGCAGAUGGAUCACUUGGACUCACUUGAUUUUGAAUCACUUGAGACAUGCAAAUCAUACCACAUGGGCAAGAUGACUGAAAAGCCUCGUUUUCAGUAAGAUGGAACAAGAAAGCAACUUGUUGGAAGUAAUACAUUUUGAUGUGUACAGUUCAAUGAGUGCUGAGGCACGCAGUGGAUAUUGUUAUGUUCUUACUUCACAUAUCAUUUGAGUAGAUGCUGAGUAUAUUUACUUGAUGAAACACAAGUCUAAAUUAUUGAAAGGUUCAAGUAAUUUCAGAGUGAAGUUGAGGAUCAUCGUGACAAGAGGAUAAAAUGUCUAUGAUAUAAUCAUAGAGAUGAGUAUCUGAGUUAUGAGUUGGUAUACAAUUAAGACAUUGUGAAAAUUGUUUCACAACUAAUACCGCCUGGAACACCAUAGUGUGAUGGUGUGUCCGAACAUCAUAGUUGCGCCCUAUUGGAUAUAUAUGGUUCGUACCAUGAUGUCUCUUAUCGAAUUACCACUAUCAUUUAUGCGUUAGGCAUUAGAGACAACCACAUUCACUUCAAAUAGGGCACCACGUAAUUCCGUUGAGAUGACAACGUAUGAACUAUGGUUUAGAGAAACCUAAGUUGUCAUUUCUUAAAAGUUUGGGGCUCCGAAGCUUAUGUGGAAAAGUUUUAGCCUGAUAAGCUCGAACCCAAAGCGGAUAAAUGCAUCUUCAUAGGACACCCAAAAUAGUUGGGUAUACCUCCUAAUUCAGAUCCGGAAGCAAAAGUGAUUAUCUCUAUAAACUGGUCCUUUCUCGAGGAAAAGUUUCUCUCGAAAGAAUUGAGUGGGAGGAUGGUGGAGACUUGAUGAGGUUAUUGAACCGUCACUUCAACUAGUGUGUAGCAGGGCACAGGAAGUUGUUCAUGUGGCGCCUACACCAAUUGAAGUGGAAGCUGAUGAUAGUGAUCAUGAAACUUCAGAUCAAGUCACUACCAAACCUCGUAGGUCGACAAGGAUCCGUACUACUUUAGAGUGGUAUGUAAUCCUGCCUUGGAGGUCAUGUUGCUAGACAACAAUGAACCUACGAGCUAUGGAGAAGAGAUAGUGGGCCCGGAUUCCGACGAAUGGCUCGAGGCCAUAAAAUCCGAGACGAUCCAUGUAUGAAAACAAAGUAUAGACUUUGGAAGAACCACUUGAUGGUUGUAAGGUUGUUGGGUAGAGAUGGAUUUUAAAAGGAAGACGGACAAUGAUGGUAAGUACCACCAUUAAGAAAGCUCGACUUGUCGUUAACAUAUUUUCCGACAAGUUCAAGGAGUUGACUACGAUAAGACUUUCUCACUCAUAGCGAUGCUAAGAGUCUGUUGGAAUUAUAUUAGCAAUUACUGCAUUAUUUAUGAAAUCUUGCAGAUAGGAUGUCAAAACAUUGUUUCCUCCAUGAUUUUCUUGAGGAAAGAUUUUAUGUGAUACAACCAGAAGGUUUUGUCAAUCUUGAAAGAUGCUAACAAGUAUGCAAAGCUCCAGCAAUCCUGCUAAGGACUGGAGUAAGCAUCUCGGAGUUGGAAUAUACGCUUUGAUGAGAUGAUCAAAGAUUUUGGGUUUAUACAAAGUUUAUGAGAAACUUGUAUUUGAAAAGAAGUGAGUGGGACCACUAUAGAAUUUCUGAUGAGUAUAUGUUGUUGCAUAUUGUUGAUCAGAAAUGAUGUAGAAUUUCUGGAAAGCAUAUAGGGUUAUUUGAAAAGUGUUUUUAAAUGGAAAACCUGGAUUAAGCUACUUGAACAUUGAGCAUCAAGAUCUACAAGGAUAGAACAAAAGAUGCUUAAUAGUAGUUUCAAAUGAACACAUACCAUGACAAGAUUUUGAAGGAGUUCGAAAUAGAUCGGCAGAGAAGGAGUUCUUGGCUGUGUUAUAAGGUGUGAGUAUUGAGUAAGACUCAAGACCUGACCAUGGCAAAAGAGAGAGAAAGGACGAAGGUCGUCCUCUAAGCUUUAGACGUAGGCUCCAUAGUAUGCUAUGUCGUGUACCACACCUAAAGUGUGCCUUGCCAUGAGUCAGUCAAGGGGUACAAGUGUGAUCCCGGAAUGGAUCACAGGACAAUGGUCAAGGUUAUCCUUAGUAACUAGUGGACUAAGGAAUUUUCUCGAUUAUGGAGGUGGUAAAAGAGUUUUCCAUAAAGGGUUACGUCGAUGCAAACUUUGACACUAAUCUGGAUGACUCUGAGUAGUAGACCGGAUUCGUAUAGUAGAGCAGUUAUUUGGAAUAGUUCCAAAUACUGUGUGGUAGAUGCAUCUAGGAGAUGACAUAGAGAUUUGUAAAGCACACACGGAUCUAAAAGAUUCAGACCCAUUGACUAAUAACCUCUCUCACAAGCGAGAUAUGAUCAAACCCAAUGGGUGUUGGAUUCAUUACAAUCACAUAGUGAUGUGAACUAAAUUAUUGACUCUAGUGCAAGUGGGAGACUAUUGGAAAAUAUGCCCUAGAUCCUAAGCUUAGCACAAGAUCAUGUAGUUCGUUUGCUAAGAGCUUUUCUAAUGUCAAGUAUCAUUUCCUUAGACCAUGAGAUUGUGCAACUCCCUGAUACCAUAGGAAUGCUUUGGGUGUACCAAACGUCACAACAUAACUGGGUGGCUAUAAAGGUGCAGUACAGGUAUCUCCGAAAGUGUAUGUUAGGUUGGCACGAAUCGAGACCGGGAUUUGUCACUCUAUAUGACGGAGAGGUAUCUCUGGGCUCACUCGGUAAUGCAUCAUCAUAAUGAGCUCAAUGUGACUAAGUAGUUAGUCACGGGAUCAUGCAUUACGGAACGAGUAAAGUGACUUGCCGGUAACGAGACUGAACGAGGUAUUGGGAUACCGAUGAUCCAAUCUCAGGCAAGUAACAUACCGAUUGACAAAGGGAAUUGUAUACGGUAUUGAUUGAAUCCCCAACAUCAUGGUUCAUCCGAUGAGAUCAUCAUGGAACAUGUGGGAUCCAACAUGGGUAUCCAGAUCCUGCUGUUGGUUAUUAGCCGGAGAACGUCUCGAUCAUGUCUGCAUGGUUCCCGAACCCGUAGGGUCUACACACUAAGGUUCGGUGACGCUAGAGUUGUUAUGGGAAAUAGUAUGUGGUUACCGAAGGUUAUUCGGAGUCUCGGAUGAGAUCCCGGACAUGACGAGGAACCCCGGAAUGGUCCGAAGGUGAAGAUCGAUAUAUUGGAUGAAGGGUAUUGGUGUUCAGAAUUGUUCUGGGAGUACCGGGUUACGACCAGCGUGACCGAAAGGUGUUUCGGAGGCACCGACAAGCGUUGGGGGGCCUUAUGGGUCAAGGGGAGGGGGCACACCAGCGCACUAAGGGGCCGUGCGCCCCUCGCAACCCCUCUCAUGUAACCUGGAGAGGUGGGGGCGCCUCCUCUAGGGCAGCCGCCCCUCCCAGCUUGGGGGCAAGUUUCCUAGGGGUGGGGGCGCCCAAACCCAUCUAGGGUUUCCCCUGUGGCUGCCACCCCUCCCCUAGGGAACUCUAGGGCGCCUCCUCCACCCCCUUCCCCCUAUAUAUAGUGAGGGAGAGAGAGGGCAGCCGCACCCCUUGCCCCUGGCGCAGCCCUCCCCCUCUCCAACUCCACCUCCUCCUUAGUAGUGUUGGGCGAAGCCCUGUCAGAGAACUGCAAGCUCCACCACCAUGUCGUCGUGCCGCCGGAGAUCUCCCUCAACUUCUCAUCUCCCCUUGCUGGAUCAAGAAGGAGGAGACAUCCCCGGGCUGUACGUGUGUUGAACGCGGAGGCGCCGUCCGUUCGGCGCUUAGAUCGGAAUCGACCGCGAUCUGAAUCGCUGCGUGUACGACUCCACCCACCGCGUUCUUGUAACGCUUCCACAUCGUGAUCUUCAAGGGUAUGAAGACACACUCAUCCUAUCCCUCUAUUGUUUCUAGAAUCUCCAUAGAUUGAUCUUGGUGACACGUAGGAAAAUUUUCAAUUAUAGCUACGUUCCCCAACAAGGAAGUGCCUCCUUAUUGCGCACAAAAAAAUGAAUACCCCCUGCCAGCUGGGACCCACCAUAGUGGGAGGCUGACUUGUGGGCCUACUAAGUUUACGGGGAUGGAGGGCUUUGUCAACAUAGUCAAUAUGAACGAUUCUUGCUCCAGUGACCGUACGAUGUCCAUCCAAUGGCCAUAGUGCUUCUUCAACCUCUGGUCUUCUUGCUCCAGCCGCCCAAACCAGCACCGGUCGUGCAGCGUGCUCCAGCCUCCCGUGGCCGGCUGUGAUGCCGUGGAGUACUCACUCACACCCCUUGUUAUUCUAAGGCGACGGCAGCCUCACAUCACAGCUGAACUAGUGAACCCUCGUACUCCACUCCGCGUGGACUUCUACUGCCGCGUCUUCCCCGGAUCCAUGUCGUCCCCUUCCUAGGCCUCGUCGUCGUCCACUGCCCUGGUGCUCUCGGCGUGGCGUGGUCGACGCGUCAAGGAACGACUUCCAUCGAAAGAGUACUCUACGUGGAGAGGCUCGCAGCUGAGUCCAUGGCAGCCGCAAGGAAGUGCCUCCUUAUUAUGCGCAAAAUAAUUAUUCCUCUACCUGACAGCAGGGACCCACCGGACGGGCCACGGUAUUUCGCGAAAAAAAGUUUCCCCCUGACUGUUGGGACCCACCAGCUACAUCUUCGCACGCAAGGAAGUGCCUCCGGGCAAGAAAAAAACGAUUCGGCCCCUUGACUGCUGGGACCCACCAGCUAUAUCUUCGCAUGCAAGGAAGUGCCUGGCAGUCAGGACCCACCUGGUCAAAGUGUACGUAGCAUUGUCAUUCUGGUCAAGAACGUGUACGUACAUACUGGUCGAUCGGUCUGUUUGCAGGCUGCAGCGAUGAACCGUGACCGUGCAACAAAGGAAGGGCACGUGUUGUAGUAGAGGCGUGCAUGUAGCAUGUACACGUAUGUACAGCGGCCAGGGUGCAAGAAAUUAAAUACGGCCACGUAUGUACAUACACUACUAGGGAAAACGCUAUACACAGAGGUAUAGCAGUAGCGUUGGUCAAAACUCGGCGCUAGCGCUACUUAGUAGUAGCGCUUGUUGUAAAACCACACUACAACCAUUAUUUUAGCAGUAGCGCGUCUUCACAGAAAAGCGCUACUACUAAAAUUCCCUCACUAGUGCCGGUAGGAUAGGAAUAGUAGUAGCGGUUCUCCCAGAAGCACAAUACUGCUAAAAACAUUGUAGCAGCGCGUUUCUGUUGUAGAGCGCUACUGCUAUGUAAAAGAAAAUAAAUAGAAAAAUAAGUAGAAAAGUAAAUGAAAAUGAAAGAAAUAGAAAAGGAGAAAUGAAAAAAAGAAAAUGUAAAGAAAACAAAAGAAAAAGAAAAAGAAAACAGAAAGGGUUAGCUGUAGCGCGUUUCUCGGGAACACGCUAUAGCUAUCUUAGCUAUAGCGCGUAUCGGCAAAACGCGCUACUGCUAGUUUGACUCAAAUCCCAGCAGCCCGGGCUCAAAAUUUCGCUAAGUCCUUUCCCCCCCCUCUCUACUCCCCCUAUCCCCCAACUGCUCCAUCGCCGUCGUUGCCCUGCCGCCUUCGACCACACCACCACCGCCCGAGGCCGCCUUCGACCACACCGCCGUCGCCCGCCGCCUUCGACCACAUCGCCGUCGCCCGCCACCUUUGACCAUACCGCCGCCGCCCGAGGCCGCCCCCUUGACCUCACAGCCGCCGCCCGAGGCCGUCAUCGACCUCACUGUCGCCUCCCUCGAGCUCAUCACCGCCGCCCUCGACCUCACCGCCGCUGCCCGAGCUAGAGCCUACCCUCGCUGCCGAGCGUAAGGCUAUGCCUCUCCUGUCCCUACCCUCCUAUUUCUCUCUGCUAGGGCAAUUAUAUAAAUGUUGAUACUGUAUUGAUGUUCGUAUGAACCCUAGGUGUUCAUAUGAACCCUAGAUUUUUUUAGGGCAGUAGGCAUUUUAUAGCAUUUAGGAAAAAUGAUUAGCAAUUUUUUUAGGAAAUUAGCUAGGGCAAUUUUUAUGAAAAUUCCUAAACAGUAAUUCCAUUUAGCUUUAAACAAAUAGAGGGUAUAUAAAUAAUAGUAGCAUUUAGAUUUAAAUUAACGGAGGGUAUAAACAAAAAACACUUAGCUAUAAAAAAAUAUUUUGACUACGGACCUGAAUUUGUUCCAAAUUUCAUUCAAAUGAAAUUUGACUUAUUUGGACUAUGGACCUGAAUAUUUUUGAAGAAAUUGGGUGUAGGUACUAAGGUCUUGCUGUGGAAAUUUUGGUGAGGUCAAAAGGGUUAGAGAAAAUGUAGUUCCUAGACAUUUAGCUUUAGACAAAAAACAAAAGUAUUUAGCUAUAAAUAAAAAACAGUAGCUAUGGCAUUUAGCUAUAAACAAAAAAUAGAAUUGUUUUUCUUUUCAAAAACUUAGUCAAAUAGAACAGUAGCUAUGACAUUUAGAUAUAUGUCCUUGAUGUUCAUUUGCAUAUUCCAUUAUUGUUGAUUAUAUCUUUUCAUUGAGGUGGACAUGUUAUAUGCAAAUUCCUCAAUAGUGUUUGCUCAUGUUAUAUCUUUUCAUUGAAGUUGUUCGAUUGUGCCCAAGUGGCUUUGUUGUUUCCAGGGAAUGAUGCUGAGUGGCCUAUGUUUUGCCAGAAUGUUGAUUCGUUUUUGUUCCGGAAAAUUUUAGGUUCUCGAAUUGUCCACUUUUUAGCAAAGGUCAUGCCGAAAUUUUCCGUGAAUUUCGGCAUGACUUGUGCUACGAACUAGGACAUAUCGAGUGCCCAGGAUUUGCCGCACUAGGAAGGAGUCAACAUUCCUACAAAACAAUAGUCCUUUUUUAUGUCAUUAUUCAUUUUAUUAGGUCUAGAAUUAAUUGACUAGAUUUAAUCAUAGGAAACAUGGCUAGCAACGAUGAAGGAUAGGGUUCUGGUGAUUGCGACGACGUCUACCGGGCGGCAGACGAAUUUUUUAGCCUUACCGACGAUCAACCGAUGUUGUUGCUAGCCCCACCGGUGGGAUCGGGGACUAAGACCAACACGCAGACCGGUGCUGAGACUGAGACCGGCGCUGAGAUUCAGACCGGCAUCGAGACCGGCGCUGAGACCGGUGCUGCCUCGGGGAGCGGAGCCGGUGUAGAACCGAAAACAAAGAGGCAACGGGUUCCUAACAAACUCAGGACUACUAGACUGGUGGUCACGGAGGUGGACGACGGCAAUUUUGAGCCAAAGGCGCCCGAGGAAGCGCGCGCGUGCUACGACAAUCAAAUAGGCUGCAUCGUACGGACAACUGCCGCAAUCAACGAUGAGAAACUAUAGAAGAUAGAAAAUAUGAGGAGCUCCCUCCUAAAGAAGUUUCACCAGAUAUUCUUGUUCCCAGGCCGGAAUGAGAAGGAUUAUGAAGAUCCAGACGAGGACCCGGCAAUGAAGAAGAUAAACAAACACGCCAUGACCAAGUUUAGCGACGCGUUGGCCGCCUGGAAAAAUUGAGUGAAAGCAAAGAUCAACGACAAGGAACCCUACUCCGAGAUUGUAAAGGAUAAUUGGACAAUCACGGAAGAGCAGUUUGAAAUAUUCAAGGAGGCUUGCGAGGCCGAAGCUGCCAAAAAAGUCUAAGUACAUGAAGGGGCUUCAAAAGAGGAACAUUGGGAGCCACCACCUCGGAAGUCGUGGUUAUGGCAGAAAGAGGUCCAAAUGGGCCAAGGAGGACGCGGAAGCCGCGAGUCUAGGCAUCCCAGACCCCUUGGCGGAUUUCACCUUCCCGCAGGAGCGUGACGUCCUGAGGGCCCGACACCGUUGGGACCCAGUGAAGAAGGUUUACGAGAAAACACCGGUCAUUACGGAGUUCAUGAGACUGUUGGUAAUUUUAGUUUCUGAUCAAUUCGACUGCACACGUUAGUCAUAUUUGUAAACGAUCCUUGUGCCUUUUGCAAAGAGAGUAGCACCGAAUUGCGGCCGAAAGCGACUCGUCGUAUGAGGCAUUGGUGAGGCCCAAGUGGGACACUCAAUUCAAGCGGGCGUUGAACAUAUUGAAACGACAACCGGUGGAUACUCGACCGUCGUAUGGACGCGUGCACGAUGUCGGAGACGGCGCCACGUGGAAGAAGUACUACCGUGAGACCACGGAGGAGAGAAAGGAAAGACGGAGAUUAACUGAACAAAACAUCGACAAGAAGGUUGAGAUUGCGGUUGAGAAGAAAUCAUCUCAGACAGUCGCAACAGCGGUAGCUGCCGCAAAACAGGCGAUUGCAGAUAUGUCUACUUCCUUGGUGACUGGCGUUUUCACUUGGACAAGGCAAAAUCCAGAAAAAAAUGCAGAUGACUUUCCCCUUGCUGACUUCUUGGGAGCACCUGCUCCCGCACCGGCUCCCGCACCUGCUCCCGCACCGGCUCCCGCACCUACUCCCGCACCGGCUCUCGCACCGGACGUGCUCGGUGGUGCCUCCUCUUUGGCUGAGCUCGACGCCCUCACGUUAUCUGUCACACAGGCCCCUUCAAUAUAAAUGUAUAAUCUCCUGUUUUCAUUGCCUUUCGGAUGUCUCACAUCGCAGACUUUUCUUUGCAGGCCGACGAAACCCCGUGCACCAUAUUAUACACCAUCGGCGAACAGAAGGUGGACGUGGGGAAGGCAACGAUAAUGGAGCCGAAGGAACCAUUGUUCCACAGCCGGCCGAUCCCCCCGAACGUCUUCAAGGUUUCCGUGGCCAGUGUCAAACCGGGCCACGAGAAUUUGCCUCCUCUUAUACUAGUGGGGGAUGACGACGAGACCCCGUGGCGGCUUGGUAAUUGUUGCAAUGGGUGGGUCCUGUUGUGGCCAAAGAGUCUGCUUCGUCUGGAGGCGGCCGGGAGCACACCCACGAGCAUGCAGCCUCAGCAAGGUAUGAACAUCAACACCCCACCUACGCAAUUAGCGUCGAGUGUCGGGUUGGGUGAUAGCGGACGGGGUAAGGAGGAGGCUCCAUUAGUCGCUGGUAACGUCGCCAUGGAUGAGGAUGAGGAUGACGAUGGCGCUAAACAAUAUGUCUAUACUGGCGCCUCCUCAGGGUUUGAGCGUCAUGAGUUGGUGCCUGAAUUACCGUCUCAACGUAUUAUUGACGACCUUCCGGUAGUAAAGAAGUCUAGGAAGAGAGCGAGGAAAGGCAAAAAAUCUGAUUCUAUGAUCCAGCCGCCUCAGCAGCCUCGGCUUCAGGACCGUAUAGAUAUCCCCGAUGCGGAUAAAUGGCAUAUCCCCGGUCAACCAAUCCUACCUGCAACAGCGCUACGGGCCAGAUUCGGGAUCUAAGGAGACUUCAUGAUGAUGUGCUGCGGGUAGAGAAAGGCCUCAUCGCCUCGAAAGAUCCAGGAUACCCACUCUACGUGGUUAACGUUCUGCGGCAAAUGUCGUACGUCGACAGCUUCCCUGCGGAUAAGUUCUUCCUCCGAUUCAAUUACAUAUUCGACAUGUUUCACGUGAAGAAGCUGGAUUUUACGUUUGUCCGCCUUUAUGCCUUGCACAUGAACUACAUCAUUGGGGUUGAGCAGAUACGUCAUAUCUGUGUCGCUGACCCGUACUACAUGCACGAGGGCUUCUUGGGAGUCUGUGCAGAGCAGCGUGAAUACGCGAGGGAUUACAUCGUCAGUUUCAUGCUCUCUAAUAAGGACAAGGAGGCAAUUCUCGUGCCUUAUCAUCCCAUGUAAGUCAUCCGUGCUGCUAUCCUUCCUUUGAUUUCAAUAAUUCAUUUGCACGGUGGAGGCUAAUUAAUUUGAGGUGUACUUAUUUUGCACAGCGGCGGACGUGCCGUUCUCAUCAUCCUCUACCCCCGAUUCUCCCACGCUCUUUACUUGGACUCAUCGAAGAACAUUCACAAAAAGGAUUACACCCACAUCAAAGAUGUUCUCGACAGUGCUAUGUUUUAUUACCAAGCAAGGGGUGGAGAGAUUAGGGACAAGAAGAGAAGGGGCGGCAGGGCCGCCUUCAGCCAUAAGACCAACUUCUGCUGCAUCCAGCAACCGAACGAUUCUCUUAAUGAUGGAUUCUAUGUCCUACACCACAUGCUGGAGUACAGACGGGAUCACCAGAACCUUCACAUGUAACCUAGAUCUGGUGAUGCCCAUAUUCUGCAAUGGGCAAAGGACAUAGGAGAUAUCGAGGAUCAUCGACUUCGAACUGAGUUCUAUAACAUCCAGCCCGAACUUGCCCAAAUCAUCAUGAAGGAGGUCACCGGAAAAACAGGGAUGUUCUACGGAGAAGGACAAAUGUCGCAGGAAGACGUCCAAACAUGGAUAGCCUCUCAGCGUCUCGACAUGAAGCCUUUCACUAAGCUCGAGGACUAUCUCCCUGACAUGGAUGGAUGGCACGACAUGAUGGAGUGAUUGUCGAUAUAUGACAAUGUGUCCGUUUAGUCCAUACUAUCUGUAUGACAAAACUUUGAGUUAUGCACAGUGAAACUUUAUUUGUGAUAUAAUUAAACCGUCCUCCUCCUCGACUAGCGAAAAUCACUCUAGUUAGGGCUUUUGGGGUACGAUGAACUUUGUUAUUUAUGCUUAUGAUAUGUUGUUUCUAUUUUUGCCAAGUCUGUCUCUUUCUGUUGCUCAACUAUAUAUGUUGCAUAUCAUCGACUCAUGUGAUGAUGCAGGUGCAUAGAUCAUAGACAGCGAAGAAGUGCUACGCCAGGAGUAUAUAUAUGACAAGUGGCCGGAGUGUCAGGCCCAGGUGUACCGGUUUCCGGUUUCCGAGCGAUAGGCAGUAGUUAGUUUAGGUUCACGCUAAUGCGAGAGAGGGAUACGAACUCAUGUACUCCAAAGUGAUAGCUCUUCUCGCGUAUAUCAUUGUUUAGAUGGAUGAUGGUGUAUUUGCAAGUAAUCGAGACUUGUAUCACCAUUUUCGAGAUUUAUGACGAGACACCACUUUGUGUUGGAUGAUGAUUAUGAUGAUGACAUGAUUUGAUGAGACUAAUUGUAUGUAUAUGCUAUGAUUUCAUUUGUAUGUGUAUGAUAUGCUAAAGAUUAUUCUAUAAAGCCUAUUCAAAUACAAAACAAAUACAAAACAAAAAAGCAGGAAAAAAACUAAUAAAACUAGUAGUAGCGAGGGGGAAAAUUUAGCAGUAGCGCCGCCUUACCAGUAGCGCUUCCAUGUAAACAGCGCUGCAGAUAAUAUCAGUAGUGCACUUUUCUAAAGAGCGCUACAGCUAUUCAUGUAUAGCAGUAGCGUGGGACAACAGGCGCUACUGCUAUACGUUAGCUGUAGCGCCUUAUUAGUAGCACCGGUACCCGCGCUACUGAGAGGCCCAAAACACGCGCUGCUGCUAGGCUUUUCCCUAGUAGUGAUACGGGCUGGGUCUCAAACGCCUACUUGUGCAUACGUACGGUUAGGGCUCGUGUACAUGGCUGUUUCGGAAUGGAGAAACUGCAUCUUCGUCGUGUUCAUGGGGAGGCAACCGGCUGGGUCGGGAUGGAAUGCGUCAUCGUGUUCAUCGGGAGGGCUUGGAUGGAACAGCCGAUGGAAACGCGGCCUGGCGUACCACAGAACAGAGAAAACGGCCUUGUGUUUGACUGGCCACGGUCGAAACAGGAUCAUGUUCAUCAAGAGGGGUCUGGCGUACCGCAAAACAGAGGAAACGGACUUAUGUUGGACCUCCCACGGUCGAAACGGGGUCCUGUUGAUCGGGAGGGGUGUGGCGUACCGCAAAAUGGAGGAAACGGACUUGUGUUGGAGCACUACGGUCGAAACAGGGGUCCUGUUCAUUGGGAGGGGUGUGGCGUACCGUAAAACGGGACUCCACAGGAUACUGUUCAUCUCCAUCGUCGUCCUCCUCCAGCAUCCACGGGCUAAUGUUCAUCCACUGUCGACCUCCUAAAGCCUCCACCUGCGACUGUUCAUCCACGGGAUCUUGUUCAUCCAACCUCCACCGCGCUCCUCCACCGGCUACUGUUCGACCAGCCUCUCCAUGGGGUCCUUUUCAACCACCCCUUCACGGGCUACUAUUCAUCCAGCCCUGCACCGGCUACUGUUCAACCAGCCCUCCACGGGGUCGUCCUGUUCAUCCAGCCCUCCACGGGGUCCUGUUCAUCCACCCCAACCGGCUCGACCGGGGUCCUGUUCACCAGAGGCAACACCACAGGGUCCUGUUCAUCCACCCCCACCGGGAUCUGUUCAUCCAAACCAUCCCCCAACAACGCUCACUGUUCAUCACGGGAAGGAGGCAGUGUCGCGACCGGUUUUUCAAUAAAAGCUUAUUGAGCAACCGACCUUUAUAUAGACCAGUAUAGGAAAAUCCUCCUUACUGGUAGACAAAUCCUUGAUACAGAAAUCCAGUAGUACUAAAUAUUAUACAGGGUUGAGCUGAGGUUGCUCAACAAUUUAUUACAAGCACGCCAAUAUUUUACAUACGGGCGGAUAUGACACAAGGGUGUGGUGGCAUACUACUGACUCGCAACAAAAGUGGGGGGGGGAUAUGUCACAGUGGUUUGGAGAACAAGACUCCUAAUCUUGCAGCUCAUCGAGCGUCGAAGUGAGGCCCGAUGAAUUUAUUUGGGUAGCGGAAGCGGAUAUAAUACAAUUGACCAAAUCCAGGAUCGCACGAGACUGACUGGGACUCCUCUAGGCGUCGGACUCGCUAUCAUACUCUUCAUCCAUGAGAUCGCCUUCGUCAACAUCUGGCCAAAUCAACAAGCCAGGUGAGUACUUUGAAUGUACUCGCAAGACAGUUCGGACAUAAGAUAUAACAAAUGCAAACAUGAUGCACGAUGAGCAGUUAGCAAUGCACACUCAAACAAUAAAUUUGCACGGCAUGUAGAAUAAAAAGGAGGUCAGGCGGUAGUCCUCCCGAAAUCCCCAUAAAAUAACUGAAACCCGGUCGGGUGUCUGAAGCGACGCCUCGAAAGGUGAAGUAAAUAAAUUAACAUGUCGCAGUCGGGCGUCUGGGCGACACCACAAAAAGGGCUUAUAUUGAAAAGUAAAUGACAGUGCGUGCCACAGUCGGACGUCUAUGCGACAUCUCGAAAAGGGCUUAUAAUGAAAGUAAAUAACAGAGAUGCCACAGUCGGACGUCUGAGCGACAUCUCGUAAAGGGAUUAUAAUGAAAAUAAAUAACAAAGAUGCCACAGUCGGACGUCUGAGCAACAUCACAUAAAGGGCUUUUACUGAAAGUAAAUAACGAGAGUGCCAUAGUCAGACGUCUGAGCGACAUCACAGAACGGAAUUAUAUUGAAAGUAAAUAACAAGAGCGCCACAGUCGGACGUCUGUGCGACAUCACAGAAAGGGCUUAUAUUUCAUCAUUCAUAUUCAAUAAAUCCAUGAAGAUAUAUCACUCACAGGAAAUACUCAGCACAUAAUAAUAAACGGGUUAGUCCAUCCACAGGAAUAAUCAUUUAGCCGGACUUAACACUCAUGUUUGUACACCAGAGUUUUGUCACUGAGACUGACACUGACGAAGAUAAGUUGAACACAGUCGAUGACCAAGAUACGGUUACUUGAAUGAUUUUGACUCUGCAGAGUUUGUACUAUUUAACCACAGCCAACGGAUUUCAGUAGUCACGAAGGACUAGUUCCGUUUAUGGUACUUCAGCAGAAACAUAUCUAACCAGUACACACCCAUUUUCCACCUCACGAUGCCAGGAAUCACCCUAGGCAACGUUCAAGAAAAACUUUGAGACGGGGAGGCUACAGCCUCGAAUAGCAUGGGAUCAAAUUUAUAUACGCGCGCUCUAAGGGGUGCCCCCCUCUCGGUCCCAACCGGAAACACCCAUGCUCCCUGACCGGAUGACUGGAUUUAAUCCAGGGCCAUGGAACCCUCAUCACGGCCUCUCUAUUUGGUGUGUACAAGGAAAGUGGUUUGCAACUUACUAAACCAUAUUCUUUUCAGAAAACAUGUGGCAGCACAAAAAGAAAUGGAUGGUAACGUGACUUUAUCCACGUUGACACUGGAGUUAAAUGGUCUGGCAUAAGACUGGCAUGCUUCAACACUGCCAUCUUACCACCUCUCAUGUCACCACAUGAUCAUGUAAACUCACAUCAAAAUGAUAUGGAGUUUCGAAGCUCACUUGCAUUAGCUCUACAAGCAAUAUAACACUUACUGCAAUGCAUAUAAACAUGCCAUGAACUAACUACCCAAUGUAAACAUGCAAAACACUCAUCAUAUCAAAGGUUCAAACAUGCUUGCCUGGUUCAGAGGAGUCAGAGUCUAGCUCGGUGAAGUUUGUGGUUCCGUCACCUCCUCCGGUAUCUAUGGUAUAAAGAAAAAUACGUACUAUCGUAAAUACCGUGUGUGCACAAAAAGUGCUCCAAAUAUUUUUCAAAUAAAUCUGAUAAAAAACUAGACAGAAAAAUAAAAGUGACAGAAAAAGAACCAAUCAAAAACUUUUUUCUAUUUGAAACUUAUUAGGGUUUUAGCCCAGGGACUUGUCUAUAAUGAAACAGAAAGUUUCCAGGGGGCAUAACAAAAAAAGACAGAAAAACUUUUCAGAUCAAAAGCGUAUUUUGCCCGAAGGCACUAUCCAAAAAAACGGUUCGAAUAGAAAUAAAUGGCUGACGAGGGGGUCCCACUCAUCAGGUUUAAAAGUUGGAGGGAGAAAACAGAGCGCGCCGGUGCCCGAAGGCUGCGGUGGUCGCCGGCGGCGAUCCACGGCGAGUUAGGAAGAGUGGAUGGUACCUACGGGUUCCUAGGGCUCUUCUGCACCUGUGGGUGGUGAAGUUGGUCGUCGGUGAGCUCCACGUCGACGGUGGCCUUCACUCCGAUAGAUGGCGGCUCGGGCGUUGAUGGAUCUCGCCGGGGAGGGCUGCAAGCUUCAAAUUGGGGCGUGGGUCAGUGUACUGGGUGCACCAGAGGGCUGCUGAUGUGGUUUGGGAGGCGGGGGUGGCCUCACCUGAGUGGAUUGAGCUAGAGCACGAGGCGGAUCGGGGCGGCCGGAGACGGAGGAGAAGACCUCUUCGGGGUCCUCCUGGUGUCUUGGCGGGGCUCUCGUGAGGUGGUGGGAGUAGUGCUGGUCGAAGGAGAGCUCGGGGUGGCUAUUUAUAGCUGGCCCGUGGCAGUUCCUGCGAACGGGAUAACGCCGGUGAAGAUUACGGUGAGGCAGUGGGUGGUCAGGUGGUUUAGGUGGCUGGGCAUCAGCGUGUUGAUCCACUACUUUCAUUCAGACGCUAACCUCGGUUGAAUUAGGCUUGCUUUGUGGUUUCUACAGAACGGCGCUUCACAGGCCCGCUGGUGGCAGAGAGCGCGCCCUAUGCUCGCCAGGCCACGGCGAUGGUGCUGCGGUGCGCGAAGAGGAGCAGACGGCCACGCGGAGGCCUCUGGUGGUUUGGGCGGUGCUGGACGGCGCAGAAAGCUGCAGCUGCAGCCUGCCGGCCGCCAUGGGUGGCUCUGCCACCGCAGAAGUUGCCGGCGUCGGUGAGGCACGCCGCCACCGACACCUGCGCCCGUCCAAGAGAGCGUGCGACACUCUGGAUAAGAAGGAGAAGUAGUGCGCAAGGCGCCAGCGUGCACUGGUGAGAUCGACACCAAGUCUCUGAAGAAAACAACACUAACUGUCGAACUGAAUCAUUGGAUUUCUGAACCCGUAUAGUAACAGUGCAGGCCAGGUGUUCGAUGAAAUGAUUUUGGCAUGUGGGUAAUUUAUCUGGAGCUGAUCUUUGGUGAGGUGGCCUCUCAUUGCACCUAGGGGCUUCCUGAUUUUUGGUAGAAUUUUUGGAGAAGAGAAAAUAUGAAUUUCACCAAAAAUGAUGAAUCUGGUCCAAACUUGCAGUGAGCAAAACUUGAAAAUUUUGAAUUGUGGAAGAGUGGAUCUUGAUGGAUCUAGGUUGAGGGUGCUAAGGACCAGCUAGAGGAGUUGUCUUGAGAUCAAAACUCACAAUAAAUUUGGUACUUCCUUUGUAAAUCACCUAUGUCCAAAAUAAAAGGCAGAAAUAGUUUUAGGGUAAAAAUAAAUGAAAUAAAAAUCAAAAGUGAGUUGAACAUGCCGGGGUUGGCUACUUGUCUUGACCCAAAGUGGAGGGAGGUGUUUUGGAGGAAAAUUUUAACAAGAGGCAUGGUGAAAGAGGAUGGUUGAAAUAAAAGGAAUAAAUCCAAAACCCUAAGGAUUUCUUUUUAAAAGAAAAACUUUCAAAAUAAAUUGUGAUGAGUCCACACCAAUGAAAAGCCUUCAAAACCAAACAUCAAGGUUGAGGAUGAUCAAAAAUAAAAGUUUUGACAUCAGAGAAAAUAUUUGAGAAGGAGAGUCUUUUUAAAGGAUUUUGAGUGGCCUCCUUCAAAUCAAAUAAAGAGUUUGCUGAAAACCAAAUGAAAGUUUUUGGAGUGUCACAACAACUACCCCCUUAGGAAAAAUCUCGUCCCCGAGAUUUCAGCUGAUCGUCAAAUAGGUGUGGGUGCUCUAUCCGAAGAAAAUCCUCUCUUUCCCAUGUUGCUUCAUUCUCGGAGUGAUUGCUCCACUGAACUCUGAAAAACUUGAUUGUUUUUUGACGGGUUCUCCUUUCAGACUCUUCCAAUAUUUUUAUUGGACGUUCCCUGUAGGUGAAGUCUGGUUGCACGUCAAUGUCUUCAUGGGAUACAUGCUUCUCUGGGUGCUUACGCACUUCCUCAACUGUGAUACGUGGAACACGUCGUGGACGUCUGACAAUUCUUCGGGUACGUCUAGCUGGUAGGCUACUCUGCCUCUUCGUGCAACUACACAGAAUGGUCCGAUGAAUCUUGGUGCUAGCUUUCCCUUAACCUUGAAUCGUUGUAGGCCCCUCAUAGGGGAUACACGCAAGUACACAUACUCACCGGGUUCAAAACUGACUCCAUGAUGUUUUCGAUCAUAAUAACUCGUUUGUCGGCUUUGAGCUAUCUUGAGUCGGUCCCUGAUUAGCCUGACAUUCUCCUCGGCUUCUUUGAGCAUGUCUGGGCCGAAGAUACGGCUGUCUCCGGUCUCUGACCAAUUUAGUGGGGUACGACAUCUAUGCCCGUACAAGGCUUCAAAGGGUGCCAUUUGUAGGCUGGCUUGUUAACUGUUGUUGCAUGCAGACUCUGCAUAUGGCAAGCUUUCUUCCCAACUGGUUCCAUAAGUGAGGACACAUGCCCUCAGUAUGUCUUCUAGAAUUUGGUUCACCCGUUCAGUUUAUCCAUCUGUCUGGGGGUGGUAUGCUGUACUGAAUGCUAGUUGGGUCCCCAGAGCCUGUUGUAGGUGAUCCCAAAAUCUAGAGACGAAUUGUGUGCCUCUGUCAGAAAUUAUAGUCUUUGGAACUCCAUGAAGACAGACGAUACGGGAGAAGUAAAGCCUGGCAAGCUUCUGAGUGGUGUGGGUUGUCUUCACCGGGAUAAAGUGUGACACCUUAGUCAGUCUAUCUGUGAUGACCCAUAUGGCAUCAUUUCCGUGUCGUGACCGAGGUAGUCCAACAAUAAAGUCCAUUCCAAUCUCGUCCCAUUUCCACUCGGGUAUCUUGUUUGGCUGUAAUAGUCCGGCUGGUUUCUGUUGCUCGGCCUUGAUGGGUUGACAUGAAUCACAAUAUGCAAUGAACGUGGCUAUGUCCCUCUUCAUACCGUGCCACCAAAAUUUUUCCUGAAGGUCCUUGUACAUUUUUGUUCCUCCAGGGUGGAUUGAAUAAAGAGCGGUGUGGCCCUCAGCUAGAAUUUGUUGUUUAAGGUCUUCUAUAUUUGGAAUGCAAAUCCUAUCUCCGUACCACAAUAUUCCCUUAUCAUCCAUGACGAAUUCUGAGGCCUUGCCCAUACUCACUUUUCUUCUUAUUCCUUCGAUGCUGGGGUGUCCAUGCUGAGCCUCCUUGAUCUGCUCUAUCAGGUUGGGCUGUACUUCCAAAUUUGACAUACUGCCUUCAGUGACCAUUACCAAGUUGAGUUUGGCAAACUCCUGCUGAAAUUCUGGUCCCAAAUAUGGUAGGAUGUCGUUGCCCGAGCUGGGGUUUCGACUCAGAGCUUCCGCCACUACAUUUGCUUUUCCUGGAUGGUAGUAAAUGCCAACAUCAUAAUCCUUCACUAAUUCCAACCAGCGUCGCUGCCGCAAAUUGAGUUCUGGUUGUGUGAAAAUAUACUUGAGGCUUUUAUGGUCCGUAUAUAUUUCACAGCGGUUUCCAAGCAAGAAGUGUCUCCACUCCUUGAGUGCAUGGAUGACUGCUACCAAUUCCAGGUCAUGAGUGGGAUAAUUCUCUUCAUGCAUCCGUAGUUGCCUGGAAGCGUAGGCAACUACCUUGCCUUCUUGUAUUAAUACGCAUCUGAGGCCCUUUUAGGAUGCGUCACAAUACACUUCAAAGCUUUUGUGUAUGUCGGGCACAACCAAUACUGGUGCUAUUGUCAGUUUCCUUUUGAGUUCUUGGAAACUUUUCUCGCAGGCUUCGGUCCAUACAAAUUUUUUAUCCUUCUUGAGCAACUGGGUCAUUAGUUUUGCUAUGGUGGAGAAUCCUUCAAUAAAUCUUCGGUAAUAUCCUGCCAUUCCCAAGAAACUUCGUACAUCCGUUACGUUGGCUGGUGGUUUCCAGCCAAGUACGGCCUUGACCUUUUCCGGGUCUACGGCAACACCUUCGUGGGUAAGUACGUAGCCUAGAAAUCCGACCUGUCUUAACCAAAAUACACAUUUGCUGAACUUGGCGUACAACUGAUGUUUCCUUAGUUCUCCCAGUACAAUCCUGAGAUGCUCAGCAUGCUCUUCUGGUGUCUUGGAGUAUACCAGAAUAUCGUCAAUGAAUACCACAACAAAUUUGUCCAUAAAUUUCAUAAAUACUUUGUUCAUGAGGUGGACAAAAUAUGCCGGGGCAUUCGUCAGUCCAAACGGCAUUACUGUAAACUCAUAUAAUCUGUAUCUUGAGGUAAAUGAUGUCUUGGGAAUAUCCUCUGUCCGUACUUUUAAUUGAUGAUAUCCCGACCGCAAAUCAAUUUUUGAGAAGACUUUGGCUUGUGCGAGCUGGUCAAAUAAGUCAUUUAUCCUUGGCAUGGGAUAUUUGUUUUUGAUGCUGACCAUGUUGAGUGCUCGAUAGUCUAUACACAAUCUUAGUGUCCCAUCCUUUUUCUUGGCAAAUAAUACUGGUGAACCCCAAGGUGAGGAGCUGGCUCGUAUAAAUCCUUUGUCCAGUAAUUCCUUUAUUUGCUUCUUUAAUUCUAUCAACUCGGAGGGUGCCAUUCUAUAGGGAUUCUUGUAAAUGGGGGUGGUUCCAGGUGCUAGCUCAAUGAUAAAUUCUAUUUCCUGGUCUGGCGACAUGCCUGGUAGUUCCUCGGGAAAUACGUCAGGAAACUCACAUACCACUAGAACUUUGCUUAUCUCUGAGAUGUCGACCUUGUUCAACCUUGGUUGUCGUGACAUUUGCCUUUCUUGAGCUGAAAUCUUUAUUGUCUUCCCGUGAUGAUGGGUGAGAAUCACAGUCCGAUUGAAGCAGUCAAUAAAUCCUUUGUUGGUGGUUAACCAGUCCAUUCCUAGGAUAACAUCCAGUCCCUUAUUUUCCAACACAAUGAGGUUUGCAUGAAACUUUAGUCCUUCAAGAUCAAUAACCACACCUUGGCAGUAAUUCUGAGUAACUUACUUAAUCCUAGGGGACUUGAUGAUCUUGGAUUUUUCCAAGUGAAGCAUCGAAAAAUCAUUUUGCAAAGCAAAUCUCUUUGAAAUGAACGAGUGAGAAGCUCCAGAAUCAAACAAAACCGUGGCAGGUAUUGUGUUGACAGGGAACGUACCGAGUACGAUAUCCAGGGCAUUCUGUGCUUCCUCUCUGGUCACGUGGUUCAAGUGACCCUUCUUGUGAUUGUUACUGGGGUUGAAAUUGUUCCGCUUGGGCAUUGAAUUGUUGCCACCGUUGUUCGGCUUGGGGGGCGAGUUUCUUGGCUUGGGACACUGCUUGGCAUAGUGUCCUUCUUCUCCACAAGCGUAGCAAGAAGUAACGCCUAGACGAUAUGUGAACUCCUUGUCCCUUGCAUGGAAAUUCUUGAUUGGGCGUGAAACAUUGGUCGUGGGUUUGGAUGCCCCACCCUUCUGAAAUUCCGUCUUGCUCCGGUGGUUGCGAGCAAGUGUAGUCUGGUCUCUUUUGCGCUUGCGAAAAUCCUCCAAGCUGCGGCGUUCAUUUUCCAAUGUAAUAGCCUUAUCCACCAGUGUUUUGAAAUCUGGGAAGGUGUGUACGACCAACUGGCAUUUAAGCAUGGGUGCCAGACCAUCCAGGAAUUUUUCCAUCUUCUUGUUUUCAGUCAUACGUUCUUCGUCGGUGUAGCGAGACAAUAGAGUAAACUGACUGUUGUAUUCGGUCACCAUCAUGGUCCUCUGCUUGAGGUCAUCAAACUCCCUCUUGUUGAGCUUCAUAAUACUUCUGGGGAUGUGUGCCCCAUGAAAACCUUCUUUGAAUUCCUCCUAGGUUAUCCCAUUUUCAUUGGGGUGCAUGUGUAGGAAAUUUUCCCACCAUGAGGCAGCCGCUCUAGUGAGAUAGUGCAGUGCAUAUAGUACUUUCUCGCGGUGUAAACACUGUGCAAUAAUUAAUUUCCUCUCCAUGUCUCGAAGCCAAUCAUCGGCCUCAAGAGGUUUGUCAGUGUGCGAGAACGUUGGGGGACGUGUCUUUUGUAGUUCUGAUAACUUGGAUUGCUGCUGAUACGGUCCGCGGUGAUUUCCCAUAUUAAUGACUUGGUUCAUCAUUUCUUGAUGUUGUUACUGGCUUUGUUCAAAAAGGCGGCAUACUUGAGAAAAUGCGACAUCACUACCUUGCUGACUUGAUUGUCCUUGUGCAAAGUUGUUGCUUCUCUACGUACCAUAAUUCUCUUCUGGCGGACUUGGCAUGGAGCGAGUCCACGGACGAGGCAUUUUCCACUCUAGGUAUUCUUUUUGUAAAAAUUUGUGAGAAAAGCUGUGAGGCAGAAUAAAUAAUUUUUGCAAAACAAAGAAAAAAUUAAGAACUCCAACAUUUUUCAAAAAAAGAUUUGAUUGCACACGGAGAAGGACCGCUCAGUACAUAUCUUACACGCAAGCAUAAUUAUACAAUACAUCACUCAGGAUGUGCGUACACAUUCCUGACAUGUUAUUAAGGCUAGUGCACUUCUCCCAGUUCCUACAUGAUGCGCAUACAGACUACUUCUCACAACCUAUAUACAUAUAAACAUAUCAUACAAGCGGACACACUGCACGGCUGCUAGGCGCACUCAGUCGAAGAUGGUGAGGAUUUCCCUUGGCCUGUGAAGGGUAAGGUCCAGUGGCGGUGGAGACUCAACCUCUUCCUCAAUAAUAGGCUCCAGACGUGAAGCACUGAGCUGUGGAGCUGGAACGGGUGCGGUAGGUGGUGCAGCUCUGACUGGAGUAGGGGUGAUGACUCGGUCAAAUUCUUCAGGAGUAGGCAGGCGGCGAGAUGUGGCGAGGGUGGCAGGUGUGUGGGAUGCCGAGGACGAGAUGUAAUCCAGUGGUGGAGAUGUAUGGAGAAGCUCCCUCCUGUUGGCGAAAUAGCUGUGCACAACGGACAUGCGAGCAACCACGAGAUCGUCCACAAGGUUAUCAAAAGCGGCCUCAAGCGCCUUGAGAUAUUCAACCAGCAUCUCAAUAACCUCAUCCGUUUCUCCUCUAGGGCAAGCAAAAUGCAUAGUGGCAUGUGUAUGACACGUGGCAGGGGGUAGCGGUAGCGACGAGUCUUCAUAGAAGGAAGAAAAUCCCGAAGACGAGCUAUUGCCUCACGGGCAGCCAUCUGCAUAGCAUGCCUCUCCGUAGGCAUGGCUCUUCCCACAAACCGGAAGCGGCGAAACUCAACACGCCCUCCCUUCAAUUGCACCGUGGCCUGGUGCAUGGACAGACCAUCGUUGAUCUUGUGCUAGUAGAGUGUGAACUCUGGACGACUCGAUGGCCCGAUCGUGAUUUUGACGAUGAAGGUGAGGAGCUUGACGAACCCCUCAUGUACGUUGGCGAACACCUGCGACUCAUAGUCGUUGCCAGCCAUGUACAAAACUAGGCAAAAAUUCUGAAUGGUCAGAUCAUAAAUUUAUGCUGACUGUCAGAAAAUGACUACAUUUGCAAAAUAUUAAAAUAGCACUAAUUAUGCUAAUAACCGAUUAGCGAUCGCACCUAGUGGCUUCCUAUAAACAGCCUGGCUCUGGUACCAAGUUUGUCAAUAAAAGAUUAUUGAGCAACCGACCUUUAUAUAGACCAGUAUAGGAAAAUCCUCCUUACUGGUAGACAAAUCCUUGAUACAGAAAUCUAGUAGUACUAAAUAUUAUACAGGGUUGAGCUGAGGUUGCUCAACAAUUUAUUACAAGCACGCCAAUAUUUUACAUACGGGCGGAUAUGACACAAGGGUGUGGUGGCAUACUACUGACUCGCAAUAAAAGUGGGGUUGGAUAUGUCACAGUGGUGUGGAUGACAAGACUCCUAAUCUUGCAGCUCAUCGAGCGUCGAAGUGAGGCCCGAUGAAUUUAUUCGGGUAACAAAAGUGGAUAUAAUACAAGUGACCAAAUCGAGGAUCGCACGAGACUGACUAGGACUCCUCUAGGUGUCGGACUCGCUAUCGGACUCUUCAUCCAUGAGAUCGCCUUCGUCAACAUCUGGCCAAAUCAACAAGCCAGGUGAGUACUUCGAAUGUACUCGCAAGCCAGUUCGGACAUAAGAUAUAACAAAUGCAAACACGAUGCACGAUGAGCAGUUAGCAAUGCACACUCAAACAAUAAAUUUGCACGGCAUGUAGAAUAAAAUGGAAGACAGGCGGUAGUCCUCCCGAAAUCCCCAUAAAAUAACUGAAAACCGAUCGGGUGUCUGAAGUGACGCCUCGAAAGGUGAAGUAAAUAAAUUAACAUGCCGCAGUCGGGCGUCUGGGCGACACCACAAAAAGGGCUUAUAUUGAAAAGUAAAUGACAGUGCGUGCCACAGUCGGACUUCUAUGCGACAUCUCGAAAAGGGCUUAUAAUGAAAGUAAAUAACAGAGAUGCCACAGUCGGACGUUUGAGCGACAUCUCGUAAAGGGCUUAUAAUGAAAAUAAAUAAUAGAGAUGCCACAGUCGGACGUCUGAGCGACAUCACAUAAAGGGCUUUUAUUGAAAGUAAAUAAUGAGAGUGCCACAGUCGGACGUUUGAGCGACAUCACAGAAAGGGCUUAUAUUGAAAGUAAAUAACAAGAGUGACACAGUCGGACGUCUGUGCGACAUCACAAAAAGGGCUUAUAUUUCAUCAUUCAUAUUCAAUAAAUCCAUGAAGAUAGAUCACUCACAGGAAAUACUCAGCACAUAAUAAUAAACGGGUUAGUCCAUCCACAGGAAUGAUCAUUUAGCCGGACUUAACACUCAUGUUUGUAUACCAGAGAUUUGUCACUGAGACUGACACUGCCGAAGAUAAGUUGAACACAGUCCAUGACCAAGAUACGGUUACUUGAAUGAUUUUGACUCUGCAGAGUUUGUACUAUUUAACCACAGCCAACGGAUUUCAGUAGUCACGAAGGACUAGUUCCGUUUACGGUAUUUUAGCAGAAACACAUCUAACCAGUGCACACCCAUUUUCCACCUCACGAUGCCAGGAAUCACCCUAGGCAACGUUCAAGAAAAACUUUGAGACGGGGAGGCUACAACCUCGAAUAGCAUGGGAUCAAAUUUACAUACGCGCGCUCUAAGGGGUGCCCCCCUCUUGGUCCCAACCGGAAACACCCAUGCUCCCUGACCGGAUGACUGGCUUUAAUCCAGGUCCAUGGAACCCUCAUCAGGGCCUCUCUAUUUGGUGUGUACGAGGAAAGUGGUUUGCAACUUACUAAACCAUAUUCUUUUCAGAAAACAUGUGGCAGCACAAAAAGAAAUGGAUGGUAACGCGACUUGAUCCACAUUGACACUGGAGUUAAAUGGUCUGCCAUAAGACUGGCAUGCAUCAACACUGCCCUCUUACCACCUCUCAUGUCACCACAUGAUCAUGUAAACUCACAUCAAAAUCAUAUGGAGUUUCGAAGCUCACUUUCAUUAGCUCUGCAUGCAACAUAACACUUACUUCAAUGCAUAUAAACAUGCCAUGAACUAACUACCCAAUGCAAACAUGCAAAAAACUCGUCAUAUCAAAGGUUCAAACAUGCUUGCCUGGUUCGGAGUAGUCGGAGUCUAGCUCGGUGAAGUUUGCGGUUCCGUCACCUCCUUCGGUAUCUAUGGUAUAAAGAAAAAUACGUACUAUCAUAAAUACCGUGUGUGCACAAAAAGUGCUAGAAAUAUUUUUCAAAUAAAUCUGAUAAAAAACUAGACAGAAAAAUAAAAGUGACAGAAAAAGAAUCAAUCAAAAAUCAUUUUCUGUUUGAAAGUUAUUAGGGUUUUAGCCCAGGGACUUGUGUGUAAUGAAAUAGAAAGUUUCCAGGGGGCAUAACAGAAAAAGACAAAAAAACGUUUCAGAUCGAAAGCGUAUUUUGCCCGAAGGCGCUUUCCAAAAAAAAUAGUUCAAAUAGAAAUGAGGGGCUCACGACGGGGUCCCACUCGUCCGGUUUGAAAGUUGGAGGGAGAAAACAGAGCGCGCCGGUGCCCAAAGGCUGCGGUGGUCGCCGGCGGCGAUCCACGGCGAGUUAGGAAGAGUGGAUGGUACCUACGGGUUCCUAGGGCUCUUCCGCACCUGUGGGUGGUGGAUUUGGUCGUCGGCGAGCUCCACGUCGAUGGUGGCCUUCACUCCGACGGACGGCAGCUCGGGCGUUGAUGGAUCUCGCCGGGGAGGGCUGCAAGCUUCAAAUUGGGGCGUGGGUCAGUGUACUGGGUGCACCAGAGGGCUGCUGAUGUGGUUUGGGAGGCGGGGGUGGCCUCACCUGAGUGGAUCAAGCUGGAGCCCGAGGCGGAUCGGGGCGGCCGGAGACGGAGGAGAAGACCUCUUCGUGUCCUCCUGGUGUCUUGGCGGGGCUCUGGUGAGGUGGUGGGAGUAGUGCUGGUCGAAGGAGAGCUCGGGGUGGCUAUUUACAACUGGCCCGUGGCGGUUCCUGCGAAUGGGAUAAUGCCGGCGAAGAUUACGGCCAGGCAGUGGGUGGUCAGGUGGUUUAGGUGGCUGGGCAUUAGCAUGGUGAUCCACUGGUUUCAUUCAGACGCUAACCUCGGUUGAAUUAGGCUUGCUUUGUGGUUUCGACAGAACGGCGCUUCGCGGGCCCACCGGCGGCAGAGAGCGCGCCCUGUGCUCGCCAGGCCACGGCAACGGUGCUGCGGUGUUCGCAGAGGAGCAGAUGGCCACGCGAAGGCCUCGGGUGGUUUGGGCGGUGCUGGACGCCGCAGAAAGCUGCAGCUGCACCCUGCCCGCCGCCACGGGUGGCUCUGCCACCGCAGAAGUUGCCGGCGUCGGUGAGGCACGCCGCCACCGACACAUGCACCCGUCAAAGAGAGCGUGCGAAGCUCUGGAUAAGAAGGAGAAGAAGUGCGCAAGGCGCCAACAUGCACUGGUGAGAACGACGCCAAGUCUCUGAAGAAAAUGACACUAACUAUCGAACUGAAUCACUGGAUUUUUGAACAUGUACAGUAACAGUGCAGGCCAGGUGUUCGAUGAAAUGAUUUUGGCAUGUGGGUAAUUUAUCUGGAGCUGAUCUUUGGGGAGGUGGCCUCUCAUUGCACCUGGGGGCUGCCUGAUAUUUGGUAGAAUUUUUGGAGAAGAGAAAAUAUGAAUUUCACAGAAAAUGAUGAAUCUGGUCCAAACUUUCAGUGAGCAAAACUUGAAAAUUUUGAAUUGUGGAAGGGUGGAUCUUGAUGGAUCUAGGUUGAGGGUGCUAAGGACUAGCCAGAGGAGUUGGCUUGAGAUCAAAACUCACAAGAAAUUUGGUACUUCCUUUGUAAAUCACCUAAGUCCAAAAUAAAAGGCAGAAAUAGUUUUGGGGUAAAAAUAAAUGAAAUAAAAAUCAAAAGUGAGUUGAACUUGCUGGGGUUGGCUACUUGUCUUGACCCAAAGUGGAGGGGGUGUUUUGGAUGAAAAUUUUAACAAGAGGCAUGGUGAAAUAGGAUGGUUGGAAUAAAAGGAAUAAAUCCAAAACCCUAAGGAUUUCUUUUUAAAAGAAAAACUUUCAAAAUAAAUUGGGAUGAGUCCACACUAAUGAAAAGCCUUCAAAACCAAACAUCAAGGUUGAGGAUGAUCAAAAAUAAAAGUUUUGACAUCAGAGAAAAUAUUUGAGAAGGAGAGUCUUUUUGAAGGAUUUUGAGUGGCCUCCUUCAAAUCAAACAAAGAGUUUGCUGAAAACCAAAUGAAAGUUUUUGGAGUGUCACAGGAAGCUGGGUUCGAUCAACUUCAGUUAGCAGCUAUAGCGAAGAAAUCACUCGGGUUCAGUUAACAGUAACGGAUCAAUCGCUCGGGUUCAGUAUCGUAGCUAGUGCGAUCACUCGGGUUUAGUUAGAGCCCAACGCCUUGCUCGGGUUUAGUUAGAGCCCAAUGCCUCACACACACGCGCAUACAUGUAUGAGAGAAAUGCACAUCACUCGGCCCCCGACCACCCACCGUAACCGGGAACUCCCCAAAAUUUUCCUCGCCCUUGCUUCUACCACGGUUUUUUCCGUCAUGGACGGCCCAAAGAAUGUCAUGCAGCUGCGUCUCCGGCCCGCCCAGGACGAAAAGCCAAUUUUGUGUCAUGAUUUUUUGUCAUAGAAGUAGGAGCCCACCACAUCUAUGAUGAUACCGGGUUUUGUCACAAUUAUCGCCAUAGAAGUGUCAUAAGCAUGAAAAAAAAUUGUUCGGCCCAAAAUAUCACGGAUGUGUCUUUUUUUUGUAGUGAAAGUCUGGUACAUUCUCAGUUUGAUCUGCUUAUCAUAGGGAAUGGGAGCAUAAAUUUGGACAACAUAUGCAUGGGGAGGAUGGCCAAGGUCGAGCAAAUCCUAUCCCCAUUUGGGAUGACAUCUAGAAACUUAAGGUGUCAGCUAGUAUAACAUGGGAUCCUUCCCUGUAAAGGUGUACUAGCAAACAGACAUGUUUUAACACAAGCACAAUGUCCGGUCUGCUUGAGGGGAACUGAUGAUAUUCAACAUUGUCUUUUCAGCUGUAAGAGGGUUAUAUUUAUUUGGUACUAGUUGGAUCUAACAGAGACGAUCAGCAAGGCCAUAUGUCGAGACCGAUCAUGUUUUUUAAACUUGAAUCAAAUUACGGAUGAGAACUCAGGGAAGAGUAUUGGAGGUCUACAUAUACCCGAGCUUGUGAUCGCGGCAUCUUCGUACCUUUGGUGGCAAUCUCGACAGCUAAUAAAGAGUGCAUCAGUACUACCAGCAGAUAGAACAACAACAUCCAUCAGAGCAAUUGCCACAAAUUUCUGGAGAGCAAUUGAAAAGAAGGACAAAAGGAAGAAGGACCAAAAAAGUGGUGCAAACCAUUGCAUGGCUUUAUGAAAAUUAAUGUAGAUGCUUUAUUCCACGUAAAAGACCGAUCAGGAGCAAGUGAGGCAGUCAUCAAAGAUGAAUUGGGUUAUUUUGUAGAUGCUGCAGCAAGUUCAUUCCACAUGUUUCUGAUGCGGCCUCUCAGGAAUGGUAUUAAUUUGGCAGCUCAUGUGGGAUGCUUGAGGAUAGAAGCUGAGUCAGAUUGUGGACUUGUGAUUGAUGCAGUAAAAGAUACUUAUAGAUUCAAUGGUUCCCAAGCAGCAACAAUUAUUGAAUGCACUCAACUCUCUUGUGACUUCGGACAGGUGAAAUUUCAUUUACGCAACCGAGAAGCAAACAAUGUAGCAGAUGCUUUGGCUAAACAAAUAUGCUGAAGAUUUCUUCUGUUUGGGAAGAUGACCCGCUUGAUUUCAUUUCUUCUUUGAUUGCAAAUGCCAUUGCUAUUGCCCGUGAAACAAAAUCUUUACCCUGUCAAAAAAAUAUUAUUUCUCCCCAAUUAUUUGCUCAUCAUUGGAAUUGUUCUCAUAGUUGAUAAAUCUACUCCAUGCAAAAAAAAUAUUGAUCCGCUUGCACCUUCAAUUAGUAAUUUCGACCAAAGUGUCUGGUCUGAACUAAAGUGCCUCUUUCUAGAUGCUUAAGAAAUGACACUUCAGAAUAUGACUGACCGUUUCAUAAAGAAAACAUGAUCGACCAUGAUCUAGAAGCCCCUAAACAAAACCAAGUUCGCCAAUUGGGACUGAAAAAAUGAUGCAAUAGAAAGAACACACUAGAAGGGGAACUCAGAUCCAAGCUGUAUUUUGCGGCCAUAGAAUAAAUCAAACUAUGCUCCAACUCAUGUUCUUCAAGGUACCCAUUUAGAAAUUUCUUAACACUAUCAAAUAGCUCCUAAUCUGAAUACUAAGAAUGUGAUUUGUAUCCCUAAUCUAAUGUGUAUUUGAUCCUUUGAAUCUACUUAACUAUAGCAGUUGCGGUAGAGGAAUGGUAUUAGGAAGACAUCUAGGAAAAAAUGAUUAAUUAAAUUAUUAAAUGACUACAUGGCAUUAUGUUUUUCUUCCCACUCUUUUGUUUGUUUUUCUUAUCUUUCAAACUAACUAUCUACUUGCUUCCCUUCGAUCUCCAUUAGUGAGCCCAUGGAUUCGCCUCCUCUCCGCCUGCUGCUCCAGCGGCUGGUAGCGGGUGAGGGAGUCCUGGAUUAGGGGGUAUCCUGACAGUCGGACUAUAUACUUUGUCCGGACUGUUGGACCGUGAAGAUACAAGACUCAAGACUUUGUCCCGUGUUCGGAUGGGACUCCUUUGCGUGGAAGACAAGCUUGACGAUCCAGAUAUUAGAUCUCCUUCUUUGUAACCGACUCUGUGUAAACCCUAGCCCCCUCCGGUGUCUAUAUAAACCGGAGGGUUUGGUCCACAUAGGGACAAUCAUAAUCAUCAUAGGCUAGGUUCUAGGGUUUAGCCUCUACGAUCUCGUGGUAGAUCAACUCCUGUAAUACUCAUAUCAUCAAGAUCAAUCAAGCAGGAAGUAGGGUUUUACCUCCAUCGAGAGGGCCCGAACCAGGGUAAAACAUUGUGUCCCUUGCCUCCUGUUACCAUUAGCCUUAGACGCACAGAUCGGAACCCUUUACCCGAGAUCCGCUGGUUUUGACACCGACAUUGGUGCUUCCAUUGAGAGUUCCUCCGUGUCGUCACUGCAAGGCUCGAUGGCUCCUUUAGUCAUCAACAAUAACGCUGUCCAGGGUGAGACUUUUCUCCCCGGACAGACCUUCGUGUUCGGCGGCUUCGCACUGUGGGCCAAUUCGCUUGGCCAUCUGGAGCAGAUCGACAGCUACGCCCCUGGCCAGCAGGUCAGGUUCAGAAACUUGAACUACACGGCCGAUAUCCGCGGAGACUUGAUCUUCGGCGGAUUCAGACCUACGCCAGGAGCGCCGAACAGUCACGACGAGCACGGCUUAGACCUGCUAUCGGAAAAUACUCGGGAUAUCACACCCUCAGGAGCUCCGGACUUAAAUCUGGGGCAGAGCGCGUCGUCCGAGGACGGGUGGACGGACCCCACCCCGGAGGCCGCACACUCAUCGGCGGUAGAGCCGAACACAGACUCCACCCCCAAGGAAGCCUGUGUCAUCAGACCCCCGAACUCGUGUCCGGAUGUAGAUUCCAGACCGUGCGCCCCUGAGCCCACCGAAUUUGGUUGGGCUCCGGUAAUGGAAUUCACCACUGUGGACAUUUUCUAACACUCGCCUUAUGGCGACAUGCUGAACUCAUUAAAGUCUCUCUCUUUGUCAGGAGACUCUCGGCCGAACUAUGUCCGGCUCGAGUGGGAAACAGGCAAUGAGGGAAUUUAUUGACCACCCACCACCCACUUCAUUGCCACUAUCGAUGAUUUGACCGACGUGCUCGACUUCGACUUUGAAGACAUCAACAGUGUGGACGACGAUGUAGGAGAAGAACAGGAACCACCGCCCGGGCGCUGGACAGCCACCUCCGCGUACGAUAUAUAUAGGGUGGACACUCCAAAAGAAACAAAUGGCGAUGAGGCAAUGGAGGAUAACCCUGAUAACCCACAAGUGUAGGGGAUCGCAACAGCUUUCGAGGGUAAAGUAUUCAACCCAAAUUUAUUGAUUCGACACAAGGGGAGCCAAAGAAUAUUCUUGAGUAUUAGCAGUUGAGUUAUCAAUUCAACCACACCUAGAUAACUUAGUAUCUGCAGCAAUGUAUUUAGUAGCAAAGUAGUAUGAUAAUAAAGGUAACGGUAGCAAAAGUAAAGAUAAUAGUUUUUGGGUUUUUGUAGUAGUUGUAACAAUAGCAACGGAAAAGUAAAUAAGCGAAGAACAAUAUGUGAAAAGCUCGUAGGCAAUAGAUCAGUGAUGGAUAAUUAUGCCGGAUGCGAUUCCUCAUGUAAUACCUAUAACAUAGGGUGACACAGAACUAGCUCCAAUUCAUCAAUGUAAUGCAGGCAUGUAUUCCGUAAAUAGUCAUACGUGCUUAUGGAAAAGAACUUGCAUGACAUCUUUUGUCCUACCCUCCCGUGGCAGCGGGGUCCUAGCAGAAACUAAGGGAUAUUAAGGCCUCCUUUUAAUAGAGAACCGGAACAAAGCAUUAACACAUAGUGAAUACAUGAACUCCUCAAACUACGGUCAUCACCGAAAAAUAUCCCGAUUAUUGUCACUUCGGGGUUGUCGGAUCAUAAACAUAAGAGGUGACUAUAGACUUGCAAGAUAGGAUCAAGAACACACAUAUAAUCAUGAAAACAUAAUAGGUUCAGAUCUGAAAUCAUGGCACUCGGGCCCUAGUGACAAGUAUUAAGCAUAGCAAAGUCAUAGCAACAUCAAUCUCAGAACAAAGUGGAUACUAGGGAUCAAACCCUAACAAAACUAACUUGAUUACAUGGUAAAUCUCAUCCAACCCAUCACCGUCCAGCAACCCUACGAUGGUAUUACUCAUGCACGGCGGUGAGCAUCAUGAAAUUGGUGAUGGAGGAUGGUUGAUGAUGACGACGGCGACGAAUCCCCCUCUCCGGGGCCCCGAAGGGACUCCAGAUCAGCCCUCCCGAGAGAGAUUAGGGCUUGGCGGCGGCUCCGUGUCGUAAAACGCGAUGAAACUUUCUCUCUGAUUCUUUUCUCCCCGAACGUGAAUAUAUGGAGUUGGAGUUGAGGUCGGUGGAGGUCCAGGGGGCCCACGAGAUAGGGGGGCGCGCCCUACAGGGGGGGUGCCCCCCUGUCUCGUGGACAGGCCCUGGGCCCCCUGGUGUAUUUCUUUCGACCAGAAAUUCUUAUUAAUUCCAAAAAGUGCCUCCGUGGAUUUUUAGGACAUUCUGAUAAAUUUUCGUUUCUACACAUAAAACAACAUCAUGGCAGUUCUGCUGAAAACAACGUCAGUCCGGGUUAGUUUCAUUCAAAUCAUGCAAGUUAAAGUCCAAAACAAGGGCAAAAGUGUUUGGAAAAGUAGAUACGUUGGAGACGUAUCAACUCCCCCAAGCUUAAACCUUUGCUUGUCCUCAAGCAAUUCAGUUGAUAAACUGAAAGUGAUAAAGAAAAACUUUUACAAACUGUGUUUGCUCUUGUUGUUGUAACAUGAAAAGUGAGCAUUCAAGUUUCAACAAAUAUUAUGAACUAACCAUACUCACAAUAACACUUAGGUCUCACAAUUACUCAUAUCAAUAGCAUAAUCAGCUAGCGAGCCAUAAUAACAAAACUCGGAUGACAACACUUUCUCAAAAUAAUCAUAACAUGAUAUAACAAAAUGGUAUCUCGCUAGCCCUUUCUAAGACCGCAAAACAUAAAUGCAGAGCACGUUUAAAGAUCAAGGACUGACUAAACAUUGUAAUUCAUGGUAAAAGAGAUCCAGUCAAGUCAUGCACAAUAUAAACCAAUAAUAAUGAAUGCAAAUGACAGUGUGCUCUCCAGCGGGUGCUUUUAAUAAGAAGGGUGAUGACUCAACAUAAAGUAAAUAGAUAGGCCGUUCGCAGAGGGAAGCAGGGAUUUGUAGAGGUGCCAGAGCUUGAUUUUAAAAUAGAGAUUGAAUAACAUUUUGAGCGGCAUACUUUUGCUGUCAACGCAAAAACUAUGAGAUGGUUGUAUCUUCCAUACUACAUGCAUUAUAGGCAGUUCCCAAAUAGAAUGGUAAAGGUUAAUACUCCCCCAACCACCAACAAGCAUCAAUCCAUGGUUUGCUCGAAACAACGAGUGCCUCCAACUAACAACAGCCCUGGGGGACUUUUGUUUAAUUAUUUUGAUUUUCUUUCAUCUGUUUGGAUCAUGGGACUGGGCAUCCCGGUUACCGGCCCUUUCUCGUGAAUGAGGAGCGGAGUCCACUCCUCUUGAGAAUAACCCACCUAGAAUGGAAGAUAUAGGAAGCCCUAGUUGUAACAUGAGCUGCUCGAGCAUACAAUACAGAAUUUCAUUUGAAGGUUUAGAGUUCGGCACAUACAAAUUUACUUGGAACGGCAGGUAAAUACCAUAUCUAGGAAGGUAUAGUGGACUCAUAUGGAACAACUUUGGGGUUUAAGGAGUUUGGAUGCACAAGCAGUAUUCCCGCUUAGUACAGGUGAAGGCUAGCAAAAGACUGUGAAGCGACCAACUAAGAGAGCGACGACAGUCAUAAACAUGCAUCAAAAUUAAUUCACACCGAAUACAAGCAUGAGUAGGAUAUAAUCCACCAUGAACAUAAAUAUCAUGAAGGCUAUGUUGAUUUGAUUCAACUACAUGCGUGAACAUGUGCCAAGUCGAGUCACUCAAUACAUUCAAAGGAGGAUACCAUCCCAUCAUACCACAUCAUAAUCAUUCUAAUAGCAUGUUGGCACGCAAGGUAAACCAUUAUAACUCAUAGUUAAUCAAGCAUGGCACAAGCAACUAUAAUCUCUAAAUGUCAUUGCAAAUGUGUUUACUUCAUAAUAGCUGACUCAGAAACGAUGAACUCAUCAUAUUUACAAAAACAAGAGAGGUCGAGUUCAUACCAGCUUUUCUCAUCCCAAUAAGUCCAUCAUAUAUCGUCAUUAUUACCUUUCACUUGCACAACCGAACGAUGUGUAUAAUAAUAAGAGUGCACCUGCAUUGGACUAAGCUGGAAUCUGCAAGCAUUCAACUCAAGAGAGAAGACAAAUAAUAUGGGCUCUAAGUUAAAUAAACAAUCAUGCAUAUGAGAUCACUAAACUUUUUCAAUAUGGUCUACUCGACCCCCCAAGGAAAGAAAAUAAAAUAAAACUAUUUACACGGGAAAGCUCCCAACAAGUAAAAAUAAGAACUAGAAAUCUUUUGGGGUUUUCAUUUUAAUUUCUACUACAAGCAUGGAAAUUAAACUAAUUUUUUUUGGUUUUCUUAAGAUUUAUCAAACACACAAGAAGAAACCAGAAAAAGAAAUUUAAACUAGCAUGGAUAAUACAAUGAAAGAGUAUGAGCACCGACGACUAGUGUGUGAACAUGAAUGUAAAGUCGGUGAGAAAUACGUACUCCCCUAAGUUGGUCUAGUACCCAGGACCGUCUGGCUGAUAUCCAUAAGUGAAACCAGGGUCGUACUGAGAUGUAGCGGCAACCGCCUCCUGAGCUGCAGCAUGUUGGCGAGCUGCCUCCGCUCUCCUCUCAUGUUCAGCUGCUUCUUCCCUGGUGACAACAUAUCUUCCUUUUUCCUGAUAAUCAAAAAGGUAGGGAGUAGGAAGUGUAACAGGGAGGACGUUGCGUCUGUCAUAGGUUAGUCGAUAAUGGAGGAAUUGUUCAUUCCUUGCAAGAAAUUGAUGAUUGAACAAAGCUUCUUUAUCCAAAUAAACAGGAGGUAAAAUCAUAUCCCCCUCUCAUAGGGCUAUAUUAAGAUAAUUAGCCACACAGGUUGCAUAAAUUCAUCAAAAUAAAUUUCCCUUUCGACUAUUAUUCUGCAACCUGCGUGCAACUAUUGCCCCCAAGUUAUAACCUUUAUAACCUAACACAGUACUCUUGAGGACACACAGAUCAGCGACACAUAUGUGACAUGCUUCAUCCUUAUCGUUAAUGCAUCUACCAAUAAAGAGAGCAAAAUAAUGCAUAGCAGGAAAAUGAAUGCUCCCUAUGGUAGCUUGUGCUAUGUCCCUAUAUUCUCCCACAGUAAUACUAGCAAGAAAAUCUCUAAAUUCAGAUUUGCAAGGAUCAUUAAUAUUACCCCACUGCGGGAGUUUGCAAGAAGUUGUGAAAUCCUCUAAAUCCAUGGUAUAAGAUGUAUCAUAAAUAUCAAACAUGACACUAGGAGAAUUACAUGCACAGUUAUAUUGGAACCUCCGCACAAAGGAAUCACUCAAUUGAUAGUACUGCGGACACUUAUCUUGUAAGAAGUCCUCCAGCCCGGCAUUACGCACAUACGCGUCAAAUUCUUCCUUGAAGCCUGCUUCGACCAUAAAAUCAUCGGAUGGCCACUCACAAGCUCGUACAUCCGCGUCCCUCGACAAUUCAACAUCUUGCUCACGUAUAGCAAUCCUUGGCCCUUUCUUUACCGAGGAACCACCUUGGUACAUUCUUCUAAGCAUAAUUAUUUUUCUGAAAAUUUCUGAAAUUUUAGUAACUUCAAAAUAAAAGUGAAUAAAACUAAACAAGAUUGGUAGCAACUACUCCUACAAGUGCCUAGAGCCUAUAUCAUGCAUUAGAAUUGCUUGGGACCUCAUAAAUUUGACAUGCCAGCUCAAGAACAUGGUCACCUAUGCAGCAAAAAAUUGCAAUGAAUAAAGCACUAGAACAAAAACUAAUUGGACCAAUGGAGGAGUCACAUACCAAGCAACAAUCUCCCAAAGCGGUUUUGUGAAUGGAACUUUGAGCAAGGAGAUCGAAAUUCACAGCAAAAUGAGCUAUAACUCGUACUUAAGCUGGAUGGGGAUUUUUUUGGGAAGAAGAUGAAGUGUGUGGGUGCGGGCAUAAGUGGAGGGGGGCCACCAGUGGCCCACGAGACAGGGGGCUAUAGGGGGGGCACGCACUCCACUCUCGUGGUCUGGUGCUUUCCCCUCCUGCAGUGAUUUCAGUGCCUAAAAUCCUCAAAUAUUCCAGAAAAAUCAUACUAAAUUUGCAAGGCAUUCGGAGCACUUUUAUUUUUGGACUAUUUUUUAAUGCACAAAUAAUUCAGAAAACAGACAGAUAAUACUAUUUUUGCUUUACUUAUUCUAAAUAACAGAAAGUAAAAAGAGGGUACAGAAAGUUGUGCCUUCUAGUUUCAUCCAUCUCCUGCUCAUCAAAACGAAUCCACUAACAAGGUUGAUCAAGUCUUGUUAACAAACUCAUUCCGAAUAACAUGGAACCAGAGAAAUUUCAAAUAACACUAAGUUAUCUCAACGGGGAUAUGAAAAUCCCCAACAAUAAGAAUAUCAUACUUUUCCUUGACAGUAGGGAUAGCAAAUUCAAAACCUCCAAUAAUAAUAGUUGGAACUUUUCCAAUAGAAUUGAUGCUAUGAACUUGAGAUUGUUUCCUCGGAAAGUGUACCGUAUGCUCAUUACCAUUAACAUGAAAAGUGACAUUGCCUUUGUUGCAAUCAAUAAUAGCCCCUGCAGUGUUAAGAAAAGGUCUACCAAGGAUAAUAGACAGACUAUCGUCCUCGGGAAUAUCAAGAAUAACAAUGUCCGUUAAGAUAGUGACAUUUGCAACCACAACAGGCACAUCCUCACAAAUACCGACAGGUAUAUCAGUUGAUUUAUCAGCAAUUUGCAAAGAUAUUUCAGUAGGUGUCAACUUAUUCAAUUCAUGUCUACGAUAUAAAGAGAGAGGCAUAACACUAACACCGGCUCCAAGAUCACAUAAAGCAGUUCUAACAUAAUUUCUUUUAAUGGAGCAUGGUAUAGUUGUUACCUCGGGAUCUCCAAGUUUCUUUGGUAUUCCACCCUUAAAUUGUAAUUAGCAAGCAUGGUGGAAAUUUCAGCUUCUGGUAUCUUUCUUUUAUUUGUGAUGGUAUCCUUCAUAUACUUAGCAUCAGGGUUUACUUUCAUCAUAUCAGUUAAGCGCAUACGUAAGAAAAAAGGUCUAAUCAUUUCAGCAAAGCGCUCAAAAUCCUCAUCAUCCUUUGUCUUGGAUGGUUUAGGAGGAAAGGGCAUGGGUUUCUGAACCCAUGGUUCCUUUCUCUAACGUGCUUCCUAGCAACAAAAUCUCUCUUAUCAUAACGUUGAUUCUUUGAUUGUGGGUUAUCAAGAUCUACAGCAGGUUCAAUCACUACUUCAUUGUUUUUGCUAGGUUGAGCAUCCACAUUAUCAUUAACAUUAUCACCAGGUUCAUGUUCAUCACCUGAUUGUGUUUCAGGAACAGAGAUAGAAAUAUCAUUGGGAUUCUUAGGUGUGUCUACAGUAGGUUCACUAGAAGCAUGCAGAGUUCUAUCGUCUUUCUUUUUCUUCUUUUUAGAAGAACUAGGUGCCUCUAAAUUAUUUCUCUGAGAAUCUUGCUCGAUUCUCUUAGGGUGGCCUUCAGGAUACAAAGGUUCCUGAGUCAUUCUACCAGUUCUAGUAGCCACUCUAACAGCAAGUCAUUUUUAUUAUUUAAUUCAUCAAGCAAAUCAUUCUGAGCUUUAUGUACUUGCUCAGCUUGAGUAGCAACCAUAGAAGCAUAUUUGCUAAUGAGUUUGAGUUCAUCUUUAACUCUAGCUAGAUUAUCGCUUACACGUCCUAUCUCGAAAGCAUUAUUCUUUAACUCUCUAGCAACAUAAGCAUUAAAACUUUCUUGCCUAGCCAUAAAGUCAUCAAAUUCAUCUAAGCAUGGUCUAUGAAAUUUAGUAGAGGGGAUUUCAACUUUAUCAUAUCUAUGGACAGAAUUUACCUUUACUACCUGUGUCGGGUUAUCAAGACAAUGUGGUUCUUCAACAGGCGGUAUAUUAAGACCAUGUAUUUCUUCAAUGGGAGGUAAAUGCUUAACAUCUUCAGCUUUAAUACCUUUUUCUUUCAUUGAUUUCUUUGCCUCUUGCAUAUCUUCAGGACUGAGAAAUAAAACACCUCUCUUCUUCGGAGUGGGUUUAGGAAUAGGCUCAGGAGUUGGCUCAAUUGGUUCAGGAAUUGCCUCAGGAAUUGGCUCAGGAAGAGUCCAAUUAUUUUCGUUAGUCAACAUAUUAUUCAAUAGUAAUUCAGCUUCGUCAGUUGUUCUUUCCCUGAAAACACAACCAUCACAACUAUACAAGUAGUCCUUGGAAGCAUCGGUUAGUCCAUUAUAAAAGAUAUCAAGUAUUUCAUUUUUCUUAAGAGGAUUAUGAGGCAAAGCAUUAAGUAACCGGAGAAGCCUCCCCCAAGCUUGUGGGAGACUCUCUUCUUUGAUUUGCACAAAAUUAUAUAUUUCCCGCAAGGCAACUUGUUUCUUAUGAGCAGGGAAAAAUUUAGUAGAGAAGUAAUAAAUCAUAUCCUAGGGACUACGCACACAACCAGGAGCAAGAGAAUUAUACCAAGUCUUAGCAUCACCCUUUAAUGAGAACGGAAAUAUCUUAAGGAUAAAAAAAUAGCGAGACUUCUCAUCAUUAGUAAAUAGGGUAGCUAUAUCAUUCAACUUGGUAAUAUGUGCCACAACAGUUUCAGAUUCAAGGCCAUAAAAAGGAUCAGAUUCAACUAAAGUAAUAAUCUCAGGAUCAACAGAGAAUUCAUAAUCCUUAUCAGUAACACAGAUAGGUGAAGUAGCAAAAGCAGGGUCAGGUUUCAUUCUAGCAUUAAGAGACUGCUGCUUCCAUUUAGCUAAUAAUUUAUUAAGAUCACAUCUAUCAUUGCAAGCAAAGAUCUCCCUAGCAGCUUCUUCAUUCAUAACAUAACCCUUAGGAACAACAGGCAAUACAUAAUCAUUGGGAGAACCUUCAUCAUCACUAUCAUCAAUAAUAGCAUCUUCAAUAAUUUCAUUCCCCCUAACUCUAGCAAGUUGUUCAUCAAGAAAUUCACCUAAUGGCAAAGUAGUAUCAUGUACAGAAGUAGUUUCAUCAUGCAUAGCAGAAGUGGCAUCAUCAAUAACAUGCGACAUAUUAGAAUUCAUAGCAGUAGCAGGUUUAGGUGUCACAAGAUUACUAAUAAUGGAAGGAGAAUCUAGUGCAGAGCUAGAUGGCAGUUCCUUACCUCCCCUCGUAGUUGAGGACAAAAUAGUAGUUCGGUCGUCUUUCAAGUUCUUCAUAGUGAUCAACAGAUAUAAAUCCAAAGUGACUCAGUGAAUAGAGCUAUGCUCCCCGGCAACAGCGCUAGAAAUUAUCUUGAUAACCCACAAGUGUAGGGGAUCGCAACAGCUUUCGAGGGUAAAGUAUUCAACCCAAAUUUAUUGAUUCGACACAAGGGGAGCCAAAGAAUAUUCUUGAGUAUUAGCAGUUGAGUUGUCAAUUCAACCACACCUGAAUAACUUAGUAUCUGCAGCAAAGUAUUUAGUAGCAAAGUAGUAUGAUAAUAAAGGUAACGAUAGAAAAAGUAAAGAUAAUAGUUUUUGGGUUUUUGUAGUAGUUGUAAUAGUAACAACGGAAAGGUAAAUAAGCGAAGAACAAUAUGUGAAAAGCUCGUAGGCAAUGGAUCAGUGAUGGAUAAUUAUGCCGGAUGUGAUUCCUCAUGUAAUAGCUACAACAUAGGGUGACACAGAACUAGCUCCAAUUCAUCAAUGUAAUGUAGGCAUGUAUUCCGUAAAUAGUCAUACGUGCUUAUGGAAAAGAACUUGCAUGACAUCUUUUGUCCUACCCUCCCGUGGCAGCGGGGUCCUAGCGGAAACUAAGGGAUAUUAAGGCCUCCUUUUAAUAGAGAACCAGAACAAAUCAUUAACACAUAGUGAAUACAUGAACUCCUCAAACUACGGUCAUCACCGAGAAGUAUCCUGAUUAUUGUCACUUCGGGGUUGUCGGAUCAUAACACAUAAUAGGUGACUAUAGACUUGCAGGAUAGGAUCAAGAACACACAUAUAUUCAUGAAAACAUAAUAGGUUCAGAUCUGAAAUCAUGGCACUCGGGCCCUAGUGACAAGCAUUAAGCAUAGCAAAGUCAUAGCAACAUCAAUCUCAGAACAAAGUGGAUACUAGGGAUCAAACCCUAACAAAACUAACUUGAUUACAUGGUAAAUCUCAUCCAACCCAUCACCGUCCAGCAAGCCUAUGAUGGAAUUACUCACGCACGGUGGUGAGCAUCAUGAAAUUUGUGAUGGAGGAUGGUUGAUGAUGAUGAUGACGAUGAAUCCCCCUCUCCGGAGACCCGAACGGACUCCAGAUCAGCCCUUCCGAGAGAGAUUAGGGCUUGGCGGCGGCUCCGUGUCGUAAAACGUGAUGAAACUUUCUCUCUUAUUUUUUCUCCCUGAACGUGAAUAUAUGGAGUUGGAGUUGAGGUCGGUGGAGGUCUAGGGGGCCCACGAGAUAGGGGGCAUGCCCUACAGGGGGGGGGGCGCCCCCCUGUCUCAUGGAUAGGCCCUGGGCCCCUAGUUUAUUUCUUUCGCCCAGAAAUUCUUAUUAAUUCCAAAAAGUGCCUCCGUGGAUUUUCAGGACAUUCCAAGAACUUUUCUUUUCUACACAUAAAACAACAUCAUGGCAGUUCUGCUAAAAACACUGUCAGUCCGGGUUAGUUUCAUUCAAAUCAGGCAAGUUAGAGUCCAAAACAAGGGCAAAAGUGUUUGGAAAAGUAGAUACAUUGGAAACGUAUCAAACCCCUCAAGGAAGAAGGCAAAUCAUGGGCGUCAUCGGCGCCGCUCCAAGCCUCGCCAUAGCAAUACCGGCACAGGAGACGAAAACAAUCCAGAUGGUGCCAAAGAAGAAUACAACCCAGAUCAACCUGCCUUCGAGCAGGCCAAAUAGGAAGACGGGACAAUUCAGCACAGACGAACAGGCGACAGACGGAUACCCGAAGGAGGACAACUACAAGCCCCCCUCCAAAGACGAGAUGAGCCUCGGCGACGAUGAAUUCGGCGUGCCUGAGGACCCCGUAGAGCAGGAGCGCUUAAAGCGCCGGCUCAUGGCCACUGCGAGGAGCCUGAAAAAGAAGUAGGAGCAGCUCCAAGCUGAUCAAGAUUUGCUCACAGACGGAUGGAAUGAAGUCCUGGCAGCCGAGGAAUAUGGACUCGAGCGCCACACCAAAGGCUACCCAAAGCACAAGUUGCUACCUCAACUCGAGGAGGAGCCUAUACUACCAGCACAGGACGAGGCUGACCGGCCACCUCAUGGACGGGAUAAAACAGCGUACCAGCCCGAAUACCAGCCUGCACCCCCACGCGAAUACACUACGGCCCGAGGCAAUAGGAAGGACCUGCAAGCCAUACUGGAAAACAAGGCAGGAUAGCCAAGAUCGAUCUAAGGAUCGCGGGUGUGCGCCCCAACAUGUGACGAUUAUCGUCAUGCCGGAUACACUAUCAACAAGUCCGGCCGGGCCGAACAUAGCCAACUAGACUUAUUUGAACUGCGUAGCCACAUAGCCCGACAUAGAGGCGCCGCACACCCCCUCUGCUUCACUGACGAAGUGAUGGAUCAUGAUUUCCAAGAAGUGCUUAAACCCGUAAACAUUGAAUCAUACGAUGGCACAACAGACCCCGCUGUAUGGAUCGAAGACUUCCUUCUCCACAUUCACAUGGCUCGUGGUGAUGAUCUACAUGCCAUCAAGUAGCUUCCCCUUAAACUCAGAGGACCGGCCCGACACUGGCUAAAUAGCCUGCCGGCAAAUUCCAUCAGCAGUUGGAAAAACCUAGAGGACGUGUUCCUUGACAACUUCCAGGGCACGUACGUGCGACCACCGGAUGCCGAUGACUUGAGUCACAUUACCCAACAGCCAGGAGAGUCAGCCAGGAAAUUCUGGACUCGGUUCCUAACUAAAAAUAACCAAAUUGUCGACUGUCCGGACACUGAUGCCUUGGUGGCCUUUAAGCAUAAUAUCCGCGACGAGUGGCUCGCCCGACACCUCGGCCAGGAAAAGCCAAAGUCCAUGGCGUCCCUCACGACACUGAUGACCCGCUUUUGCGCGGGCAAGGACAGCUGGUUGGCUCACAGUAGCACCAAGCCAAUAAACUCUGGCACUUCAUAUGUCUGUGACAGAAACGGCAAGCCACGGCACAACAGACAUAAGCGUCGGAAUAAUGGCGACAACACUGAAGACACGGCAGUCAACGCCGGAUUCAGUGGCUCAAAAUCCAGUCAGCGGAAAAAUCCUUACAAAUGAAAGAAUCAGGGAUCGUCCAAUCUGGACCGCAUACUCGAUCGCUCGUGCCAAAUUCACGGCACCCCUGAUAAACCAACAAACCACACUAACAAAGAUUGCUGGGUGUUCAAACAAGCCGACAAAAUAAAUGCUGAAAACAAGGACAAAGGGCUGCACAGCGACGAUUACGAGGAGCCCCGGUGUCCGAACAUGGGGGGACAGAAGAAAUUUCCUCCCCGGGUGAAAACGGUCAAUAUGAUCUAUGCCACCCACAUUCCCAAACGGGAACGAAAGCGAGCACUAAGGAACGUCUAUGCGAUGGAGCCAGUCGCCCCAAAGUUCAACCCAUGGUCUGCCUAUCCGAUCACUUUUGAUCGUAGGGAUCAUCCUACCAUCAUCCGUCAUGGCGGUUCAGCCACAUUGGUCCUAGACCCAAUCAUUGACGGAUUCCACCUCACACGAGUCCUUAUGGACGGUGGCAGUAGCCUGAACCUCCUCUAUCAGGACACAGUGCACAAAAUGGGCAUCGAUCCUUCAACGAUCAAGCCCACCAAAACCACCUUCAAAGGUGUAAUUCCAGGAGUACAGGCCCGUUGUAUGGGCUCCAUAACACUGGAAGUGGUCUUCAGAUCCCCGGAUAACUUCCGAAGCGAGGAGUUAAUCUUCGAUAUCGUCCCUUUCCGUAGUGGCUAUAAUGCACUGCUUGGACGAACCACAUUCGCUCGAUUCAAUGCGGCACCACACUACGCAUACCUCAAGCUCAAGAUAGGCACCAUGGAAUAACAAGGUCGCUGUCCGGAACGAAAAUAUGAUGCAUGUCUUAUUGUGCGCGCGUGCCCUCCCACUCAUGGCAUCGCCGGGUGGUCGCGGUCGACGUACCAUUUCCGAAUAAACGACGCCACAUGCCCGCAGAUGGUCGUCCGGCCGUCAAGAAUUUCUGUGCACCCGGGUUAACGGCGUCAUGGGCCAAGCCGCCCAGAGUAGCAUGGCAGGCACAUGUAUGACCAGUCAUGUUAAUCAAUCCACUGCCGCGCGCCCUUCCGUGGUGUCAUGCGUACGAACAUUGAUGCCCUCGCCAAUGUAUAUUGUUUUGGUGAUAGACAUAUUCCUAUUCUGGAAUUGUGCCAUCCAGCUCUCCACUUUAACAACCCUUACUGAUCUUCGUUAUAAGAAAAGGGCAAUGCCAGCAAGCCUUUUUCUCACCGCUAUCCUACUCUGUCACUCAUUCCCUGGACGAGCACGGUUCACUUCCGUUCACUACUCAUUCCCUGGAUGAGCACGGUUCGCUUCCGUUCGCUUAAUGAUGAUGUGGCCGUGACAUCCGUGUCCCGCUACAUGAUCAGCGAGUCCGUCCUCACCUCCGAGCCCAUCCAGAUGCAACCGGUGCUAAGCCAGCUUUGGUGUAGCUCCAUUUACACCAUCCUCUCCACACGGUGAUCCACUUUUGUGCACACCGCCACAGCAUGGUAGAUCGUAGUGCCGGAGUUCUAGCGAGAUUUGUUUGCUUAAACAUGUGUGCAUAUUGUUUUGAGUAGCAGUAAAAUGUGAUGUUGCUUGUAUGUAAUCUUAAUGUGUCGGUUGUUUUUGUUUAAGUCGUUUUUUGCUUCUUUCUUUUGGUGUUCGGUGUCACCUUAUUUCCCCUUAUGUGCUCCCAUAGCCAUAAAUAUCUAGUAAAUGUUCCUAGACAGUAAUAGUGAUUAAUUUAAUGUCUAUAUGUAUGUUCAUUUCUAUAGAGUCGAGAUCUGGUGUACCCAUUUUUUGUCCCGAUUUCUAUGUUUUCUAGAUGGAUUUCUUUGUUUCUUGAUCAUGUAAGAUCAACGAGGACAUUCCUUCGCAUAUUGGAAGCCUAUUUUUUUCUAUUUCUAUGUCUAUUAAAAUCCUAUGAAUCAAUGAGAACUAGUUAUCAUACCAAUGCAAACAACAAGUGACGAGGCUAUGCACAAUUUUUUAAUACACACAAAAAGGGUCAAAUACACAGCAAAUGCCAUUCAUCUGACAUCAUUCUUGCCGCGGGUACAAGGUACUUGCCGCGGGUGGAGGUGGUAGCUUUAUUUCCGGAACACGAUAACCUGCAAAAUUUCAUUCUUCACAU